GAUGAAACGUAUUGGUUUUGCAUUGAAGAGGAAGUUAAUGUGCUUAACUUCUGCAAGUUGGGGUGUGCGUCGUCUGUGUGCAACAACAUCAACGCUGGUAAGCACCUUUUGCUCAGACGGAGAAAACAAUAAUCAUUAAUUAGCGGCAGCUAGAAUCCUAUAAUCUAAUAUAUUUAUAUAUAUAUAUAAUUUUAUCAGCUCUGGGAAAUGAAGAGGCGAACGAUGCCGUUGAGAGUUGCGACCAAGCCUGCUCUAGCUUCUGCAGCGUGCAUGUUGGCAGCGCCACCGUGGUUGCUUAAGCAAAUGCAUGCAACUAGAUCGUCCUUGUGCUGAAUAAUUGGAUAUCGUAUCCACUUAAAGCUGCCUUGUGUAGUACGUCUUUGUUUGUGUCUCUCUUUAUAUUCCACUAAGGUCGGUGAUCUUGAUGCCACACACACUCAGAUGUGUGUUCAUCUCCAGAUACUACUCCAUGCUACCUGCCCUUUUUGUUUUGUUCAAUAACUGGGUAUCAUAUCCCGGCCAGUGUGCCAUCUAUUUUGUGUUUGUUUCCUUCUAGUUCCAAAGGGGUCAUCAUGAUGUUACCUUCUUUCGAUAUGGUGCUUUGCAUGACAACUGUUGUAUGGUACCAUCUUGUUGGCCAAUAAAUACAUCUUAUCCUAUGACCCUUUGCUAUGACCCUUUGCAAAUAAGUACAAGAUUGUUAUAAGCGUCAAUACUCAGUAUAAUUGAUCGCUGCUGUGAGUUCCCUUUCAGCUUAUCGUAGGCACACAUUAUUGCUAGCACGGUAAAGACAACCAACACGAAUGAUGAAGUAAACGUAGCGGUACUUUUGUAUACCAACACCCUUACUUAAAUGUACUGGUGUCAUUCCCUACUGGCACAUAUAUUCUUAUAUGCUAGCCAGAUUGGAAAAUUAACCAAUUAAAAUAAUUAUUUCAAGAUAGAAAUAACUUAUCGGCUUCUCGAAGCAUGUGUAAUUUUAAUUCAAGGACUCAAUGGAAGUUGAAUCACUUCAUCUAGAUUGCCUUCUGGAUUUUGGUUAACUAAAUUUAACAUUUGUGUCGGGGGGAAAUAUUAACGAUUUUCUUACGCUCUCUAAUUAACGGAUACAAGGGCUAGGGCCCACCCCUAAUACCCAUAAUCUCCGCUAACAACACAUCCCAGAGGCACUCCGCUCCGCCUCGCCCGACUUCAGGGUCGCAGGGUCGGACGUGCCCGACCCCCCAAGGCCUCGCCUCGUCUCAGCCGAUGGAGUUCCGCCUCGCCCGACCCUGAGCCCAACGGAUCGGACGCGCCCGACCCCUCGAAGCAGGACUCCGCCUCGCCCGACCCUGAGCGCAAGCGGUCGGACGUGUCCGGUCCCACCUGACAGAGCUCCGCCUACCCGAAGGUACGAGCAGGUCAUCAGACGGAAGCGCGGGCUCUGUGAGUCCCCCUGGGCUCACCCAACCGAUGGGACCGCGCAAGCUUCCAGAUACAGUUCUGACACAUGGAGAGGCGCCCGCGUUCCUCGACAUGACCUGUCAAAAUGUUGGUCUGCGCACUGCUGCCACGACUGCACAGGGCUACACCUGCACCGUCCUACCCCACUGUGACAUCUGUCAUAGGGCACUCAUCGCUCAUACCAUCUAAUGGAGGAGGGAAAACCGCCUAGUUUUCCACGUGGGCUAGCAAGAAGAGCACGUCAGCCACGCCGCCCCGUCAGGGUGCAUGGCUACAGUGGUUGACCAUCACCCGCGACGUGCACAGUCACAGUGGCCAGUCGUCACCACCAACUUGCACAGCUACAGUGGUCGGCCGCCAUGCACGACUCGCGUGUCCGGCUACAGUGACCGACCGCCGAGUCACCGAUGGGACCCAACGGCAACCCCUAUCCCUUAGUAGCAGUACCGACAAGACGCAGAGACAAGAAGGGAAGACGACGUCUCUAGUAGCCCCACUUGCUUCCCUUUUUACCUUUCUACCUGUUUACCUUCCUUACUCCCGGCUCAUUUGUAACCUCUGUAUCCUCCUUGCACUAUAAAAGGAGACCAGGGGGUCUGAGGGCAAGGGACCCUCGGAGACCGAACCCCGAAUUCACCCAAGUACAAACCAACCGAACCACCAGACGAGAAAGACUCACAGAGAUCUGGGAACCAGCUUCCCUCUCUCACCUAUUUGUAGCCUCUACUCCAGACUUGGUACGAGUAACACGAGCAGCCACCCGCACUGGACUCCUCCGCCAGAAACUGGUCCAACCAGUCGGGUCCCUCCCCCUGCUCUUCGUCCUCAUCAUCCUCAUCAUCGUCGUCCUCAUCCGUUGCCGUGUCUGGCCCCUCCGCAGCCUUCAGAACUCCGCUGCAGCUUUCUUUUUCUUCCUCACCGUCUCCUUGUCCUUCCUCUUCUUCUGUGCUUCGUCGAGGAGGCGGUUCCGCUGCCUCUGCACCACGUCCUCUGGCACCGGUGGACGGGAGGCUGUGACAUGGUUUAAGUUACCCUGCAGAUUCGAAGACUCCGCGUCAGAAUAGCAAACCAGGAAAUGCAGGAAAGAAGAACGAGAGUGCAAAUUUCUAACCAGCAGGACAUAGGCCUCGUCCGGGCGCAUCGGAGGGUGCCCCGGCACCGGGAACACGACAUCCCUGUCACCCAAUGCAUCCCGGACACGCUGCUCGAUCUCGGCGUCGGCAAUUGCACCCGUCGCAAGGACGGUGCUGUGGUACGCCCCAACAACUCCGGCCCCGGUCAGGCCCUCCUCCUUCAGAAGGUUGAUGGCUUCGAGGAGACCCCGGAUAUUCUUCUUCUCCUUCUCAACAGGGCCAUAUGUCCACGUUCCCGGUGCCUCCACGAUGACGCGGCCAGUGAACUCCGUCAAGAGGACAUCGGGGCGGUUCUUCACAUAGAGCCACUGCUGAUGCCACCCUUUGUGGGAUGACGGGGUCUUCAUCGAUGUAUACUCCUUGGGCCGAUGGCCACAGAGGUGGAUGCCGGCACACCCCAUCAGCAUCGGAAUCGUCCGCGUCUGGUUUCCUCUCUUCUCGGUCCUCUGAUGAAGAGUGACAGCGAAGAAGUACUUCCACAGGGCGAAGUUGGGCUCGAUCCCCAGGUAUCCCUCCCAAAGCACGACGAACGCCGCGAUGUGCUGGAUUCCGUUGGGGUUGAGGUGCUCCAGCUCAAUGCUAUAGUAGUGCAGCAGCCCCCGGAAGAAGCGACUUGGGGGAACCGCGAACCCCCUCUCGUGGAAGUGCGCGAAGGAGACGAUGUACCCGUCCUCCGGCUGUAGCACGGCCUUGUUCCCGGGAUACCGCCACUCGUUCUCGGCGAUCCUAUCGCGAAGAAGGCCCUUCUUCACGAGACCGAUCACGCGCGCGGUGUUGAAGAUUGACCAAGACCUUGAAUCCAUCGCCGAGGAAGGGGAAGGCUCGACGGCGGUGGUGGAAAGGUGAAUGCUCUGGCUCGAAAGAGGAUGAAAAGUGAACAAGGAGGCGAGAAAGGCUGAAGACGAGUGCGGAGCGGAGCAAGCAAGGUAAGCUCUCUCGUUUUACAGGGGGCGUGCGAGAAACGAAAGGCGAACCGAACGCAUUUAUUGCGACGUCAGGUAUGCCCCAUCGCCUCCGCCUUUCUUCGGAAACCGUACGCAUGAUUUCUUUUUAACCGCAGGGAACGCUACGCCCCCUCGCCCCACGAGCCCGGUGUUUUUUGCCGCUUCGUCUCCUGGAGGUCAUGCGCACAACUUCCUCCACAAGCGGCCCAGGGCCCGCUUCAGGUAAAAAAGGGAUACAGAGCUGAAAACACUCUAACGGCCCAUUACGGUCCAGGGGUUCGAAGGCUGGCCCUCUAGAGGGUUCGACAUCCACCCCAGGACAUUUCUUGAGCAAGGGGUGAGAAGGGACGGGUCCGCUAGCGACCACUACCCUGGUGAACAAAAGCCAAGGGCGUCCCGACCUCACAUUUGAGUCUCGAUUGGCGUUUAAGUUCAUGGUUUUUCCCCGAAGAAAGGCAAAGUGCCCCCGGAUCCGGUUGAACAGACCUGGGAACUAUAUGAACUGGCCGUCCGAAAUCUGGAGUACGCCACCAGCUUGGCCCAAGCCGGACCCGCCCGAACAGGGACCGGGACUCCACUCGAACUGACCCGUUAGCAGCUCACCGAGCACCAUGGUUCGUCCGAUGAGGAUAACAUGGCACGGCUCACCCCCUCCGUCCCAACGAACGGACGCUGAGGGGUAACGACUAAAAGACGAUCCGACCUCUCGAUCGGUCCCCUGCAAUGCGCGGGGGCUCGAGGGCUGGAAUCACAACGAAACGACCAUGCGCAUGGUUACGACUCGGAAUUUUGAGGCAGGAAUGGUCAUUGAAACAAUAGGGAAUCUUCCCAAACCGUACCAUCCUCAGAACACUCUGGCUACCCAAAACUCCCCGGCCAGGCCAAACAAGCAAAACUUUUCUCCUGAUCAAAUCAAGGUACAUGUUAAACAAGACCCCUGACAAACACUCUGCCGAGAGCCAAUCACAGCCUCUGGAGGAGCACCUUGCUCCACCAAAGGCUCGGGGCCUACUGUCAGGGGGAAAUAUUAACAAUUUUCUUACGCUCCCUAAUUAAUGGACACAAGGGCCAAGGCCCACCCCUGACACCCGUAAUCUCCACCAACAACACAUCCCAGAGGCACUCCGCUCCGCCUCGCCCGACUACAGGGUCACAGGGUCGGACACGCCCGACCCCCCGAGGUCUCGCCUCAUCUCAGCUGAUGGAGUUCCGCCUCACCCGACCCCAGGCGUAAGGGGUUGGACGCGCCCAACCCCUCAAAGCAGGACUCCGCCUCGCCCGACCCCGAGCGCAAGGGGUUGGACACAUCGGAUCCCACUAGACAGAGCUCCGCCUCGCCCGAAGGUAUGAGUAGGUCAUCAGACGGAAGCGCGGGCUUUAUGAGUCCCCCCAGGCUCACCUAACCGAUGGGACGCGCACAAUUCUAGAUACAGUUCUGACACGUGGAGAGGUGCCCGCGUUCCUCGACAUGACCUGUCGGAAUGUUGGUCUGCACACUACUGCCACGACUGCACAGGGCUACAACUGCACCGUCCUACCCCACUGUGACAUCUAUCAUAGGGCACUUAUCGCCCAUGCCGUCUAACGGAGGAGGGCAAACCGCUUGGUUUUCCGCGCAGCCUAGCAACUACAGCACGUCAGCCACGCUGCCCCGUCAGGAUGCAUGGCUACAGUGGUUGACCGUCGUCCGCGACGUGCACAGCUACAAUGGCCAGUCGUCACCACCAACUUGCACAGCUACAGUGGUCGGCCGCCAUGCACGACCCGCGUGUCCGGCUACAGUGGCCGACUGCCGAGUCACCAAUGGGAUCCAACGGCAACCCCCAUCCCUCAGUAGCAGUACCGACAAGACGCAAAGACAAUAAGGGAAGACGGUGUCUCCAGUAGCCCUACUUGCUUCGCUUUUUACCUUUCUACCUUUUUACCUUCCUUACUCCUGGCUCAUUUGUAACCCCUGUGUCCUCCUUGCACUAUAAAAGGAGACCAGGGGGCCCGAGGGCAGGGGACCCCCGGAGACCGAACCCCGAAUUCACCCAAGUACGAACCAACCGGACCACCAGACGAGAAACACUCACAAAGAUCUGGGAACCAGCUUCCCUCUCUUGCCUGUUUGUAGCCCCUACUAUAGACUUGGUACGAGUAACACGAGCAGCCACCCGCACUGGACGUAGGGCUAUUCCUGCCCGAACCAGUAUAAACCUCGCGCCCUCUCGUACAACCAUCCAAGCCUUACGCGUAGAGAAACAAAUUUACUAAGCCGGUAGUCUUGACCCGUGAUUCGUGAGACCGACAAUUUGCACAUACAAAUGUUAAAGUACAAAUGUUAAAUCUAGUUACCAAGCAGAAUACGAAAUAGCGGGCUAUAGUGAGGCUAUAGCGGCGCUAACUGCUGCAACAACAGUGUUGUACUAAUUAGCAGGCUAUAGCGGAGCUAUAGCGGUUGAGCACAGCUCUACGCUAAAUAUCAUAGCCCUCAAUUUUGUACAUUGUAUAUACUAUAUAAAUCUAGUUAACAUUUAGUCUAAAUGUUAAAUCGAGUUACCUAAAAUCCUGAAAGCAAAAUGUAUAAAUAUAUAUCUUUUAGGGUAGUAUAAGCUUCGAUUCCUUUUGCUGCUCUGUUAAAUCUCAUCUUUCGUUGUAGCCCAACACUCUAGUAUUGAUUUUGCACCAAGCUUCUUUGAGCCGCUCUGCCCUCUGAUUUUGCUGCGUAGGGGAAUCUUUAUCAGGUUGGGCUACUUCCAGUCGUGCGAUGUAUACCUUUGUAUCUUCUAGAAGGUAGACAGAAAACCCGCGUUCUCUUAAGGCAACAACCAGAAGAUUCUGCAGCGCACGGGGCAUAUCAUUGUUGUAGAAACGACCUUUAGUAUCGAUCUCCAACCCCUUAUAGUACUGGUUUUGCAACCAGUACCGUUAUGUCGGACCUUUAGUACCAGAUCAAAUAACCGGUUCUAAAGGGACUCCUUUAGUACCGGUUGGUAACCAGUAUCAACUUGUUUUGCGGCCAAAAAAAUAAAGAAAAAAAUAGCCAGAAGGCUAGCACACACACACAUCCCACGAAAUAUGCGCGUGCGCGGUCCAUGGGAUUCGAACCCAUGAAAUCAAGCUGCGCGCAACCCUUCGUUACCAUCUCACCUUCAGUACCGGGUCAUAACACCACCCGGUACUAGUAUCGGAUGCUGUAAUGACUCGAUACUAAAAGGCCUCUAGGGACCCUCAAAUUUGGACCCGAUACUAAUGCUAACAUUAGUACCGGGUCAAAGUGCAGCCAGUACUAAAGCAUGGGACGAAAGGUCAUAUUUCUAGUAGUGUAUAGUUGUUGUGUAGGACUGACUUGGCUGUCCUCUCUCUUCUCCAUCCCAUUGGUCUUACGCCGCCGCUCGCACGCGAGCCGGCACCCAACCAGAGGAGUGAGAGCUAGGGGCGGGUUGGGAGGUGGGGGUAGCGACUGGUGGCUAGGGUGAUGGUUGAUGUUGGCGGGGUUAGGGUUUCAUGGUUUUCAAGCUACCUACGGCCGGCGAACCUAGAGGAGGAGGUCGACAUCAGCUGCAACCCGCGGUGGUGGUGGUUUGGCCGGCGCCCCAGGCGAGGCAGCGUGGGAGUGCUGCUGGCGGGUUGGUGUUGGCGCUCAUUAUUGACACAUUUUUAGUACUAUUUUGUUCAUGGAAUAACACUCAAACGUGCUGGUGCUGCUGCCGCCAUCGCCGCCCUAGCCAUAAUAUAAAGGCAAAAUUUGCUAGAGGACAUGCAAAAUGAUGCUAGUUUGCUGGAGGGCACCGUUGACCAUGUAAUAUGCUACAAGACACUCUAGUUGUUCUAGAGUGUAUCAAUUUGCUGAAAGACAUUGCUACGACUAAAAUAAUGUUUCUGGACUGAGUUGGAGAGAGAGAUGGAGUGAAAUGUCUGUUUUGCCCAUGACCCCACUGAUCAGAUCCUUCUUCUUCCACCCUCCUUUCUUCUUUCUUCAACCAUUACCCAGCUCUAGUGUGUUGCAGAUCUACGAGGGUGGCGGCCCGGGGCGAGGGGCAUCGCUUGCCCUCAGACGAGCGCCGCGAGCGACGGCGCGGGGGCAGCAACGGCGCGUCGGAACCUGACCGUUCGUUAGCUCCUCUCGCUGCUGGGGAAGGAGGGGGAGGGGCCAUGGACGGGGUUCCCUCGAAAACCUUAGCCUCGAGCUCAGGCGGCUACGCGCAGGCAGCACUAGGCUCUUCGCGGGGAGGGGGCGCGGCCAAUCAUUGGCACCCCACUGGUCCAAUGCUGAUGAAGAUGGUGCCAGCGUCGUGAAGAUGGUGCCAGCGUCGUGUGAGGACCUCUCAUCUCCUCGAGUUCCAUGGCCAGCACAGGUGAGCGUCCGCUACCACAAAACAGAGGUGUCGUGAGAGUCAAAAAAACUCAUGAAAAUAGCUAAAACCAUCAUGAAAAUAAUCCAUGACACGACACUCUAACGAAAAUCCUCUCACAAAUAUGGUGCCAUCAAAAUACCAUUUUCAUGAGAGUGAACUGUCAUGAUUUUAUUUCGUGAGAGUAUUUCCUAUCAAUGACCUCCACGAAAUACUUUGUGCCACCAGGUCUUCAAGAUCAUUUUCAUGAGAGCCGAACGUCACGAAAGGUCCGCCACAAAUGUUUUUCCUGGGAGCCUCUAACUCUCAUCAAAAGCAUGUGGGCCGCCGCGAAAAACAGCCUGACCAAAUGACAAUUUUCAUUUUCAUGUGCUCUUACCGCCAUGAAAAUGGUCAUUUUCAUGAGAGUUGAUGAAACAAAAAAAUAGUGCCAUUUUCAUGAGAGUUCAAGCAACCAGGAAAAGGCACUAAUAAACAUCCAGAUCCCAUCCAGCACACAUCCAUGCACAUAUAUAACCCACAUAUUGCUCCAGCAACAUCCAUGCAUAUACAAGAUCCAAAUGUCUUGGUAUGAACCUACAUGCAUGUGAUGAACCAGUAACCUGCAAAAAGAGCUCAUAGGAUCUUGUCCUCAUAUUGUAGCUGUGAAAUUCUUGCAAGUAGUGUUGCAAUCAGUUCACUUUGAACCAAAAGAGCUCAAAGGAUCAUGUCCUCAAAGUUCCUCUUAAAGCUUAUGGGUUUGCUGGUGGAACUGGAAGGGCUUGAUGCAGCAUGCCAUUCUGCAAUAGAGAAAAAUUUAGAAAGCUGUACUAGUUAAAAUUGGAUGCAGCAGAGACACAUGAAACUAGUAUUUAUACAAUUCUAUAUAUAUAAUAAUUUGUCCCCUAAAUUUUUAGGAUCCUCUCGACGGUGGUGAGUCUUCCAGUAAGGCAAUUGAAUGUCCAUCGUGAUAAAAUUCUCCUUUGGAUUUAUCAUCUUCUCAACCAGAAAUCCUAGGAGUUCAUCCUUAAGCCUUACCAGUUGUAAUUUGGAAAUAUGUGAAAGUUAAACGAACAAUUAAAAUCUAAGGAUCCUUAUCAUCAUUUCCAUACGUUUGCGAAUUAAAAUAAUGAAGGAUACAAUGUUAGGUGAAAAUUCAAGAAACAAAAUUUUGUAUAGAGAUAAUGGUCCGACAUUAUUACAAGUUAAAGUUGUUUUAAAUAUCCUUGUAAUCUUCCUUUGGUUUCCUCGACGAUUCCAAGACAGUAACCUUGCUUCUAUCAAUGAUAAUUAUAAGGAGAACCCAAUGAAAACUGUGUAUUCAUAUUAGAACUAACUAAGGUUAAUUCGGAUAGGAAAGGAAAUCAAAAAUAGAUGGUACCCACACUUACUUAAAGUUGUAGGGUAGUAGUAUGUAAUGCUUGUAAUUCUGUUGCUCCAAGAAUUUGUAUAUGUGGUUCAAUGUAGACUUUGGUUGAUCCUGUAUCUGCUGUUGGUUGAAUAAGUGUUUCUAACCAUUUCUAGCCGUUAGAACUGGGACUAAAGGGAGCUCUUAGUGCUGGUUGAUAUUACUAGUCGGGACUAAAGAGCCCCCGUUAGAGUUGGUUUUCGGACGUGGAACUAACCACUCCUUUAGUCUCAAGUCCAAAAAUGAUUGAGACAUUUGUUGCUGGAUGGAACACUAGUAGAGAAUUGGCUUUCGAUGCGCCCCCUUUUGUCCCGGUUUAAAGUUGGACUGGGACAAAAGAGGGUGCGCCACGGUAGGUAAAAAUGGAGGGGGGAGUUAGUCCCGGUUGGUAAUUGCAACCGGGACUAGAGGCCCCCCUUUAGUCCCGGUUGCAAUGGCUAGCUGGGGGGCGUCGGUGGCGGCACCUUUUUGUCCCGGUUGGAGUCUCCAACCGGGAUAAAAGGUCCACCCUUUUAUCCCGGUUGGAGGCUCCAACCGGGACAAAAAGUUUAGUCCCGGUUGGAGCUUCCAACCGGGAUAAAAGGGUGUCCCUUUUGUCCUAGUUGGAGCCUCCAACCGGGACUAAACUUUCAACCGGGACAAAAGGUGUGGUUGGAGUUUUUAACUGGGAUAAAAACUCAUCCCCCAUUAUAUACCAAGACAGAGGACUUUCUUCCUCCUCCAGCCCGAGCCAGUCCAGCACAUUCACAGAGAGUUGACCUUCACCUACUCUCCGGUGGUGCCGAAGCAAGGAGGUGCUGCCCGAAGUUUUUUCCCUCAUUUUCGUGGGAAUUUCACUCAGCUAACACAAGUGUUGUGAAGGUUUGCUACUUCAUCCUCGUUUAUGCUUUGAUUUAUGCUUUGGAGAUGGAAAGAUUAUUUGUUAGAAUGUGAUGAAGUAGAAAAUGGAGAGAAUAUUUUGAGCUAGAAUGUGAGGGAGAUUGAUGUGUCAUAUAUAGUAUGCAUUCUUGCAGUGGUUUAAGAAUGAUGCUACCUUGUCCAGACAAUUUAUCUUAUCAAAUUCAAUAUAGUUUUUCAAAUCCAUACUUGUUGAACUUGCAUACCGUGUUCAUCUCUACGAGGAUAUUCUCUGCCGAGCAGCAACGUAUGUCAAGAAGGAGGUUCGAUUCUACGAGGAAGAGUGGAUACGGACAUCGUGACCGUGUCCCCUUUUCCGUAGCAUCUAACCUCUUUCAUGAUGAAGUGCGGUGCCGCCCAGUUGAGAACAUGCUCGCGAGAUGAACACAGUAUGCAAGUUCAACAACUUCUGCAGUAGUAAGGAAAGAAUUUUUGUACAUAGAUGACUUCUGCUACUUGUUGAACUUAUCAAAUUCAAGAAGGUUUUUCAAAUCCAUACUUGUUGAACUUGCAUACCGUGGUCAUCUCGCAGAGGAUGUUCUCCGCCGAGCAGCAACGUAUGUCAAGAAGGAGGUUCGAUUCUACGAGGAAGAGUGGAUACAGACAUCGUGACCGUGUCCCCUUUUCCGUAGAAUCGAACCUCUUUCAUGACGAAGUGCGGUGCCGCCCAGUUGAGGACAUGCUCGCGAGAUGAUCACGGUCUUUAAGUUUAACAACUUAUGCAGUGUUAAGGUAAUAAUUUUUGUACAUAGAUGGCUUCUGCUACUGGAGAAAGUGGCGAUGGUGGGGGUGAUCGUGGUUCCUCUUUCGGCAAGGGGAAAAUCAUAGUUGGCCCUCAGCAUAAGCCAAAGAAAAAGAGCGCACUGGAAAAAGCAAUGCUUCGUUAUUUGCAGCAACGUCAUGAAGAAGUUGUUGCCGCGGGUCAGGAACCUCCUUUUGGUCGUCGUUAUGCUCCACCCUUAGUCCCGGGUGUUUCACAUCCACUUAGUACUACCGUUUCAGGCGGCACAAAUAAACCUAAGGAUGAGGCUAGGUCAGCGGAACUUUCGUCUUCACUGUCCAAGGAUGCUUAAAGUCCUCCUAGAUAAUAACCAGUGGAUGGCUUGUUGUAUUGUAUCAUGUUGUUUGGAUCUUUAAUUUAAAUAUGUGUAUUUGGAUCUUCAUGUUGUUGUAUUGUACCAUGUUGUUUGGAUCUUUAAUCAAUUUUCACACGUAAUCCAUUGUCAAGUGUAAUCCAUUUUCAUGCAUAAUAAGAUGCAGAUGGACCGGCAAUGGAUGUAUAAUGCAGACAGGCAGAGCAAGGUGUUUAUUGAUGGCUUGCAUUAUUGUCUCGAAGUGGCCAAAGCGAACAAGCCAGAGAAUGGGUUCGUAUGUUGUCCAUGCUUCCAAUGCAAUAACAAGAAGGAGUAUUCAUAGGAUUCCUGGGGGACUAUUCACAGCCACUUGUUUAAAUACGGUUUCAUACUUAACUAUUUGGUUUGGACCAAGCACGGUGAACGAGGGGUCGUAAUGGAAGAUGGCGAGAAGGAGGAGGAAGAUGACACCAUUCCAGACUGGGUUGUAGGCCAAGCUUUUGCAGGUACUACAAUGGGCGAGGCUCAUGAAGAUGAGUUUGCAGAAAAUGGCCCUAUUGAUGACUUUGGUCAGGUGAUACGAGAUGCAUACAGAGAUUGCGAAAUUGAGAAGGAAGCAGCAAAGUUGCAGCGCAUGAUAGAUGAUCACCAAAAAUUAUUGUACCCAGGUUGCCAGCUGGGCCAUAAAAAACUAGGUACGACACUAGAAUUUGUGCAAUGGAAGGCAAAAAAUGGUGUGUCCGAUAAGGCAUUUCAGGGGAUGUUGACCAUUGUCAAGAAGAUUCUUCCCGAGAAUAAUGAAUUACCGUCCACAACAUAUGAAGCUAAACAGAUUAUUUGCCCUCUCGGAUUGGAUGUUCAGAAGAUACACGCAUGCCCUAAUGACUGUAUCCUCUAUCGUGGUGAUGACUACGAGAAAUUGGAUGCUUGUCCCGUGUGCGAAGCCCUGCGGUAUAAGAUUAGGUGAGAUGAUCCUUGUGAUGUCGAGGGGCAGUCUCCCAAUAAGAGAGUUCCCGUGAAGGUGAUGUGGUAUUUCCCUAUAAUACCACGCUUGAAGCGCUUGUUCAGGAAAAAGGCGAAUGCUAAGUUGAUGUGAUGGCACAAAGAAGACCGUAAGGAAGAUGAGAUGCUGAGACACCCCGCAGAUGGGGCACAGUGGAGAUCAAUUGAUAGAGCAUUCUCGGACUUUGAAAGUGAAGCAAGGACAUAAGGUUUGGUUUAAGUACUGAUGGAUUCAAUCCAUUCGGUGAGUUGAGUAGUGGCCAUAGUACUUGGCCUAUGACCCUAUUUAUGUUGAACCUUCCUCCUUGGCUAUGCAUGAAGUGGAAGUUCAUUAUGAUGCCGGCGCUUAUCCAAAGUUCAAAACAACCCGACAACGACAUUGACGUGUACCUAAGACUGUUGGUUGAUGACCUUUUACAGCUCUGGAAGGAAGAAGGUGUACGUGUGUGGGAUGAGGAUAGACAAGAGAUCUUUAAUCUACGAGUAUUGUUGUUUGUAACCAUCAAUGAUUGGCCUGCACUGAGUAACCUUUCGGGACAGACAAAUAAGGGAUAUCGGGCAUGCACCCACUGUUUAGACGACACAGACAGCAUGUAUUUGAAGCAUUGUAAGAAGGUCGUCUACAUGGGUCAUCGUCGAUUUCUCCCUGCUCACCACCAGCUGAGAAAGAGCAGGAUGCAUUUCAAAGGGGCGCCAGACCAUCGUAAAAAACCUGCACACCAUAAUGGAAAGUGUGUCUUCAAGAUGAUGAAGGAUGUAAAUGUAGUCUUUGGAAAGGGUCUUGGUAGCCAACCUAUUCCAAACGACAAUAACGGACAUGCACCCAUGUGGAAGAAAAAGUCAAUAUUUUGGGAGCUACCUUAUUGGGAAAUCCUAGAGGUUCGCAAUGCAAUAGACGUGAUGCACCUGACGAAGAAUAUUUGCAUGAACGUGCUAGGCUUCAUGGGUUUUUAUGGGACCUCAAAAGACACAUUGGAAGCACGACAGGACCUGAAAGCCAUGGGGCAACGAGAUGACCUACAUCCGAAAAAGAGAGAUAAUGGAUAGCACUACUUACGUCCUGCCAGUUACACUCUGAGCAAGGAAGAGAAGGAUAGCAUGUUUGAAUGCUUGAAUAGUAUGAAGGUCCCGUCUAGGUACUCCUCGAAUAUAAAGGGAAUAAUAAAUAUGAAAAAAAAGAAGUUUAUAAAUCUCAAGGCCCAUGACUGUCACAUGUUGAUGACCCAGUUGCUUCCGGUUGCACUGAGGGGUGUUCUACUAGAAAAUAUCCAGUUGCCGCUCGUAAAGCUAUGUGCGUUUCUAAAUGCGAUUUCACAGAAGGCAAUCGAUCCAUCCAAGCUAUCAAAGCUACAGAACGAUGUGGUGCAAUGUCUUGUCAGUUUUGAGUUGUUAUUUCCACCAUCCUUCUUCAAUAUUAUGACGCACUUACUGGUUGACCUAGUAAAAGAGAUUGGUAUUCUCGGACUUGUAUACCUGCACAAUAUGUGGCCUUUCAAGUGUUCAUGGCAGUCCUAAAAAACUAUGCUCUUAAUCGUGCCCAUCCAGAAGGAAGCAUCGCCAAGGGAUAUGGAACAGAGGAGGUGAUCGAGUUUUGUGUUGAUUUUAUUGAUUCAAUUGACUCGAUUGGGGUUCCAACUUCACGCCAUGAGGGGAGGCUCCGAGGAAUGGGCACCCUUGGAAGGAAAUCAAGUUUGAGCAAUGAUACUGAUUUGUUCGACAAGGCACACUACACGGUUCUACAACAGUCAUCCUUUGUGUCUCCAUAUAUUGAGCAGCACAGGCAGAUGGUAGUUUCCAAAAACCCGACCAAAUCCGAUGCUUGGCUUACCCGUCUUCACAUGGAAACUUUUCCCUCCUGGUUGCGCCAACAACUUAUGGGUAACUCUGAGAUUCACCCACAGCUUGCCUGGUUAGCCAGGGGACCUGCUAGCACAAUUGUGAAAUUUCAAGGCUAUGAGAUAAAUGGUUAUACAUUUUACACGAGAGCCCAGGACCAGAAAAGCACGAAACCAGAAUAGUGGUGUCCGCAUACAUGCCAUGGACAGAAAUAAUAGCAAGGAGUCGUAUUAUGGUUUCAUAUAGGAGAUAUGGGAACUUGAAUACGGACCGUUGUACAUCCCUCUAUUUCUUUGUAAUUGGGUGAAGCAAACUGCCGUAACCAAAGAUCAGUACGGAAUGACAAUAGUAGAUCUGAGCAAGACUGGAUACAGUGAUGACCCAUUCGUACUUGCCAACAAUGUGCAACAGGUGUUCUAUGUGAAGGACAUGUGUAGCAAACCCAAGAGAAAUCCAGAAGAGACAUGGGAGCCAAAGUGCCACAUAGUUUUUCCAGGUAGAAGAAAAAUCGUGGGAGUCGAGGAUAAAACAAACCAAUCAGAUGAUUAUGAUUAGUUUGAUGGCAUGCCUCCAUUCGCCGUUGAAGUUGAUCCAAGCAUCCUGCUAUCCAAAGAAGAGGCUCCGUACUUACGCCGCGAUCAUGAUCAAGGAACUUUCGUGAAGAAGAAAUUCUACAACGUUGUAUUGUAAUGCGCUAAAUUUACAUGACCUUUGUGUAGUAAUUGAUACAAUUUUUAAUUUACCCUAUGUAUGAUUUGAUGUGUUCUUAAAUUUGUUAGGUGAAGAUUUAUUAGAUAAACAUGAACAAUGUUAACCACAUACAUACAUGGAUUUUUCUGCGCAUUGAAAUUAUUUAAUGGAAUAAUUUCUUGAUCACAGCGAUGUAGUAAAAUAAAUAUUUUAGAGCCUAAAUGAACUGGUAUAGAAUUAAUGACUAACUCACACUUAUUGUCAAUUUACUCGCUAAUUAAAUAUAUUUUUGCAUGUACAAAAUAUGUGAAGGUUUUUGUUUUUCAUCCUGAAUUGCAGUGAAAAGAUAAAUAAAAUCCAUUUCCAAAAAACAGGCGGGAGAAGAAAACUGGGAAAAGGACCUUUUGUCCCGGGUGCCAACAGAAACCGGGACAAAAAGCCCCCCCCCUUUUAUCCCGGUUGGUGGUGGCACCCGAGAUAAAAGGGUAGGCUCCAAGCCCCACUUGGCGGACGCACCCUUUUGUCCCGGGUCCCGUCACCAACCGGGAUAAAAGGGGGGGCCUUUUAUCCCGGUUGGUGAGGGGACCCAGGACAAAAGGCCCUUUAGUCCCGGGUGUCAUUACGAACCGGGAUAAAAGGGGGGUUAAAAGGCACUAUAGCCCCUUCUACCCCCCACGCCAGUUACAGUUAGCAAAAUUUUCACCAAGAUCCCGCGCGCACUCUGCUCCGUCGCUGCCCGUCCGCCUUCCUCGCCAGCCGUCAUCGUCGUCGUCCCCCAUUGCCCCGGCCGUCGUCGUCCCGCCGGCUGACCGUGCCCAGAUAGCCUCCUCCUCCAUCGCCCCGGCCCGCCUCGAUCCUCCUGCGUCGUGCCCGGCCCCUACCUCAUCGACGCCGGCCACCUCCAUCGCGGGGCCUCAUCGCCGCCUCCAUCCUCGUCGCCACCUCGACGCCCUGGGUCGCCGCCUCGUCGCCCCUCGUCGCUGCCUCGUCGCCGUCCUGCCUCCGCCGUCUCGCCGUCCCGCGCGCCUUCGCUCCGUCGUCGCCUCCGCCGUCCCACCGCCCCAGCCACCGCCAUCCCGCCACCCCGGCCACCUCGUCGCCCCGACCACCGUCGACCGCGCGUGAGGUCCGCCGCACCGGCACUGGCGCCGGGAGUACCGCCUUGCUGACGCAAGCCCACCGGCUUGCGUCAACAAGGGCCUUUUUUAAGUUAGAAAAUAAAUAGAAAGGAGUAGUAAUUAGGUAGAAAUUCAAUAGAUUUUUGUAUAUGUGUUACAAAAUCAAAUUAGUGUAAAUUAGUUGUAAUUAGGUUCGUCGCUCUGCCUAGGUUAGAAAUGAAUCGUGUUUCGUCGUGGUUCCGUCCCCGCCUCCGCCGUCCCGCCACCCUGACCGUCGCCGUCCCAACCUAGGCACCGUCUGUGGUUCCGUCCCCGCCUCCGCCGUUCCGCCUCCAUCGCAAAUUCAUGUUAUUGCUAGAAAUUCCAAUAAAUAUGAACAAAUUAGUAGAAAUUUGGUAGAAAUUAAUCAUUGCUGCGGCCACCUCGCUCCACAAAUUCAUGUUAUUGCUAGAAAUUCAUAAAAAUUCAUGUUAUCACUAGAAAUUCGUACAAAAUUCAUGUUAUUGCUAGAAAUUCGUAAAAAUUCAUGUUAUUGCUAGAAAUUCGUACAAAAUUCAUGUUAUUGCUAGAAAUUCGUACAAAUUCAUGUUAUUGCUAGAAAUUCGUCACAAAGUACUACUAAUUUGCAAAAAUUUGUAUAAAUAUUCCGGACUUUGUGGGAUUCAUGUUAUUUUCUGAUUUCAUGUAUAUACCCUUAUGUACAUAUAACUAAGGAGAUUUCUAUGACUUUCAUGUAUGUUUCAAUCAAUAGUUGAAAUGGCAGACGAUGAGACCGCAAGGUAUCUCAUGGAGCAGAUAAUCGCUGGUGAUGGUAGUGGCGACAACCUUCCACUAUCGUACACCGAUGAAGAGGGCACCCAGGCGGACAUGUUCCUCAACAUGUCCGCCGAUGGGAAUGAAGAGCAAAAGCCCCAGCAACACCUUGCCGGGGCGGAAGGUUCCGGCGAGGUAUAUAUAACGAUUCUUGUAUUGUUUCACACCACCGUUACUACUACGUACUAAUUAACGAAUCAUGAACCGUUAGCCCUCUGGAUCGACGCAAGGGCAGAAGACACGAGGUCGUACAAAGGUGAUGGAAGGGAGGCUUGUCAUCACGGAAGUGAUAGAAGAGGGCAGGCCGGUUGCUCCCGAGAAAGUAGCAAAGAAGUACGUGAGUCAGAUCGGGGCAAUCGUCCGGGACAACGUGCCUAUCAGCAUCAGAGAAUGGAAGGGCAGAAGCACUAAUCCGUACGCCCUCCUGGAGACAGAAAGAAUAUGCUGUGGGAAGAUGUCAAGAGACAUUUCACAUUCACCGAAGGAUAUAUUGAGAAGGAUGUGAAAGCGUGGACGCUUAAGAAGAUGGCUACACAAUUUCCAGACAUUUAAGAAGAUGCUAGAUACCCACUACAUUAAGAAGGGCCGAACUCCAGACUUCAACGCGUGGUCAAAGUUGAGGGACCACUAGGAUGCAUUUGUUGAAUAUAAGAGGAGUGAAUACGAUGUGAAAAAGAUCACGACCAACACAACAAAUGCUAGUCAGAAGGGCUACCAUCAUCAUCUGGGGCGAGAUGGUUAUGGCUCAGCAAUUCCCAAGUCGAGGAAGAUGGAACAAGAUCUGAUUGAACGGGGAAUCGUACCGGCAACUAUUGAAUGGCCCGAACGAUCAAAAAAUUGGUACUACGCUCAUGGAGGCUCCCUGUGCCAAGAGGAUGGGACGUUGAUUUUCAAUAACACAAUACGUUAGAAGGCCAAACAUCUUGUGAAGAACAUUGAAGAUUCUAAGGCUGGGAGGUUGAAGGUGGACCGAGAAAAUGAUGAGCUCACAUUGGCCCUUGGUAAUCCAGAGCACCCAGGAUGUUGCCGAGGGUUCGGGGUCGUUCCGUGGAAGUUUGUUUUCCGAGGCGACAGCGCCUCGUACAGAAGCCGGAAGCGAAGAAAGGAACAGAUCGAGGAGAGCUGGUGGCAGAUGCUAGAAUCCAAAGUGCAGGCACAAGAACAAAGAAUGAUGGAGGAAAUCAAUCGUCGAGUGGCCCACGCAGUUGUGGAGUUGGCCCAAUCUGGAGCAUUGCCGAAUCCUAACAACGCCAGCCCUUCUCAAUGCCUCUUGAGCAGUUAUGCUUCUACAGGGGUCCCCGAUGCGCACACGCCCAGGUUACCCGUGGAGGAGCAACGGUUCCCCGUGGAUGCCAUCACGCAACACACCACAUGUGAGCUGCAUGCACCGGUCGGCAACCUCACUAUUAAGGUAUACUUAUACAUAAUAUUUAUGCAAUCUUGUCAAUUGAUCCACGCCUCGAUAUCGGAGUUUAACUUGUUUACUUCUACUAUAUGUACAGGUAGCGUACGGGAGUGCGUUAGCAACCCUGGCGGGGCAGAGCAGUCAUGGCAUGAAGAUUCCACCUGGCUACGCUAGCGUCCGCGUAGAGCAAAUAGUUGAUAGCCAAUAUGAAGGUCUAGAGCUCGACCUCCCGGGAGGUGACAGGGAAAGAACACUGGCAGAUGCGCUUCAUGGGAUCAUUCUAUGGCGAAAACGCUACAUCAUUAUUCCCGGCACGGAGCCAUCUCCUCAGAGCUCAAGACCACUCCCCGUAGAUCCCCAGCAGCGACCUUCUCCUCAUAGCUCGAGACCGUCAUCUCCUGCACAACCUGCUCCAGGACCGUCCCUUCCAUCUAUAUCAAGGUCUCCAUCUCCACCACAUCCUGGUGGUGGGAGCGACGACGACAAUAACAACACCCCUUCCUGAUCACCAUCGCCGGCACCAAGAGCGGCCCCCAUGAAGGAACCUGCACCACCACUAAAAAAGUCACGAGCACCGCCUCCCAAGCAAAGACAGAGAAAGAAGAAAACAAAGGAGCCUGAAGUGACUCGUAAGGAACGCUGGGAGACAAUGUCUCAUGCGGAACAGUGGGCAGAAAUCCAACAAGAGGCCAGUGAGUGGUUCAAGAAACAAGCCGAAGAAAAAAAAGCAACGGAGAUGCAGCCACCGCCAGUAAAUCGAAGAGAUUUAAACUUUUUUAUCAGGAUGGAAGAAGGAGCCAAGAAAAGGAUACCACUCUUAUCAAACUAUGAACGGGCUUUAGUAAAGGCUGAUGAAAAGGAUAAAAGGAAAGGAAAGUCAUCUUCCAGCGGUGCUGUCCCCGACCUCAGCCAUUUAUCAAAAAAAGAUGCUCAACGGGUAAAAGCAAUGCCCUUGGAUCAACAAGCAGAAGUAUUGAAGUUCAUGCAAGAAACAGGUCUGGGACUUGAUGAAUGCCUAGGGCAAGUUGAGACGCCAACUGCACCGCCCCCUGAGCCGAGAUGGCCUUAUGAGCUAGGCAAACCUCUAGUAAAGCCUUCAUUGGUACGAAAGCUAUCAACAAAGAUGUACGCAUUCCAUCAAUGGUACAUGAUGGCAUCCGCUGACUCAAGGGAGAUGCUCGGCCUGAAGGUAAAACCGAUGGAUUUUCACGACAGAGGCGAGAAAGUGCUGUGGCUAGACUUCAAGGAUAUAUACGAAGUGUACCAUCAUGAUGCCAUAGACGUCUCUCUGAUCCGCGCUUGGGUUCUGUAAGUGUCCGUUUAUCUCUACAUGUAAAUUUUGGCGUGCGUCACCGUACUAACUUCGUCUUCCAUUUCAUGUAGGAUGCUAAUUCAGACAUGCCGCCGAGAGGCGUACCUACAUAUAGGCUUCAUGGAUCCAUCUGUAGUUAACCAACAGCAGAUACAAUUAGCAUCGGAGAAAACCUUGGUGGAAGUAUACAAUUUCCUAGACAAACAAACAUUCAAGGAUUUCAUACUAUUUCCAUACAACUUCAAGUAAGUGUGUGUAUACCGUCUACUUUCGAUGUCUUUUUCCUUAUCUCUACAUGUUAGUUAGCUCUAAUAUGCAUGAACAUUUUACGCACGCAGCUUCCACUGGAUCCUUAUUAUAAUUGAGCCUCAAAGAAGCCACGUCACUGUCUUCAAUUCGUUGAGGAAAGAUCCAGUGGAGCACCAAGAAAUGCAACACAUGCUAGGCUUGUAAUAAUUCUGGACCUUUAUCUCUAUGCAAAAGUUUGUUUCCUAAAUUCUAUCCCUGUUACACUAUAUCAUUCAUUAUUCUAAUCCACAGCGUAUGGAAACAAUUCAUAAGGACACAAAAAGGUCCAUUCAAAGAAAAACUUACAUGGAACACAGACUUCCCGGUACAUAUGAAGUCUGCACAUUUAUUACAUUGUAUAACACGAAUAUUUCAUAACUUAUUUUUUUCCGUAUUGAAGUGCUUAAGACAGGAACUCGGAAAUAAUCUAUGUGGCUACUACAUCUGUGAGCACAUGCACAGUUUUAUGGGACCCAAGGGACUAAAGAUGACGCCGCACAACUUUAAAGUACGUAAAAUAAAACUAUUACUAGUUAAUUAUUUUCUAGCUCCUUAUAUGUAUUUGUUCACGUAACAUUCACAAAUUUCCAAAUUAUAGAUGUUAAAUAUUCAACAAGGACUCUUGAAGGAAGAAAGAGUAGCGGCAAUAUGUGAAGGUCUCAUUGGAUUCCUAAUGGACAAGGUGGUAGAUCCAAAAGGAGAAUUUUAUUUUGAUGGACGACAAUUAGACACUCUGAUCAGCAACACCUCGAUGGGAAGAUUGUAGAUAGAUACUUUGAUUUAUUUGUAUAUAUAAUACGCGCUAAUUAUGAUCGAUUUGUACUAGUUGAAUUCUGUAUAUGAAUUGUGUAUAAGAAUUGUGUAUAUAUAUAGUAACUGUAUAAUUACAAAUCCCAUUCGUUUAAAUACUAGUUAAUUUCAUUCUAAAAAAAUCUCAACUACUUAAGGUUAACAAAAGGGCUGCGGUACUACGUACGUGAUGCAUGCAUGAAAAAUUCAGGCGCCAGGCAGGUGCCAUGCAGGGCAUCAUUUAGUCCCGUUUGGAAUCCAGCCGGGACUAAAGGGUAACCCUUUACUCCCGGUUGGGAAACCCAACCGGGACUAAAGGGGGACCGUUACUCCCGGUUAAAAGACCCGGGACUAAAACCCCCCCUUUUGUCCCGGUUGGCUUAUCCCGGAUAAAUUUUCGGGAGAUAUGCACCCUACCAACCGGGACUAAAGGCCAAUUCUCCACUAGUGGAAGGUCCUUUCUCUACCAUGAAUAUUGCCAGAAAGAAUUGAAAGAGACCGCUUGCUAAAAACAUGUCAUAGAUGCGGACCAAGCUACCAAGGAGGUAGACCAAACAUGAUACACACCAUGCGUACCUUGCUGUGCAGACUAUGCAUGGACAAGAUACCCGACCACAUGUUGGCUUUGGUCACAUCAAAAGAAUCAUGUAGGCCAUUAAUAAACUACUUGAAGCGUCAUUCCGUAUCUUAUAUCCAUCAUCUGCAUUACAUUACAUUAAAUAUUAUUAACUAUUUGAAUAAAAUGAACCAAUUUAAAAAUAAUGAAUUGUACAUUACUACAAAAAGCCCUAGCACUGCCAGUUCCAAAAACAUCAUUGUUGACGGCCGUUAAGUACCAAAUAUGACGGUCAAUAUCCUAAAGAAUAAAGGACAAUUGGCAUUUCUUACACACAUAUUUGGUUUCGAAUAAUGUAGUUCUACAUGUCCUUGGAGAUUAUUUGGGUGUGGGUGAAAUAAUACAAAAAGAAGGAGAAAACACACUCCCAUGGCAAAGAAACAUAACUCCGACCAAUGAGAGAUAGCCACAGGGGCAGCACAUGGAUCCAUGGGCCCACAAACUGCAUCAAACCAUCUUACAAGGCGGGUAGCACCCACAACUGUCAUUAGGACCCACCUGGAAGUCUAGCAAAGAAGAAGGUUGUGAGUGGGGCCACGAGGGGUUCGGUUGAAUCAUCUCUAGCUCCCUUCAUCCCCAGCUGGCGCGUGGCGGUGGUUCAUGGUGUCCCGACAUCGGUUAGAGGACAUUCCCCCAAAUAUUCCUCCUGUAAACCAGCUCUAUGAACCUAUAAAUAGAGGGGUGUGCUCUCCAUUCCAACACACACCACAAGUUGAAGCACUCUCUCCCUCUUUAGUUUCCAAGUUUACGGAGAUAGGCUGGAGUAGCUCUGCUAAAGGUUCCAAGUCCACUUGGAGUUAAGCGUAUGUCUCUUGUAUCAUUAUUUCCUAGAGAGACUUUAUGCUAUUCAAGUUAUUUAUCUUCUUCAUAUAGUGUUAUGCUUAGUUCUUAUAUGCAUGAGUUAGUCUAAUACCCUUGCUCUAUUGAUAUGCUCAGCUUAUGUGCUCGUAUGCUAGUCAUGUACCCUUGCUGUCAUAGUAUAGGGUUAUAUGCUGUCAUGUGUGCCUAUAGACCUUGCUACAGUAUAUACUUGUUGUGUAUACAUACCAUUUGUAUAUACAUUAUUACAAGUUAAGGUAGUUUUAAAUAUCCUUGUGUUGACAACCAAAGCUUGAUCUUUUGUUUCCAUUGCCAGCGGAUUCAUCGGCUCAGAGUAGGAUCAAGACAUCAAGUUGAUGGAGUUCUUUAUAUUUCAAGAGGAGUCAUGGAGUUCUUUAUAUUUCAAGAGGAGUUGAUGGUGCUUUCAAUAUUGCAACCAGACAUCAUUGGCUCUGAAGACACCGAAUCAUCGGAGUUCUAUGAUCAGUUUCGGAACAUGAAGCCUUCAUACUCCGAAACUGGGGGGCCUGUGUUGACACCGAAUUAUCGGACUUCUAUAAUUAGUUUCGGAACAUGAAGCCUUCAUACUUCGAAACUGGGGGGUAUGUGUUUACACCAAAAUUUAGAAAUGUGCUCUGAAAGGAAGGACCUGGGAGAUCUAUUGGCUGAAAUACAAAUCCAUCGAAACUAGCCUUAUGCUAAGAGAUCAGAAUAUUGUACAAAGUCUAGAAAGUUCUAUUUACAUCUAAGUAACUCGAUAACUAGCCUUACGCUAAGAGAUCAGAAUAUUGGACAAAGCCUACAAAGUUCUAAUAUAGGUAACGUAAUGACCAGGUGAGGAUAGUUACAAGCUCGCUUGAGAUCGAAGCCGAUGUAGCCCUGCGCGCAAGAAGAAACUCACCUAUUUCUACUCUACUCUUACUCCUAGGGUUUGAUGGCGUGGCGUCAAAAGAUUGUAUUGAUUGAUUGAUUAUUUGAUACAAAGCUCAUGGGCCUAUAUUUAUACCCUUGAGAAAGCUAAAAUCCUAAUCAGUUAUGACAUGAAUCGUGACAGAAAAUCUAACUAAAGAUAGAUCUCCAUGCUUUCCCUUAUUUGGUGGAGUCGAUUUCACUUCAUAUCGGAUCCCUCCCGAUCUUCUAUCGGCUUCUAGCAUCCGGUCAUCUGCGACUGGCCUUGGUCAACAUCAGGUGUCAACAGACUUAUUUCUUCUACAAGUUCAUCGGCUGUCAGAGCCUUGUCUUAGUCAGUUGACUCUAGUAAAAAAUCGAUGUCAAUACAUGCCCCCCAAUUUUUGAAUAAAAUAUUAUAUUUCAAAAUUCUCUUCUCUUGUCAACAGCUUUUGAAAGAAAAAGAGUCACUGCUGCAAUCAUAAUCUUUUUCCCCGGGUUUUGUGAUAGCACCCUCCUCAUUUUAAGGGAUUCACCAUGUGGAAAUUAUAAUAUAACUGCUUCACCCAUUUCGUUUUCUUCACCAAACCAACUAUUGUCAGCCGCUACAACCAAAAAUCAAUUAUUCCCUUCACAUGCCUAGCGACUGCAUCCAUCACUCAUCGUCACCAUUAGUCUCCAUGUGUCAAGGCUUCUUCAACCAGCAAUGGCGACAUUAUCUUCCAUUCCACAGGUACCAUGUAUCCUAGCCAUUCCUUUCCCCUUUCAACCUGAAAUCCAAUCUAGUCACUAUAUAUCAAACCUGUGUUCUUAAUCAAUACUUGCCCCCUUGUACUUAGAAACACCCUUUUGAUCCCCAUAUCCGAUACGCAAGCAGAAUACUUUCUAGGCCCCAUGGGUAGUGAAGACCCAAUAGAAUCUAUUAAUGCUGAAAUACUUGGACAAAGUCUAGAAAGUUCUAUUUACAUCUAAGUAACUCGAUAACUAGCCUUACGCUAAGAGAUUUAAAUAUUGGAUAAAGCCUAGAAAGUUCUUAUAUAGGUAACUGAAAAGUGUGUUGACGCAAAAAUUGGAUGGUUGACUCCUGCGUACUAACACACGGAACCAGGGAGAAUCUGCUUAGCUACUGUUCGGGUUAUAGCCCUCUCGAUCCGUAGCGUGCCAGUUAAUCUGACCUGCUGAUUGACAAGUAAAAAUGUCAAAUUAAGAGCAAAUCAGCUGGUGUUCCGAAUCGCUCCACGGGACGUAUCAGUAGACAGCCGAUACGGGCAAACGACAAUCAGCUAGAUCAGCCGAUUUGCUCUUGUAUUUGACGUUUUACUUGUCCUUCUCAAUCAGCAGGUCAGAUUGACUCGCACGACGCAGAUCGAGAGGGCUAUAACCUAAACAAGAGCUAAGCAGAUUCUCCCGGGUUUCAUGUCUUAGUACACAGAAGUCAACCGUCUGAUUUUAUCAUCAACACGCUUUUUGGCACGCUCAGUGGGACCCGAUUCAUAUCUUAAUGGUAAUUGGUGAUCAAGUUUCAAACAACGUAUCCACUGGUAGAAAACUGAGCAUUAGUCCCGGUUGGUAAGGGUCAUAUCUCUCGGAUAUCCAUCCGGGAUAAACCAACCGGGACAAAAGGGGGGGGUCUUUAGUCCCGGGUAUUUUAACCGGGAGUAAAGGACCCCCUUUAGUCCCGGUUGGUGUCACCAACCGGGACUAAAGGGCCUGCCACGCCAGGCGCGGGACAGGCCCUUUAGUCCCGGUUGGUGACACCAACCGGGACUAAAGGGGGUCCCUUUAGUCCCGGUUGGAUUUCCCAACCGGGACUAAAGGGGUCCCCUUUAGUCCCGGCUCAAUUCCAACCGGGACUAAAUUGCGCUUGCAUGGCACUGGUGACGCCUGAAUUUUUCAUGCAUGCAUCACGUAUACGUAUAGUAGUACCGCGGCCCUUUUAAUUUGUUAACCUUGUAGUUGAGAUUUUUUUAGAAUGAAUUAAAUCAACUAGUAUUUAAACGAAUGGGAUUUGUAAUUACACAACUACUAUAUAUAUACACAAUCCUUAUACACAAUUCAUAUACACAAUUCAACUAGCUUAAUUAGUACAAAUCGAUCAUAUAUACAAAUAAAUCAAAGUAUCUUCCUACGAUCUUCCCGUCGUGGUGUUGCUGAGAGGAGUGUCUAAUUGUCGUCCAUCGUAAUAAAAUUCUCCUCUUGGAUUUACCACCUCGUCCAUUAUGAAUCCAAUGAGACCUUCACAUAUUGCCGCUACUCUUUCUUCCUUCAAGAGUCCUUGUUGAAUAUUUAACAUCUAUAAUUUGGAAAUUUGUGAAUGUUACAUGAACAAAUACAUAUAAGGAGCUAGAAAAUAAUUAACUAGUAAUAUAUUUAUUUUACGUACUUUAAAGUUGUGCGGCGUCAUCUUCGGUCCCUUGGGUCCCAAAAAACUGUGCAUGUGCUCACAGAUGUAGUAGCCACAUAGGUUAUUCCCGGGUUCCUGUCUUAAGCACUUCAGUGCGGAAAAAAAAUAAGUUAUGAAAUAUUCGUGUUAUACAAUGUAAUAAAUGUGCAGACUUCAUACGUACCGGGAAGUCUGUGUUCCAUGUAAGAUCUUCUUUGAAUGGACCUUUGUGUGUCCUUAUGAAUUGUUUCCAUACGCUGCGGAUUAGAAUAAUGAAUGACAUAGUGUAACAGGGAUAAAAUUUAGGAAAUAAAUUUUUGCAUAGAGAUAAAGGUCCAGAAUUAUUACAAGCCUAGCAUGUCUUGCAAUUCUUGGUAGUCCACCGGAUCUUUCCGUAACGAAUCAAAGACAGUGACGUGGCUUCUUUCAGGCUCAAUUAUAAUAAGGAUCCAGUGGAAGCUGCGUGCGUAAAAUGUUCAUGCAUAUUAGAGCUAACUAACAUGUAGAGAUAAGGAAAAAGACAUCGAAAGUAGACGGUAUACACACACUUACUUGAAGUUGUAUGGAAGUAGUAUGAAAUCCUUGAAUGUUUGUUUGUGUAGGAAAUUGUAUAUUUCGGCAAAGGUUUUUUCCGGCGCUAAUUGUAUCUGUUGUUGGUUAACUACAGAUGGAUCCAUGAAGCCUACAUGUAGGUACGCCUCUCGGCGGCAUGUCUGAAUUAGCAUCCUACAUGAAAUGGAAGAUGAAGUUAGUACGGUGACGCACGCCAAAAUUUACAUGUAGAGAUAAUAAACGGACACUUACAGAAUCCAAGCGCUGAUCAGAGAGACGUCCAGGGCAUCAUGAUGGUACACUUCGUAUAUAUCCUUGAAGUCUAGCCACAGCACUUUCUCCCCUUCACCGUGAAAAUCUAUCGGUUUUACCUUCAUGCCGAUCAUCUCCCUCGAUUUGGCGGAUGCCGUCAUGUACCAUUGAUGGAAUUCGUACAUCUUUGUUGACAGCUUCCGUACCAUUGCCGGCUUCACUAGAGGCUUGCCUAGCUCAUAAGGCCAUCUCGGCUCAGGGGGCGGUGCAGUUGGCGUCUCGACUUGCCCUAUGCAUUCUUCAAGUCCCAGACCUGUUUCUUCCAUGAACUUCAAUAUAUUUUCUUGUUGAUCCAAGGGCAUUGCUUUUACCCGUUGAGCAUCUUUCUUUGAUAAAUGGCUGAGGUCGGGGACUGAACCGCUGGAGGAUGAUUUUCCUUUUCUUUUAUCCUUUUCAUCAGCCUUUACUAGAGCCCGUUCAUAGUUUGACAAGAGUGGUAUCCUUUUCUUGGCUCCUUCCUCCAUCCUGAUAAAAAAGUUUAAAUCCCGCCGACUUACUGGCGGUGGCUCCAUCUCCCUUGCCCUUUUUAAUUCGGCUUGUUUCUUGAACCACUCACUGGCCUCUCGUUGGAUUUCUGCCCACUGUUCCGCAUGAGACAUUGCCUCAAAGCGUUCCUUGCGAGCCACUUCAGGGUCGACCUUUGUUUUCUUCUUUCGAGGCUGUCUUUGCUUGGGAGGCGGUGCUCGUGACUUCUUGAGUGGUGCUGCAGGUUCCUUCGAGGGGGCCGCUCUUGGUGCCAGCGACGGUGAUCGGGGAGGGGUGUUGUUAUUGUCGUCGUCGCUCCCAGCACCAGGAUGUGGUGGAGAUGGAGACCUUGAUAUAGAUGGAAGCGACGGUCCUGGAGCAGGAGAUGCCGGUCUCGAGGUAUGAGGAGAAGGUCGCUGCUCGGGAUCUACGGGGAGCGGUCUUGAGGUCUGAGGAGAUGGCUCCGUGCGGGAAAUAAUGAUGUAGCGUUUCUUCCAUAGAAUGAUCCCAUGAAGCGCAUCUGCCAAUGUCUUUUCCCCGUCGCCUCCCGGGAAGUCGAGCUCUAGACCUUCAUACUGGGCAUCUACUAUUUGCUCGACGCAGACGCUGGCGUAGCCUGUUGGAAUGUCCAUGCCAUGACUGCUCUGCCCUGCCAGCGUUGGUAACGCACUCCCAUACGCUACCUGUACAUAUAGCAGAAGUAAACAAGUUGAACUCCGAUCUCGAGGCCUGGAUCAAUUGACAAGAUUGCAUAAAUAUUAUGUAUAAGUAUACCUUAAUAGUGAGGUUGCCGACCGGUGCAUGCAGCUCACAUGAGGUCCGUUGCGUGAUGGCAUCCACGGGGAACCGUUGCUCCUCCACGGGUAACCUGGGCGUCUGCGCAUCGGGGACCCCUGUAGAAGCACAACUGCUCCCGAGGCGUUGAGAAGGGCUGGCGGUGUGAGGAUUCGGCAGUGCUCCAGAUUGCGCCAACUCCGCAACUGCGUCGGCCACCCGCCGAUUGAUUUCAUCCAUCAUUCGUUGUUCUAGCAUCUGCCGCCAGCUCUCCUCCAUCUGUUCCUUUCUUCGCUUCCGGCUUCUGUAAGAGGCGCUGUCGCCUCGGAAAGCGAACUUCCACGGAACCACCCCGAACCCCCGGCAACGUCCUGGGUGCUCUGGAUUACCGAGGGCCAAUGUGAGCUCAUCAUUUUCUCGGUCCACCCUCAACCUCCCAGCCUUGGAAUCUUCAAUGUUCUUCAUGAGAUGUUCGGCCUUCUCACGUAUUCUGUCAUUGAAAAUCAGCGUCCCAUCCUCUUGGCUUAGGGAGCCUCCAUGAGCGUAGUACCAGUUCUUUGAUCGUUCGGGCCAUUCAAUAGUUGCAGGUAUGAUUCCCCGUUCGAUCAGAUCUUGUUCCAUCUUUCUCCACUUGGGAAUUGCUGAGCCAUACCCACCUCGCCCCAAAUGAUGGUGGUAGCCCUUCUGACUAGCAUUUGCAACGUUGGUCGUGAUCUUUUUCACACCUUCUUCACUCCUCUUGUAUUCAACAAAUGCAUCCCAGUGGUCCCUCAACUUGGGCCACGCGUUGAAGUCUGGAGUUUUGCCCUUCUUGAUGUAGUGGGUGUCCAGCAUCUUCUUGAAUGUCUGGAAUUGAGUAGCCAUCUUCUUAAGUGUCCACGCUUUGACAUCCUUCUCGCUAUAAUCUUCGGGGAAUGUGAAAUGCCUCUUCACGUCUUCCCACAGCAUAUUCUUUUCUGUCUCUGGAAGGGCGUACGGAUUAUCGCUUCUGCCCUUCCAUUCUCUGAUGCUGAUAGGCACGUUGUCCCGGACAAUUGCCCCGAUUUGACUAACGUACUUCUUUGCGACUUUCUCGGGAGCAACCGGCCUGCCCUCAUCUGUAACUUCGGUGAUGACAAGCCUCCCUUCCAUCACCUUUGUACGACCUCGGGUCUUCUGCCCUUGUGUCGAUCCGGAGGGCUAACAGUUUAAGAUUCGUUAAUUAGUACGUACUAGUAGCGGUGGCGUGAAACAAUACAAGAAUGGUUGUAUAUACCUCGCCGGAACCUUCCGCCACGGCAAGUUGUUGCUGCGGCUGUUGCUCUUCAUUCACAUCGGCAGACAUGUUGAGGAACAUGUCCGCCUGGGUGCCCUCUUCAUCCGUGUAUGAUAGUGGAACGUUGUCGCCACUAUCAUCACCAGCGAUUAUCUGCUCCAUGAUAUACCUUGCGGUCUCAUCGUCUGCCAUUUCAACUAUUGCUGCAAACAUACAUGGAAUCAUACAUGACAGUCAUAGAAAUCGUCUUAAUACAAAUUUGUAUAUAAUCACAGUUCGGAAUCAUACAUGUAUAUAAUGAAAUCAUAAAAUAACAUGAAUCGUACAAAGUCCGGAAUCUUUAUACAAAUUUCUAUGAAUUUAUACAAAUUUCUAUGAAUUUAUACAAAUUUCUAUGAAUUUCUAUGAAUUUCUAUGAAUUUCUAUGAAUUUCUAUGAAUUUCUAUGAAUUUAUACAAAUUUCUACGAAUUUCUAUGAAUUUCUAUGAAUUUCUAUGAAUUUAUACAAAUUUCUACGAAUUUCUAUGAAUUUCUACAAAUUUCUACGAUUUUCUAUGAAUUUCUACAAAUUUCUACGAAUUCCUACGAAUUUUGACGAAUUUCUACGAAUUUUGACGAAUUUCUACGAAUUUCUACGACGGCGAUAAGGGCGGCGAAGGCGGGACGGCGGCGGUCAGGGCGGCGGAGGCGGGACGGCGGCGGUCAGGGCGGCGGAGGCGGUUCACCGGAACCACGGGCGGUGCCUAAGCUACUACGUUGUGAUGGGCGGCAGGACGGCGGCGAUCACGGCGGCUACUCGGCGGCGAUCACGACGGCUACAAGGCGACUGUCACGGUAGCUACUCGGCGGGACGGCGGCGAUCACGACGGCGGGACGGUAGUUAACAACCUAACUACAAAUCUAACUUAACAAACUAACUAGAAAUCUAAAAAUCUAACUUAACAAAAUUAGAAAUCUAAAAAUCUAACUUAACAAAAUUACAAUUCCAUCUAAAAAAACAAAAUUAAAAAUUAAAAGAAAACGGCCAGCUCUCCCGGCGCACCGGCCGGCGCGGCAGACCUCUCGCGCGCGGGGCGGCGGCCGGGGCGGCGGGACGGCGGCGGCCGGGGCGGCCUGACGGCGGCGGCUGGGGCGGCGACGAGGACGAAGACGACGACGGCGGGAUGACGGCGGCCGAGGCGAAGACGACGACGGCGGCCGGCGAGGGGCGACGAGGAUGGAGCUGGCGACGAGGGGCGAUGCAGCCGGCGAGGGAGGCGGACGGGCGGCGACGGGCGGAGAGGGAGGCGGACGGGCGGCGACGGGCGAGGGAGGCGGACGGGCGACGACGACGGCGCAAUGCGGGACUUCGACGGCGCAAUGGGGGACGACGACGGCGGCGGCCGGCGAGGGAGGCGGACGGGCGGCGACGGGCGGAGAGCGCGGGACUUGCGAAAAUUUCGCUAAGUGUGGAACUGGCGGGGGGUAGAAGGGAGUACAGUGCUUUUAACCCCCCCCCCCUUUUAUCCCGGUUCGUAAUGGCACCCGGGACAAAAAGGGCCUUUUGUCCCGGGUCCUGUCACCAACCGGGACAAAAGGCCCCCCCUUUUAUCCCGGUUGGUGACGGGACCCGGGAUAAAAGGGUGCGCUCCCAGCCCCACCUGGCGGGGGCACCCUUUUAUCUCGGGUCCCGUUACCAACCGGGACAAAAGGCCCCCCCUUUUAUCCCGGUUGGUAACGGGACCCGGGACAAAAGGGUGCCCCCGCCAGGUGGGGCUGGGAGCGCACCCUUUUAUCCCGGGUCCCGUCACCAACCGGGAUAAAAGGGGGGGGCCUUUUAUCCCUGUUGCAAAUGGCAACCGGGAUAAAAGGGUACGUUCGGGCGGGAGACGAAACGUACCCUUUUAUCCCGGUUGCCGUUUGCAACCAGGAUAAAAGGGGGGCCUUUUAUCCCGGUUGCUGUUAGCACCCGGGACAAAAGGUCCUUUUUCCUAUUUUUCUUCUCCCGCCUGUUUUUUGGAAAUGGAUUUUAUUUAACCUUUUCACUGCAUUCCAGGAUGAAAAACAAAACCUUCUCAGAUUUUGUACAUGCAAAAAUAUAUUUAAUUAACGAGUAAAUUGACAAUAAGUAUGAAGUAAUCAUUAUUUCUAUACCAACUCAUAUAGCCUGUAAAAUAUUUAUUUUACUGCAUUGCUGUGAUCAAUAAAUUAUUCAAUUAAAUUUUUUGAAUGCGCAGAAAAAUCCAUGUUAGUAUGUGGUUAACAAUGUUCAUGUAUAUCUAAAAAAUCUUCACCUAACAAAUUUAAUUACAAAUUUUAUCAAUUAAUACACAAAGGUCAUGCACAUUUAACGCAUUACAAUACAACGUUGUAAAAUUUCUUCUUCACGAAAGUUCCUUGAUCAUGAUCGCGGCGUAAGUACGGAGCCUCUUCUUUGGACAGCAGGAUGCUUGGAUCAACUUCAACGUCGAAUGGAGGCAUGCCAUCAAACUGAUCAUAAUCAUCUGAUUGGUCUGUUUUAUCCUCGACUCCCACGAUUUUUCUUUUACCUAGAAGAACUAUGUGGCACUUUGGCUCCCAUGUCUCUUCUGGAUUCCUCUUGGGUUUGCUGCACAUGUCCUUCACAUAGAACACCUGAUGCACAUCAUUGGCAAGUACGAAUGGGUCAUCACUGUAUCCAGUCUUGCUCAGAUCUACUAUUGUCAUUCCGUACUGAUCUUUGGUGACGGCAGUUAGCUUCACCCAAUUGCAAAGAAAUAGAGGGAUGUACAGCGGUCCGUAUUCGAGUUCCCAUAUCUCCUGUAUGAAACCAUAAUACGACUCCUUGCUAUUAUUUCUGUCCAUGGCAUCUAUGCGGACACCACUAUUCUGGUUCGUGCUUUUCUGGUCCUGGGCUCUCGUGUAAAAUGUGUAACCAUUUAUCUCAUAGCCUUGGAAUUUGACGAUUGUGGUAGCAGGUCCCCUGGCUAACCAAGCAAGCUGUGGGUGAAUCUCAGAGUUACCCAUAAGUUGUUGGCGCAACCAGGAGGGAAAAGUUUCCAUGUGAUGACGGGUAAGCCAAGCAUCGGAUUUGGUCGGGUUUUUGGAAGCUACCAUCUGCCUGUGCUGCUCGAUAUACGGAGACACAAAGGAUGACUGUUGUAGAACAGUGUAGUGUGCCUUGUCGAACAAAUUAGUAUCAUUGCUCAAACUUGAUUUCCUUCCAAGGGUGCCCAUUCCUCGGAGCCUCCCCUCGUGGCGUGAAGUUGGAACCCCAAUCGAGUCAAUUGAAUCAAUAAAAUCAACACAAAACUCGAUCACCUCCUCUGUUCCAUAUCCCCUGGCGAUGCUUCCUUCUGGACGAGCACGAUUACGAACAUAGUUUUUUAGGACUGCCAUGAACCUCUCGAAAGGCCACAUAUUGUGCAGGUAUACAGGUCCGAGAAUACCAAUCUCUUUUACUAGGUGAACCAGUAAGUGCGUCAUAUUAUUGAAGAAGGAUGGUGGAAAUAACAACUCAAAACUGACAAGACAUUGCACCACAUCGUUCUGUAGCUUUGAUAGCUUGGAUGGAUCGAUUGCCUUCUGCGAAAUCGCAUUGAGAAACGCGCAUAGCUUUACGAGCGGCAACCGGACAUUUUCGGGUAGAACACCCCUCAGUGCAACCGGAAGCAACUGGGUCAUCAACAUGUGGCAGUCAUGAGCCUUGAGAUUUGUAAACUUCUUUUGUUUCAUAUUUAUUAUUCCCUUUAUAUUCGAGGAGUACCCAGACGGGACCUUCAUACUAUUCAAGCAUUCAAACAUACUAUCCUUCUCCUCCUUGCUGAGAGUGUAACUGGCAGGACGUAAGUAGUGCUGUCCAUUAUCUCUCUUUUCCGGAUGUAGGUCAUCUCGUUGCCCCAUGGCUUUCAGGUCCUGUCUUGCUUCCAAUGUAUCUUUUGAGGUUCCAUAAACACCCAUGAAGCCUAGCACGUUCACGCAAAGAUUCUUCGUCAGGUGCAUCACGUCUAUUGCGUUGCGAACCUCUAGGAUUUCCCAAUAAGGUAGCUCCCAAAAUAUUGACUUUUUCUUCCACAUGGGUGCAUGUCCGUUAUCAUCGUUCGGAAUAGGUUGGCUACCAAGUCCCUUUCCAAAGACUACAUGUACAUCCUUCAUCAUCUCGAACACACGCUUUCCAUUACGGUGUGCAGGUUUUUUACGAUGGUCUGGCGUCCCUUUGAAAUGCAUCCCGCUCUUUCUCAGCUGGUGGUGAGCAGGGAGAAAUCGACGAUGACCCAUAUAGACGACCUUCUUACAGUGCUUCAAGUACAUGCUAUCUGUGUCAUCUAAACAGUGGGUGCAUGCCCGAUAUCCCUUAUUUGUCUAUCCUGAAAGGUUACUCAAUGCAGGCCAAUCGUUGAUGGUUACGAACAACAGUGCUCGUAGAUUAAAGAUCUCUUGUCUAUCCUCAUCCCACACACGUACACCUUCUUCCUUCCAGAGCUGUAAAAGGUCAUCAACCAACGGCCUUAGGUACACGUCAAUGUCGUUGCCGGGUUGUUUUAGGCCUUGGAUAAGCGCCGGCAUCAUAAUGAACUUCCGCUUCAUGCACAGCCAAGGAGGAAGGUUGAACAUACAAAGGGUCACAGGCCAAGUACUAUGACCACUACUCAACUCACCGAAUGGAUUGAAUCCAUCAGUGCUUAAACCAAACCUUAUGUUCCUUGCUUCACUUUCAAAGUCUGGGAAUGUUCUAUCAAUUGAUCUCCACUGUGCCCCAUCUGCGGGGUGUCUCAGCAUCUCAUCUUCCUUACGGUCUUCUUUGUGCCAUCGCAUCAACUUAGCAUUCGCCUUGUUCCUGAACAAGCGCUUCAAGCGUGGUAUUAUAGGGAAAUACCACAUCACCUUCACGGGAACUCUCUUCUUGGGAGACUGCCCCUCGACAUCACCAGGAUCAUCUCGCCUGAUCUUAUACCGCAGGGCUUCGCAGACGGGACAAGCAUCCAAUUCCUCGUAUUCAUCACCACGAUAGAGGAUACAGUCAUUAGGGCAUGCGUGUAUCUUCUGAACAUCCAAUCCGAGAGGGCAAAUAAUCUGUUUAGCUUCAUAUGUUGUGGACGGUAAUUCAUUAUUCUCGGGGAGAAUCUUCUUGACAAUUCUCAACAUCCCCUGAAAUGCCUUAUCGGACACACCAUUUUUUGCCUUCCAUUGCACAAAUUCUAGUGUCGUACCUAGUUUUUUAUGGCCCUGCUGGCAACCUGGGUACAACAAUUUUUGGUGAUCAUCUAUCAUGCGCUGCAACUUUGCUGCUUCCUUCUCAGUUUCGCAAUCUCUGUAUGCAUCUCGUAUCACCUGACCAAGGUCAUCAGUAGGGUCAUUUUCUGCAAACUCAUCUUCAUCAGCCUCGCCCAUUGUAGUACCUGCAAAAGCUUGGCCUGCAACCCAGUCCGGAAUGGUGUCAUCUUCCUCCUCCUCCUCGCCAUCUUCCAUUACAACCCCUAGUUCACCGUGCUUGGUCCAAACCAAAUAGUUAGGCAUGAAACCGUAUUUAAACAAGUGGCUGUGAAUAGUCCCCCAGGAAUUCUUUGAAUACUCCUUCCUGUUAUUGCAUUGGAAGCAUGGACAACAUACGAACCCAUUCUCUGGCUUGUUCGCUUUUGCCACUUCGAGAAAAUAAUGCAAGCCAUCAAUAAACACCUUGCUCCGCCUGUCUGCAUUAUACAUCCAAUGCCGGUCCAUCUGCAUCGUAUUACGCACGAAAAUGGAUUACACUUGACAAUGGAUUACGCGUGAAAAUCGAUUAAAGAUCCAAACAACAUGGUACAAUACAACAACAUGAAGAUCCAAAUACACAUAUUUAAAUUAAAGUCCCAAACACUGCAUAAGUUGUUCAACUUGAAGACCGUGAUCAUCUCGUGAGGAUGUCCUCAACUGGGCGGCACCGCACUUCGUCAUUAAAGAGGUUAGAUGCUACGGAAAAGGGGACACGGUCACAAUGUCCGUAUCCACUCUUUCUCGUAGAAUCGAACCUCCUUCUUGACAUACGUUGCUGCUCGGCGGAGAACAUCCUCGGCGAGAUGAACACGGUAUGCAAGUUCAACAAGUAGCAGAAGUCAUCUAUGUACAAAAAUUCUUUCCUUACCACUACAGAAGUUGUUGAACUUGAAGACCGUGUUCAUUUCGCGAGGAUGUCCUCAGCUAGGCGGCACCGCACUUCGUCAUGAAAGAGGUUAGAUGCUACGGAAAAGGGGACACGGUCACGAUGUCCGUAUCCACUCUUUCUCGUAGAAUCGAACCUCCUUCUUGACAUACGUUGCUGCUCGGCGGAGAACAUUCUCGCCGAAAUGAACACGGUAUGCAAGUUCAACAAGUAUAUGGAUUUAAAAAACCAUAUUGAAUUUGAUAAGAUAAACCGUCUAGACAAGGUAGCAUCAUUUUUAAACCACUGAAAUAAUGCAUACUAUAUAUGACACAUCAAUCUCCCUCACAUUCUAGCUCAAAAUACCUCUCCAUUUUUCUACUUCAUCAUCACAUUGUAGCAAAUAAUCUUUCCAUCUCCAAAGCAUAAAUCAAAGCAUAACACGAGGAUGAAGUAGCAAACCUUCGCAGCACUUGUUGGCUGAGUCAAAUUCCCACGAAAAUGAGGGAAAAAAGUUCGGGCAGCACCUCCCUUGCUUGGGCACCACCGGAGAGUAGGUGAAGCUCAGCUCUCUAUCAAUGUGCUGGACUGCUCGGGCUGGAGGAAGAAGAAAGUCUCUGUCUCGGGGUAUAGUGGGGGAUGAGUUUUAAUCCCGGUUAAAAACUCCAACCGAGACAAAAGGAAACACCUUUUGUCCCGGUUGGAAAGUUAGUCCCGGUUGGAGGAUCCAACCGGGAUAAAAGGGACACCCUUUUAUCCCGGUUGGAGGCACCAACCGGGACUAACCCUUUUAUCCCGGUUGGUGCCUCCAACCGGGAUAAAAGGGUGUCCCUUUUAUCCCGGUUGGAUCCUCCAACCGGGAUAAAAGGGUCCCGCCACCGACGGCCCCCGCUAGCCGUUGCAACCGGGACUAAAGGGGGGCCUUUAGUCCCGGUUGCAAUUACCAACCGGGACUAAUGCUCCCCUCCAAAUUCCCGCACCCCGGCGCACCCCCUUUUGUCCCGGGCCACUUUUAAACCGGGAUAAAAGGGGGUUGAUCGAAAGUCAGUUCUCUACUAGUGAUCGGUGACUCCGCUCGAGGAGAAUUGUUUAUAUCAAGCAUAGAAAUGACAACGUUGGAAGUGGAGGAUAUAUUUUGCUCUGUUGAUUUAAUUGCCGCGAGAGUGGCGGACAAGUUCUAAUGAUUGAAGAUCAGAAGCGUCUCGUGGAGAAUUUUUCAGAAGCUAUAUUUGGAAUUAUUAUAUUAUCUCAGGAGCAGAUUAAAUAUAACGCCACCACUGAAAGCCGAUGAGAUGUAUCUAUCGGCUACAUGCUAUUCAGAUGAAUUUGAUGACAGAUUAAUUACGGAGGAGACCGACCGAUACAACAUUAUGGUUUCUUACUGCUGAUCUGUUAUGAAAGAGGAUGUGAGAAGCUGAUAAUCAAGCAACAAUAAAAUGAUAUACACGCAGGGCAUUAAAUAUUGAGUUAAUGAUUGGGAGUACUACCAUUAUCUUAUGAAAAGUCCAUCGGCUAACCAAACAGCGUCAGCCGAUGGAAGCAAAUAGUGUCAGCCGAUAGAAUGAUGUUAUAUAAGUAUAUAUAUCGGCCUCCGAGCCAAUGGGAAGUAGGAACUAUCAGCCGAUGCACACAUCCAUGGACAUAGCCGAUAAGACAUUGUAUCGGCUGCUUGGCAAAUAAAAAUAGCAUCGGCUGACCGCUUGUUAAAAUAUUAUCGGCCGAUUGCUUGGCAAAAUAGUAUUGGCUGACUGCUUGGCAAAUAAAAAAAUAAUAGGUUGACCAAAAAAGGAUAGCAUUGCCUGAUUGCUUGGCAAAUAAAAAAAAUUACGUCGGCUGAUUGGUUCCAGCAAAAUAGUAUCGGCUGCUUGUUGAUCAGAAAAAGCCGAUACUGUUACAGCUCCCGCAACUGUGCUUUGCUGUCAUCGGCUGGGUUGUUCGUGCUCCAUCUGCAAAUAUUUGUCCCGGCUAGAAAGUAUCGUACGUGCAUUGGGAUUCGGCAGUACAAAUCACGUACACGCGUAUGGUCUGCUCAGAAGCUGUCUGUUCGACGAAGUUCCAGGCCAAUGGUGGAGACUUGAUGACCAUGGUGACCUGCAUUAAUCAACAUGAAGUAUGUAUCGGCUGUUCGGUGAUUGGUAGCAAAUCAGCUUUCUCAUAGCCGGUGACAUAUGGGGCAAGAAAUAUCAGGCUUAAAAAAGGACAGUACGAUCAAUGUCGAAAGUUGUAGCCGACGGUUCUAUUAUUGUGCAGUCGAUGGAACAUAGAAGAUGCAUCUGAAUGAGCAAAAGGAAGGGAGCCGAUAGAAGGGAAUUUAAGUUGCAUGAGAUCCAAUUAAAUUAAGAUGACGAGAGGUGUUGACAUCGAAUCAUCGGACUUCUACGAAGUCUUCAUACUCCGAAACUAGGGAGUCUGUGUUAACACCAAAAUUUAGAAAUAUGCUGAUGCAAAAAAAUAAUGAAAUCUCCUAAAUAAGGCUCAAGAAAGAAAAAGCAAGAAAAGAAAAUCAAUCGCACGCGGCAAGAAUUGAAUAAAAUAUUCUAGAGGUAGAGUUGGUUAGGAUAAGCUUAAUUAGGGAUAGAGUUGGAUUAGUUAGAGAUAGUAUUUUGAUUAGAAAAGAUUGUGUACAUGACUUGUACGUGGUGCGUCAGAGGCCAUCCGCCCUAUAAAUAUAAGGGGUCGUGGCCAUUGUAAUUAUCAUCACACGAUCAAUAUACAACAUAUUUAUCUUUUACCUUUUCGGCUUCACGCCAUUGUAUUAGGAGUAGGAGUAAUGUAGCUUCCUGACGAGUUCCUUCUAGCAAGCUGUGCUGCAUUGACCUUGAUCUCUGGCGAGCUGCAAAGUUCCGUCACCAGGUGUUCUAGGCUUUAACCACCGGGCGCAUCGCUUGUGGUUUCGUCUAGUUUCAUCUACAAGGUAUCGAAUAUCAUGGAUCUUUAACUUACGCAUCGCUUCUGUCUUGAUCUACGGUAUUCACCAGUUAUCCUGCCUUGGUUAAGUCUGCAUCGGCUGAUAUUUAUCUGUUCUAUCAUCUUGCCGUUCAGUUUGCUUUAAUUAGCUUUAGAUCGGUUCAUUAUAGAUGAUAGAUCGCUUAAUAGCCUGUUGCAUCUUAAUCUUGGUUACCCCUUCAAGUGCUGUUGGGAUUAAGUUUCGUUAUGAUUGGAUUCAUCGGCUGGUGGGGUUGGUGGGGUUCAGAUUAACAUCGUGCUAAAUAUUUCUAGACUGCAACUACUGGACGCAUCGCUGUGGUUUCAUCUAGAGAUAUUGGUAGAGAGUUUAGUUUAGAUCUCAUCGGUUCGUGGCUCUAGCUAUGGUGGAGCGGCAGCUGAAUAGCAUCCUGUUUUCUAUCGGUCGCCUGGCCGAUAGUUAUUGCAAAAUAUAUUAAAUCGCCUGGAUGGCCGAUGGAUCACUCACGCUCGUCAAGGAUCAUAUCGGCCUGAUCGGCCAGUUGCCUCGGACUUCAAAGGAUUAUUUUCACCUUGUCAGUUGAAUGGUCAAACUGGCUGGCACGCCCGCGCACACCAUGCGCGCCGAUUUGGAUUUUGCACUGGAGUUAAGUAGAUCUUCCAGGUCCUCAUGUGGUGACGAAGGAUCCACCACCAUCAGGAUUUUGCGUCAACACAUUUUGGCACGCCCAGUGGGACACGGUUAUAAGGUUCAUAUUUUUAUUCAUAUAAAAAAGCAUCUUCGGCAUCAUCGGCCAAAUGAGUGUUCAUCGGCUUGUUAGAAUUAAUUCAAUAUAAUAUUUCAGCAAAAGCAGCCGAUGUAGCGAUUGGAGAUAAGGCCAAGUCAAGUCUGCGUGUAUACGCAUGUUCCGGUGGGAUCAUCUUCAUAAAUGCCAAUGACGAUUAGAGAUGAAGCUUCCUGCAAAAUGAUUGGCUACUCUAUCCGGGAAGAAUUGCUUUUUUAUGAGGCAUAUAUAGAGACCCAUGUUGCAAUUAGGGGGCGUAUUCGUGCAUUGGCUGAAAUAAAAAAAUGCAUCGGCAUAUUGAAAAUUGCAUCGGCCGAUUGACAGUCGUAUCAGCUGAUUGGAAAAAUAAAAAGGGAUCAGGGAUCCGCCGAUUGAAAAUUGCAUCAGCUGAUGGAAAAUGAGAGCAACAGUUACAAUAUUUUUUUUAAAAGAAAGCAAGUAUCGGCAAGCAGUAGCCGAUGGAUUUGUAUUUCAGCCAAUGGGGUUUUUGUUUCAGCUGAUAGUACUACUGGCUGAUGGCAAGUCCAAUGGAGUUAAAAUUGCAUUGACUGAUUGAAAUAAAAAUUAAGUAUCGGCUAAUUUAUGGCCAAGUAGCAUCUGCUGAUUUGUUGCAAAGUAGUUUCGGCUGAUUUAUGGCAAAAUAGAAUCGGCCGAUUUAUGGCAAAGAAGCCAAUAGACAAAAGCAUCGGCUGGUAGAGAAGCCGAUUGAGCAAGCAUCUGUUGAUGAGCUAUGUAUGGGAAAAAGUAUUGGCUGCUUAAACAAUUGACAAAAGCCAAUUGGUCAGACUGAGAAGCCAACUGGGAAAGCAUCGAUCGAUGGAUUGCGUAUGGGAGAGAGUAUCGGUUGAAGUCUUUAGUAUUGACUGCUAGAUAUUUGAGCAAGCGUCGGCCGAUUGACUGCUUGGUAAAAAAAACAUCGGGCUGAUUGCUUGGUUAAUAAAAAAAUUGCAUCGUUCAAGCAAAGAUUGCAUGGGCUGAUUGGUUCAAGCAGAAUAGUAUCGGUUGCUUAUAGAAUAUAUCGGAUAUUAAUUUCGAAGCAUGAAAAUAUUCAUACUCCGAAACUGGGGGGCCUGUGUUGACAACAAAAGCUUGCUGGUUACUGCAUCAAGUUUUGGUGUCAACAUACUUGAUCUUUUGUUUCCAUUGCCAGCGGAUUCAUCGGCUCAGAGUGGGAUCAAGACAUCAAGCUGAUGGAGUUCUUUAUAUUUCAAGAGGAGUCAUGGAGUUCUUUAUAUUUCAAGAGUAGUCGAUGGUGCUUUGAAUAUUGCAACCAGACGUCAUUGGCUCUAAAGAUACCGAAUCAUCGGACUUCUAUGAUCAGUUUCGGAACAUGAAGCCUUCAUACUACGAAACUGGGGGCCUGUGUUGACACCGAAUCAUCGGACUUCUAUAAUUAGUUUUGGAACAUGAAGCCUUCAUACUUCGAAACUGGGGGGCCUAUGUUAACACCAAAAUUUAGAAAUGUGCUCUGAAAGGAAGGUAUCGGCCGAUGAUGCAAAAAAAUAAUGAAAUCUCCUAAAUAAGGCUGAAGAAAGAAAAGCAAGAAAAGGAAAUCAACGCACACGGCAAGAAUUGAAUAAAAUAUUCUGGAGAUAGAGUUGGUUAGGAUAAGCUUGAUUAGAGAUAGAGUUGGAUUAUUUAGAGAUAGUAUUUUGAUUAGAAAAAAUUGUGUACAUGACUUGCCUUGUACGUGGUGCGUCAGAGGCCAUCCGCCCUAUAAAUAUAAGGGGUCGUGGCCAUUGUAAUUAUCAUCACACGAUCAAUAUACAACAUAUUUAUCUUUUACCUUUUCGGCUUCACGCCAUUGCAUUAGGAGUAGGAGUAAUGUAGCUUCUCGACGAGUUCCUUCUAGCAAGCUGGGCUGCAUCGACUUCGAUCUUCGGUGAGCUGCAAGUUCCGUCACCAGGUGUUCUAGGCUUUAACCACUGGGCGCAUCGCUGUGGUUUCGUCUAGUUUCUUCUACCAGUUACCGAGUAUCUUGGAUCUUUGACUUAUGGCACAUCGCUUCUGUCUCGAUCUACGGUAUUCACCAGUUAUCCCGCCUUGAUUAAGCUUGCAUCGGCUGAUAUGUAUCUGUUCUUUCAUCUUGCCGUUCAAUUUGCUUUAGUUAGCUUUAGAUCGGUUCAUCAUAGACAAUAGAUCAUUUAAUAGCAUGUUGCAUCUUGAUCUUAGCUAUCCUUCGAGUGUUGUUGGGAGUAAGUUCCGUUGUGAUUGGAUCCAUCAGCUAGCAGGGUUUAGAUUAACAUCCUGCUAAAUAUUUCUAGACUGCAACUACCGGGCACAUUGUUGUGGUUUCACCUAGAGAUAUUGGUGGUGACGUUAGUUUAGAUCUCAUCGGCUUGUGGCUCUAGCUAUGGCGGGGCAACAACUCAACAACAUCCUGUUUUCAAUCGACCGUCUAACUGAUAGCUAUUGUAAAUUAUAUUAAAUCGGCUGGAUGACGAUGAAUCACUCACAUUCAUCAAGGUACUGGAAUCGGCUUCACAGCCGAUAUAUUUGUCAUGAUUUAUUUUGUUGCACCAUUAUCGCUACUGUGCUAGGAUUAUAUCGGCCUAAUCGGCCAGUUUCCUCGGACUUCACAACGACUAUCAUCUCCUUGUCAGUUGAAUGGUCAAACUGACUGGCAUGCCCGCGCACACCACACGUGCCGAUUUGGAUUCUGCACUGGAAUUAAGCAGAUCUCCCAGGUUCUCAUGUGCUGAUGCAGGGUCCACCACCGCCAGGAUUUUGUGUCAACACCUUGUAAUCUUCCUUUGAUUUCCUCAAUGAUUCGAAGACAAUAACCUUGCUUGUAUAAAUGAUAAUUAUAAGGAGAACCUAGUGGAAACUGUGUAUUCAUAUUAGAACUACCUAUGGUUAAUUAGGUUAGGAAAGGAAAUCGAAAAUAGACCGUACCCACACUUACUUAAAGUUGUUGGGCAGUAGUAUGUAAUGCUUGUAAUUCUGUUACUCCAAGAAUUUGUAUAUGUGGUCCAAUGUAGACUUUGGUUGAUCCCAUAUCUGUUGUUGGUUAAAUAAGUGUUUCUGGCCAUUUCUAGCCGUUAGAACCGGAACUAAAGGGGGCUCUUUAGUACGGGUUGAUAUUACUAACCGGGACUGAAGAGCCCCCAUUACAGUUGGUUUUUGGACGCGGAACUAACAACUCCUUUAGUCCCGAGUCCAAAAACGACUGAGAUAGAAGAUCCUUUCUCUACCGUGAAUAUUGCCAGAAAGAAUUGAAAGAGACCGCUUGCUAAAAAUAUGUCAUAGAUGUAGACCAAGCUACCAAGGAGGUAGACCAAACAUGAUACACACCAUGCGUACCUUGCUGUGCAGACUAUGCAUAGACAAGACACCCGACCACAUGUUGGCCUCGGUCACAUCAAAAGAAUCAUGUAGGCCACCAAUAAACUACUUGAAGCGUCAUUCCGUAUCGUAUAUGCAUUGCCGGUUCAUCUGCAUUACAUUACAUAAAGUAGUAUUAACUAUUUGAAUAAAAUGAACCAAUUUAAAAGUAAUGUGUUGUACUCUACUAUAGAAAGCCCUAUCACUGUCGGAUCCAGAAACAUCAUUGUUGAUGGUCGUUAAGUACCAAGACGGUCAAUAUUCUCAAGAAUAAUGGAGAAUUGGCAUUUCUUACACACAUAUUUGGUUUUGAACAAUGUAGUCCCACAUGUCCUUGGAGAUUAUUUGGGUGUGGGUGAAAUAAUACAAAAAGAAGGAGAAAACACACUCCCAUGGUGAAGAAACAAAACUCCGACCAAUGAGAGAUAGCCACAGGGGCAGCACACGGAUCCAUGGGCCCACAAACCGCAUCAAACUGUCUUACCAAGGCGGGUAGCACCCACAACCAUGAUUAGGACCCACCUGGAUGUCUACCAAGAAGAAGGUUGUGAGUGGGGCCAGGAGGGGUUCGGCUGAAUCAUCUCUAGCUCCCCUCAUCCCCAGCUGGUGCAUGGCGGUGGUUAAUGGUGUCCCUACAUCGGUUAGAGGAGAUUCCCCCAAAUAUUCCUCCUGUAAACCACCUGUAUGGACCUAUACAUAGAGGGGUGUGCUCUCCAAUCCAACACACACCACAAGUUUAAUCACUCUCUCCCUCUUUAAUUUCCAUGUUUAUGGAGUUAGCCUAGAGUAGCUCUGCUCAAGGUUCCAAGUCCACUUGGAGUUAAGCAUAUGUCUCUUGUAUCGUUAUUUCCCAGAUUGACUUUAUGCUUAGUUCUUAUAUGCAUGAGUUAGUCUAAUAGCCUUGCUCUAUUGAUAUGCUCGGCUUAUAUGCUCGUAUGCUAGUCAUAUACCCUUGCUGCCGUAGUAUAGGCUUAUAUGCUCUCAUGUGUGCCUUUAGACCUUGCUACAAUAUAUACUUGUUGUGUAUACAUACCAUGUAUAGGCUAGUCGAUCUAUACCAUGGCAUUGGUUCAAUAGCCAUGUUUUUGGUGGCUCCAACCCUAGUCAGAAUAGCUCGGGACAGCUAGAGUGUUGUUAAAAAUGCAAGAGUGAUGGUUGGGUUGUUUAGCAUCGUUGGAUAUGGGUUUUCCCCACGGGUUUCUAAGAGUAGGCGGCAGCUAGUGACAGCCCUGUCCGUCCUUCGUAAUCCCCCCACAUUCAAGUACGCCAUAGAAGUUCAUAAAUUAGCAGUAACUACACCGGCAGACCGGUAGGGUAUUGUCUCCCUAUAGUACCUUGGUGCAUAGAACUAGGUCAUAUACACUGUGUGUCUAUGUUUACGCUGAUAUGAUCUGUGCAGUAUAUAGCAUGUAUAUAUGAACCUAGAGCUAACUCCUAGUCCAUUCUCCGUAGCUUAGUUAUCUUGAGAUGAUUCUUCUGUGUGUGUAACACUACCCAUCUUAUCAUUAUCCUUAAUCCUGUCUUGUGUAAUAUAUCUACUCAUCCUAUGAUAUACUCAUAUGCAUAGUAAACUAUUUUGACCUACCCGCCUUCCUUUGGGAAAUACGAUACCCUGGAAUAAUCCUAGGUGAAAUGCUACAACGGUAUAUCCAUGUGCUUACGGAAUUAUUCCUGACCAUUAAAUAUACCAACAAUCAUCACUAUCUAUUUUGGGCAUCGUUAGUGAAGGGUCGGCAGUGAUGGGCAUCCCCUUCACCAAUGGAGCUGGAACUGGCGGUGAUGGCCAUUAAAAAAAAUGGGACCCCACCCAGCGUACCCCGCAACCCGGCCGGCUGCGCCUCCCAUCAUCCCCGCCGGUCGCCCUUCCUCUUUGCCGGCCGAGCAUGGUUCCGGCCCUCGUCCCUACCGCCUCGCCUCCAUCGCGACCCCCUGCCGAUGCCCUCAUGCCUGGCCCCCCUCGUCUGGCCGGCCACCCUCCCGAUGCAUCCACCGGGGCCCUCGCACCACCAACCACCCUAGCCUAGAGAGAGAGAGGAGGAGGGAGGUGAGGCCACGCACCUCGUCCUACAACGCCGCUGUUGCUCCUCGGCCCACCGCGCCUCACCCCACACCACAGCCGCACCUCGCCAUCUUACCGGCCGCGACGCCCCAUCUCACCGGCCACCGUUCCUCACCCCCACAUCGGUCAUCGCUGCUCCUUGCCCUACUGCUGCUCUUUGCAGCCGCGAAUGAGGGGCGAGUGGAGGGGGAGGGGCGGGGCAGGAGGAGGGCAAGAUCCGGGAGGAAGGGAGAGAUUUUGGGAGGUGGAGAUGGAAGGAUAUGGCGGAAGGUAGAGAUCUAGAGGGAGAGAGCGGGGGGGAGAGGGGGGCAUGUGGGGAGAGAGCGCAUGUGGGGUGGGGCCGGGCUGGUGGGAUGGAAGGUAGAGGGGCCGGAGGGCGCAGUGCAUUCAACUGGAUUAAGUAAAUAUUUCGGAUUCGAGACCCCAGCUUUAUUAUCACCGCUGGUCCGUAGUACCAUUCGGUGCCGGCUCAUAAUUUAAUUUGAACCGGUGGUGAUGUUUUAUUAUCACUGCUGGUUUCAAUUUUCACCAUCGGAUCAUAUAAAAAUCCGGCGGUUAAAAAUCCGCUGGUUUCGAUGAAAACCGACAGUGAUAGGACGACUGUGAUAGUCUCUUCUCUAGUAGUAGUAUAUUAGUACCGGCUGCCGGAUGGUGUUGCCGACGAGUACUUCUCCAGGGGCGAUUCAGUACUGAUGUUAGCAAAGCUUGUUCUCUAUGAAUUUGGGGAUGGAAAGCUAGUUCUCUAGUUGUGAUUUGUUACAUAUAUCUCUAUGAUAGUCUAGAAAUUGCAUGUCCUUCGUUGACAUAGUUGAAGCUGCUUCAAGAAUUUACUUCGUGCAGUCGUGCAGCAUAUUGGAUUAUCACCUAGACAGGAUACAUAGGUGAAGCAUUGCAUGUGAUUGUGGCUGAUAAUUAUGCAGGACGCUGUUGCAAUCAACCAUCAAGAAGACUGGAGCGAUGGGGUUGCCUCAUCAACAAUUUUUAUAUAUGGCUGCAGUAUUAUUAAGCCCACGUCAAUAAUUUUUUCUCCGCAGCAUAUAUAUGGUUACUCAGUUCGCUGGAGUAUCGCUGUGGAAAAACAUACGUACUGCGCCUCGGAACUAACUGGCAUUCAGGCCAUCAACGACCAGAUAUUUGGGACAACCAACAAAUAGUAGGUGGUUCCUAAGUUGUAGUCGUAUGUACUAAUGCGCCUCGAUGGGGUUUUCUUCAGAUAUUUUAUUGCCGUUCAAUGAACAAGCAGAUACAUAACCUGUGCAGAAAAUUCCAUCUCCACGCAUGCCACUGCACCAACAAGAUCCUCAGUCGACGAUGAUGGCUCAGCCUGUUCCUUCUGCCACCAAAUCCUCAAUCUUCCCUCCAGCAACGGAGAAUGCACCUUUAGUACCUUCAGUAUCAGAUGUUGCAAUCGGUACCGUGAAACCGAGACUAAAAUCCUUACUUUGCAGGGGGCAAAACAAUCUUGCAAAUAUAUAUUUUGAAUUCCAACAAAAUUUAAGAAAUGUUAAAGAUGACUAGCUGAGAGUCAACAGACAAGAUAUGAUAUUAGGAAUGUGGGAGGAUGAAUGCAUUUGUACAGGGGUCAUACUAUUUCCAGACUCUUCUAUAUUUCCAUAUGACUACCUACUUCAAUGUCACGCGAGCCAUUCAAAAAGAUACAUGGUACACUUGUAUGUCUAAUCCAUUAUUGAUUAUUUCCUCUUGUCAUCUCUUACAAGUAUUUCUCCAUACUAUAGAAACGUGCAACACAUUUUUAGGAUAUGGACACGCAUGAUUAAUAUGCUUGGACUAGUAUACAGGUCAUCUUUGGAUGAGUACAUAUGAAUGCCAGGGAGGGACUGAUGGAUAUAAGGAAAAGGGACCAUGCAUAAAUAAUGACAUAUGUAACAUGGCAAUCUUCAUUGCCAUGCAACUCCUAUCAACAAUCAUGGAAUACAUACUACUGCUCCAGAAGGGUGGUGUGCAAAUUUAUUUUACCUCGCGGUGAAAAUCUCCAGAGCAGGCCUGAAGUUAAAAUAAGAGGCAGUCACUAUCGAUCAUGACAGUCUCGAAACUGUACAGCACUAUGCUAGUCCUAGUCCUCAUGUCGUUCGUGCUGUCGUGUAGCAUGAUGGAUUAUUAACUGGGCAGGACACGGAGAUGGCUAGCGAUGACAGAGGAUGACGUACAUGAUAUUCACCUCUGAAAUGAAGCGUAGGCUAAUGAAGCACAAUUGCAUGUGAGUGUGGCAGAUAUUUAUACAGGACAGUGAUUGCAAUAAUCGACCAUCGAGAUCGAAGACAGGGGCGAUGGGGUUGCCUCAUCAAUAAUUCGCGCAACCAGACAAGCUGCAGACUCAAUAUGGUACGAAGCUAUUUGGUCAGCCCACAUGCUCUGAUAUAACAUUGGCAUCUGCUGAUCUACAGUAUAUAUGACCAGAAAUAUUGUGCCACCUCAAUAAUUUUCCGAAGUAUCGUUGGGGAAGCACCUACAUACUAUGCCUCGGAACUAACUGACAUGUUGGCCUAGGCGGUCCAGGCCGAUUGGACAGGCUCUUCCUUAUGGCUCCUCACGUCCCCUUCGUUUCCGAGUAAUCUCAGGUGUUCUGAAGUUUUCUUUUCACUUGCAUGUGGACCUUAUAUAUCAAUAGCUUCGGGAUAAGAAUGCCUCUUGAUAACCUUCCAAAUCGUCGCUUGAUUCACUUUGAUUCCAAAAUCAUCUUGCCAUAUCUUUUGAGACUUAGGCCCUAAGGCAUCAUGGAGGAUUGCUCGCCAAGAAUGAGCACCAUUGGGCUCCUGAGGACCCUAGGCCGAUCAGCCUGGGCUCUAUAGGUUGAUUGGCCCAGGCCCUCUCUGGGCCCAUUGGCCUUCAUCUUUCUCUGAGUCGACGCUUAUUGAGGGCUUUGUCCAAUUAUAGUCCAUUAUAGUCUAAUUUCCAAAAAAAUAGAAUAUCCUCCAAAAUACAAUACAUUUGUGAAAACAGCCCAAUUAUUAGGUAUGAUCAAUAGUCUAGGUAUUAAAUUAAUGUUAUUAUUUAAGAUAAAUAGGGAUAAAGGGUGUCAUUAAUAACGAGCACCAACCAGCGUACCAGCUGUUAACACUAACCGAUGCUAAUAUGUACCCUUUAGUACCGGCUAUUUCACCCGGUACUAAACGAGACAAGAGCACCCUAACAGAGGUUAAUACCAUCCAUUUCAUGAGUAAAAUACUAUGAUUCAAAAAUAAUUCAAAUCCCUUAAGACAAUACCUAUCAAAUGAGUAGAUUGUAAAUAGAGUAAAACAAUGUCCUAAUGAAACGGAACACUUCUGGUUCGUGUAGAGCACAAUAUAGAAAACAGUAGGGUAGCUGUACGAUUGACACGUGGUCCAUUAAUUAUUGAGCCAUCACUAUGGACAUGUCUUCAUGAGUAGUGUACUAGUCAUGACACAUGGUAUGUAGUAGGUGGAGGUAUUGAGUUAGCCAUGCCAUGAGCACUUAGUUACAACAAACACUUUGCCAUUAUCGAGCAUCCCAAAUCACUACAAAAUCCAUAGUUUACCAUAUACUACAAAAUCUGAGUUAAAAUAAGAGCAUACACGGAAGAGUCCGAAUGCACCGGUUUAGGACCAGGCACAUUGAAUUACUAGAAAAAGUUAUCGGACAAGGUUUUGGGUAACCGCAUGAAAAAUGUUGGAUUUUACUGAACACUUAGUUACAAUUACCAUGCCGUGAGCACUUAGUCACCACAAACAUUUAACCACUUUAGAUCAUCCUGAAUCCCUAUAAAUUCUGUACCUUACACCGUACCAUGAAAACGACAAGAACAGAGACAGAUGCAGUGAAAAUCUCCAGAGCAGGCCUGAAAUUAAAAUAAGAGGAGGCAGUCUCUAUCGAUCAGGACACGGAGAUUGCUAGCCAUGACAGAGGAAGACAUGAUAUGAUAUUCACCUCUGAAAUGCAGCGUAGACUAAUGAAGCACAAUUGCAUGUGAGUGUGGCAGAUAAUGGACCAUCGAGACCAUCGAAUGGUAUGAAGCAUGAUUAUCACCUAGACAUGAUAUCCUAGACAGGACGGUGAAUUGUAAAAAGAGUAAUCUUGAUCAAAGAAUGUCCUAAUGAAACGGAACAUUUUUGGUACGUGUAGAGCACAAUAUAGAAAACAGUAGAGUAGUUGUACGAUUGAAACUGCAUCCAUCCACGUGGUCCAUGAAUUGUUGAGCCAACACUGUGGACAUGUCUUCAUGAACACCAUCUAGUGAGGACAGGAUGCAGAAAAAUAUAAAAACAUGUCAUAGGGAGGCAGACCAAUCUUGCAAGGAGGUAAACGAAACGUGAUACACGAUCUGCCUACCUUGUCGUGGAUACCCCAAGAGAAGAUGUCAUAGAGGUGCAGACCAAGCUAGCAAGGAGGUAGAUGAAACGUGAUACACGGCCUGCCUACCUUGCCGUGGAUAUUAGCCCUGAUAUCAUUCUAUUGUUCAAGGAAUAACACUCAAUGCUGCUGCUGCUGCUGACCUGGCUCCAUAAAGUUGUAUUCCUCUAGCCGCUUGCACUAACUUUAUCUGAAGUAUUAUUCUCUCUGCCCUGAUAUCUGAAGUAUUAUUCUCUCUGCUGACUUUGCUGAAGAACCUACAUAAUAUGUCUUGGAACUAACUGACAUUGAUUCACAGACAAACUCUACAAGGUGCUGUUGUUGCCAUAUUUUAGAGCAUCCCAAAGGACUAUAAAUAAUAUAGUUUACCAUAUACCGUAUACCAUUAUAUGUUAGCUAAAAUAAGAGCAUAACAUGUCGCAGGAGUCCAAAAGCACCGGUUGAGGACCAGGUACAUUGAAUUACUAGAAAAAGACAGGGGGCAAUGUUUAGGUAGCCACAUGAAAAACAUUUGAAUUUACUGUUCCAUGAACACUUAGUUACCAUGCCGGGAGCACCUAGUUAACACUAAAAUUUAGCCACUUUAGAUCAUCCCGAAACACCCUCAAUAGCGACAAAUUUUGAUUUAAAUGCCGUCACCAAUGAUCCUCAAUAGCGACGUGUUUAGGUUUAAAUCCCGUCACUAAUAACCCUUGGUAGUGACGUGUUUUGGUUUAAAUCUCAUCCCACUGAUCCUCAAUAGUGACGUGUUUUUAGCAACACACGCUAUGAAUGACUUGUCAUUGGUGACAUGUUAAAUGCGUUAUCUCAAUGGCAAAUCAUUGGUGACGUGUUUUAAAAAAACAUGUCACUGUGAGAGUUAUUGGUGAAGGGUAAUUAAAAUGCAUCACUAAUUUUGUAGCAUUAGUUAUGAUAUAAUUUAGUAACGCAAAAAUCUACCAUCAGUAAUGAGGUUUAGAGCCGUCGCUAAUGUGGGUUUCUUACGAGUGAUGCAAGCUCUACAAGGUGCUGUUGUUGCCAUUUUAAAGCAUCCCAAGUGACUACAAGUUAAUAGCAUAGUUUACCAUAUACCAUAAAAAUAUUAGUUACAAUAAGCACAUCCGCAUGUGGAAGAGUCCGAAUGCACCAGUUGAGGACUAAACACAUUGAAUUACUAGAACCAAAUGUAAGACAAAGAAAGGGGUCAAGGUUUGGGUAACCGCAUUAAAAACAUUGGAUUUUACUGUACCAUGAACACUUAGUUACCAUUACCAUACCUUGAGCAUCUAGUUACCACAAACAAUAAUUUAGCCACUUUAGAGGUUCCAGAAUCACUAUAAAUAAUAUACCAACACCGUACCAUGAAAACAUCAAGAAGAGAGACGGGUACAUGGACCACCAUCAAGUGAGUAGUGACAGCACGCACAAGAAUACCCGGAACCUGUUAGCUUGUCUGUAGUGAUCUGUUUUCUUCCCCAUAAAAUCCAUGAGUAUUGCCACAAAUAAUGAAAGAGGCUGACCAAGCUAACAAGGAGGUAGAGAAAACGUGAUACACGUAGGUUUCAUUCAAGACAUCCAUGUAAGAUUCAUUCAAAACAUUCAUGGAAAUUUCUUGUAAGUUUUCAUGUAAAUUUCAUUCAAGACAUUUGUUAGAGGUGUUGUAUAUAUAUACCUUAACGUACAUAUAUCUAUGAUUUCAUGGUUGUUAGUGAUGGCAGAUGAGGAGCAUGCAAGGUAUUUAAUGGAGCAGAUUAUUGCUAGUGGUAGUGGCUCCAACCUGCCCGUAACGUACACCAACGAAGAGAGCAGCCAGGCGGACAUGUUCCUCAACAUAUCCGGUGAUGGCAAUGAAGAGCCCGAGCAAAACCUUGCCGUGACGGAAGGUUCCAGUGAGGUAUAUAUCAUUUCCAUUGUUUUACCCCAUCUAUAAUUUCAUAUUCAUUAUUACUAUGUACUAAUUAAUGGAUCUUGAACCAUUAGCCCUCUAGAUCAACGAACCGAAAUAAGCCCCGAGGUCUUACAAAGAUAAUGCAGGGAAGGCAUCACAUCACGGAAGUCACAGAAGAGGGCACAUCAGUUGCUCCCGAACAUGUGGCAAGAAAGUACGUGAGUCAAACCGGGCAAUGUGCCCAUCAGCAUUAGGGAAUGAAAGGGCAAUAGAAAUGAUCUAUACACGCCCCCGGAUACACAAAAGGAUAUGCUGUGGGCAAAUAUCAAGAAACACUUCACAUUUCCCAAAGGAUAUGUUGAAAAAGAUGUGAAAGCGUGGAUGCUGAAGAAGAUGGUCACCGAAUUCCAGACAUUCAAGAAGAUGUUGGAUGUCAACUUCAUCAAGAAGGGUCGAACUCCGGGUUUCGAUGAGUGGCCAAAGUUAAGGGACCACUGGGAGUCAUUUGUCAAAUACAAGACGAGUGAAGGUGGUGCGAGUAAGGUUCGCAUCAAUGUUGCCAAUGCUAGCAAGGAGUACCAUCAUCAUCUAGGGCGACGUGGUUACAGCACUGCAAUUCCCAGAUGGCGCAAGAUGGAACAAGACCUGAUCGAUCGGGGUAUCGUACCAGCAACUCCUGACUGGCCUGAUCGAUUGAAAAAUUGGUAUUAUGCUCAUGAAGGCAAUCUGAGCCAACAGGAUGCGACAUUGGUCUUCAAUAAAACAAUACGUCAGAAGGCCGGAAGGCUUAUUAGGAACAUUGAAAAUGCUAAAUCUGGGAGGUUCAAGGUGGAUAGAGAGAAUGAUGAGCUCACAUUGGCCCUUGGGACUAUCAUCUCUAGCAUUUCCAGCUCCAGGACUGUCGUCACCACCGGGACCGUCGCUUCUUGCUCGAUCACAGUCUCCAUCUCCAGCACAUCCUGGUGGUGCGAACGAUGACGACAACAACACCCCUCCCUGCCCACCAUCGCCGGGACUAAGACCCGCAUCGAGUAAGGAACCUGCAGCACCACUGAAGAAGUCGCGACCACCGCCUUCCAAGCCAAGUCAGCAAAAGAAGAAAGCAGAGAAGCCUAAGCCCACUGAGAAGCCAACAACCGAUAUGACCGAUGCGGAAAGAUGGAAGGCACUCAAAGAAGAAUGCAGGGAGUGGUUCUGUAAAAAGAACCAAAGAAAGAAAAGGAAAGCAGAUGGAGCCACCGCCAGUAGAUCCAAGAAAAUUAUAAUUUUUUAUUAAGAUGUCAAAAGGAGCCAAGAAGAUGAUUCCACAACUAUCAAACUACGACCGGGCGUUAGUCAAGGCUGAUGAGAGUUAAAAAAGGAAAGGAAAGUCAUCUUCAAGUGGUACUGUCCCCCACCUCGAGGAUCUACCAGAAAAAGACGCUAAAAAGAUAGUAGCAAUGCUCUUGGAUCAACAAACACAUAUAUCAUGAGAUUCAUGCAAGAAACAGGUAUGUGCCUUGCUGAAUGUCUAGGGCAAGUUGAUAUGCUAGCUCUAGAGCCAUUUGUACCGAAAUGGACCUUUGAGCUAGGCAAGCCUCUAGUAAGGCCUGAGCUGGUACAGAAGCUAUCCACAUAGCUAUAUGAAUACCAUGAAUGGUACAUGAAGCAGUCUGCCAAUGAGAGGAAAAUGUUCGGUCUCAGGGAAAAACUGAUAUUUUUUUUCGGCGAAGGCGAGAAAGUCUUGUGAUGGAAUUCAAGGAUAUAUAUGAAGUGUACCAUCAGGAUGCCCUUGAUGUCUCUCUCAUCAGCGCCUAGGUUAUGUAAGUGUAUGUUUAUCUAUACGUAAUUUUUGUCUCAUAUCAUUAUUUCUUUUGCGUGCGUCACCCUACUAACUUCGUCUUCCAUUUUAUGUAGGAUGCUAAUUCAGAUGUGCCGCAUAGAAGCGCACUUCCAUGUUGGCUUCAUGGAUCCAUCCCUAGUUAACCAAAAGCAGAUACGGAAGUAGCUAGAGAAAAUGUUGGAGGUGGUAUACAACUUCCUGGACAAACAAAACUAUAGAAUAGGGGCAAUAUGUGAAGGUCUUGUAGGAUUCCUAGUGGACAAGGUGAUAAAUCCAUAAGGAGAAUAUCAUUACAACGGACGAGCAUUAGACACACUGAGCAACACCUAGACGGGAGGAUCCUAGGAAUGACCUAGACAGAUUUUGGUAUAAAUAGUAAUUGUGUAAAUACUAGUUUGAUUUGUAUAGGAAUAUACUAAGAAUUGUAUAUAUAGUAAUUGUACAAAUACUAGUUUGAUUUGUAUAAAUACUAGAUUGAUUUUAUUAUAAAAAAGUUUUAAGUCGUACGUGCAUGCGCCUACAAAGGCGCGUAUGCCCUUUAAUCCCGGUUGGAAAAACAAACCGGUACUAAAGGGGCUCGUGCCGCACCUGGCAUGACCGCCCCUUUAGUCCCGGUUGAACGACCCAGGACCAAAGAUCUGCCCCGUCUCAUAAAUUUUAUCCUGGAUGCUUUUUAGAGAGAUUUGAGGCCUAUCAACCAAGACUAAUAUCGAGUUUUCUACCAGUGGAACUAACUAACGUUCACAUGCUUCUGACAUUCACCUGCCAUUUGGUGUAGACAAGGGCACCCUAACAUAUGGUUAAUAUUAUUCAUGAAAGAAAAUCCUUUGAUUCAAAAAUACUUCAAACCUAAUAAUACAAUACUUCUCACAUCUGAAAAAUAUGAGAUGGCCCGACAGUAUUCUAACCGACGCAAUAAUAUUUUGAGGGCAGCACUACUACAGCGACCCUCAUUCGUGCCGGUGCUGGAACCCCUAUCACGACCCUGAUACAAAUGAGGGUACAUUAUUGUUGCCAGUGCUAGAAUAGCCACGAAUAACUUGCUAAACAUGCUGUUACACUCACUACUAGAAAAAUAACCUCUCGUCCUGAGGCUUAGUACCGGUCACUUUUUUGCCCAGUACUAAUGUUAGUAUUAGUACCGGAUCCAAAUUUGGGAUCCCCCAGAGACCCUUUAGUACCAGGUGGAGUCUCCACCCGAUACUAAAGGCUUUGUUACCGGGUGAAGGAUCCUCCCGGUACUAAUGGGGGAUUUUUAGUACCGGGUGGGAACCCCACCCGAAACUAAAAUCUCCCAUGCGGACCCCUCCCCCCCCCACGCGUUGCCUCUGUCCUCCCUCCUCCUCCUCUGAGUAGUUAUCCCUUCCUCAUCCCUCCUCCUCCUCCCACACGUGGGGUGAGGUGAGGUGGCAGUAGCAACGACAGGUGGUGUGGCGGGUCACGGCGGGCCGGAUGCGGAGCCGCAACGGUGGUCGGCGGGAUGGGGUGGGGCAGAGCGGCAUGGCAGGGCGGAGCGGUGGGACGGGGCCGAGGUGGAGGUGCCGGGCGGAGGUGGAGUGGCAGGACAGAGGCGGAGGCGGAGCGGCGGGUCGGCGAGCGGGUGGAGGGUGGCGACGAUGGGGCGGGCAGAGGCAGAGGGGUGGGUGGAGGGGCGGCGUGGUCCACCGGCGGGGGGGGGGGGGGGAGAGGGAGGCGUGGGGGGUGCGGUUGGUGAUUUCAAUUUUCUUUUAAUUUUUUAACACCCUUCAGUACCAGUUAUUUUAACCGGGUCUAAAGGGAUCCCCUCUUGUACCGAAUUGCUAGUACAGGAUGCACAACCGGUACUAGAGGGAGGUUCCCAACCGGUACUAGAGCCACUUUCCCCGGUAGUGACUUUUUCACCGAUUAGAAUAUGUUAUUAUUCUAAUCAGCUUUUGUUGAUCUCCUGUAUAAUUUAGUACCUAAUUCUACUAGCAAUUGUUAACGCCGACACGUAUUGGGUAUAGUCCUAACAGUGUCUAACUAGGGCACUACAUUUGUUAACCUAUAACUACUGGUAUCGAUUAGCCCUGGUUAGAAUACUGUCAAGGCAGCCAGAAAAAAUUGUUUGCCAAUUCUGCUAUCCAUCAGAACCAUGACUAGUACCGUAUUGUAAUAAACGAAUUACACAAAUAACUGAUGCACACAAAGGAAUAUGCACUCGCAUGUGCUAGACGUUCGUAGCAACAACAAAUUACUCUCAUCAUCAAUUAAACAUAAUAGAUUAAACAUUAACUGAACAUAGUUCAACACGUACAUCAACAAGACAAAGCAGUUUAAACAUCAACUGAACAGAACUGAAAACAUACAUCAACUGAUGAUAAACUUCGACAUGAACACAACACAUAAACAUCAACUUCAAUAGAACUUAAUAGAGCAUAUUAAACAACAACAUCGACAAAACAUAUAAACCCAGCUCAGUAGCUCAAGCAUCAACUAAAACUGCUGAAUUAAAAUAACAUAACAUAGUGUAGUUCAUCAUGAUGAUAACUAACAGAACCGAAAAGCCUAACUGGGUAAAAGAGCAAUUCAUUCAUAAUGCUUCAGCACUUACAUCACCGGAGUAUGCAACUGGCGGCGUCGCUUACGUCACUAUCACCGCGCUUGGCGAGUAAAGGAGGAGGAGGUGGCAUAGUAAUCGAAGAGGAGGCCGCUGUCGGCGGGUUUAGACUACGUGGAGGUGUGGGUAGGGUUAAGGUGGCUCUGUGGACGAGUAUAUAUAAGAGGUCUGGGCUUGUUAGAAUAAGAUAACAUUCUAACUGGCCAAAUUCGGAUCCGGUUAGAAUAAAUUGUUCUAACCAGCCUUAAUUCGAGGUGGUAAGGAUAAGUUAACAUUCUAAUCAGCUCUAUUUGGAGCCCGAUUGAAUGUUCUUGUUAUUCAAAAAAAGAUCAAGUUCAUCAAUUUUUUUCUAGAAAAACAUCAAGAUAAUUUAAACACGAUAUAUAACAAGAUUAAUACAUUUAAAAAUUGUUUUCUCCAAUAAUUAACGAUAUUUAACAAAUUCAAAAAAAAUCCAAAUUAACAGAACAUAAUAACCAAUUGUUCGAAAAAAUCAAAAUAGUCCACACAGUAUCAUAUUACAAAUUCAGAAAAAUAUCAAAAUAAUCCCUGAUCCACUCGAUACCGUCGUAGAACUUUGAAAUACUGAGCUUCUUGAUUCAUCUGAGGUCCACGUACUCGUCUCAGUAACACUAGUGGUGGCCAUGCAUCUUGUAGAUGUCUUCUAAUGAAUUAAGCUUGACAUACAAGGUCGUGCCUUCCACUCCUUGAGGAUUGCUUAUGACGUUUCUGCAAAUAACGAAGCAUUGCUUUCUCCAACAUGAUUAUUUUCUUCGGCUUAUCCCAAGGGACAACUAUGGUUUUCCCCUUGCCGGAAGAGGAACGAUGAUCGCCCCCACCAUCGCCACUUCCUCCAGUAGCAGAAGCCAUCUAUGUACAAAAAUUCAUACCUUAGCACUACAGAACUUGUUGAACUUGAAGACUGUGAUCAUUAGGCGAGCAUGUUCUCAACUAGGUGGCACCGCACUUCGUCAUGGAAGAGCUUCGAUUUUACAAAAAAGGGGACAUGAUCUUCCAUGAUGUCCGUAUCCGCUCUUUCUCGUAGAAUCAGAGCUCCUCCUUGAUAUACGAUGCUGCUCGGCGGAGAACAUGCUCACCGAGAUGAACACGGUAUGCAAGUUCAACAAGUAUGGAUUUGAAAAACCAUAUUGAAUUUGACAAGACAAACUAUCUAGAUAAGCGUAGCAUCAUUCUUAAACCACUGCAAGGAUACGUACUAUAUAUGACACAUCAAUCUCCCUCACAUUCUAGCUCAAAAUACCUCUCCAUUUUCUACUUCACAUUCUAGCAAAUAAACUAUCUAUCUCCAUUCUACACAUCAAGUUGUUUUAACUAAUACAAAUCGUAUAUAACAAGCAAAAUAUCCAUCACAUUCUAGCUCAAAAACAUGUAUAAAUACAAAUCCUCUUCAUUCUCCCUUUUUCUAACAAACAAACUCAUUUUUCUCCCUCUCCAAAGCAUAAAUUAAAGCGUAACAUGAGGAUGAGGUAGCAAACCUUCACAACACAUUGGAUGAGUGAAAUUCCCACGAAAAUGAGGGAAAAAAAUUCGGGCAGCACCUCCCUUGCUUCGGCACCUCUAGAGAGUAGGUGAAGCUCAGUUCUCUAUUUUUGUGGUGGACUAGCUUGGGCUGGAGGAGGAAGAAAGGCCUCUGUCUUGGUAUAUAAUGGGGGAUGAGUUUUUAUCCCAGUUAAAAGCUCCAACUGAGACAAAACGGCCAAUCUUUUGUCCCGGUUGGAGCCUCCAACCGGGACAAAAGGGGCACGCCAUCGACGCACGGGAGCUAGCCGUUACAACCGGGACUAAAGGGGGGCCUUUAGUCCCGGUUGCAAAUACCAACUGGGAUUAAAUCUCCCCUCCAUUUUUGCCUACCGUGGUGCGCCCCCUUUUAUCCCGGGUCAACUUUAAACCGGGACAAAAGGGGGCGUCGAAGAUCAGUUCUCUACUAGUGACCCCUCCCCACCUAUCUCUCUCCCUCCAUGCUCCUCGAUCUGUGCCUCCCCUCCCCUCCCCUUCCACUCGCCCCUCACCGACGGUAAGGAGCAGCGGCGGGGCGAGGUGAGGUGGCAGCAGCAAUGGCAGGUGGUGGGUCGCAGCGGAGCGGCUACGGUAGGCAGCCGGACGGGGCAGAGCGGCGGGGCGGGGUGGAGGCGGAGGUGGCGGGUAGAGGCGGAGCGGCGAGGCGGAGGCGGAGGUGGAGGCGGAGUGGUGGGACGGCAGGGCCGGGCGACUAGUAUAGGUGGGCGGGCGGAGGGCGGCGACGGCGGAGCGGGCGGAGGCAGAGGGGCAGCGGGGGCCGCCGGCGGGGGGUGUGAUCGGGGAUUUCAAUUUUUUUUAAAUUUUUUAACACCUUUUAGUCCAACUGGUUCUAAAGGGACCCCUCUAGUAUCAAAAUUGCUAGUACCGGUUGCACAACCGGUACCAGAAGUGGUUCCUAACUGGUACUAGAGCCACUUUCCCUGGUAGAGACUUUUUUACCAGUUAGAAUAUGUUAUUAUUUUAAUCAGCUUUCGCUGAUCGCCAGUAUGAUUUAGUACCUAAUUUUACUGGCGAUUGUUACCGCUGACACGGAUUGGGUAUAGUCCUAACAGUGUAUAACUACGGCACUACAUUUGUUAACCUAUAACUACUUGUAUCGAUUAGCCCUGGUUAGAAUACUGUCAAGGCAGCCAGAAUUUUUUUUUUUUGCCAAUUCUGCUAUCCAUGAGAUCCAUGACUAGUACCGCAAUGUAAUGAAUGAACUGCACAAAUAACUGAUGCACACAAAAGAAUAUGCACUUGCACGCUAGACGUUCGUAACAACAAAUUACUCUCAUCACCAAUUGAACAUAAUAGAUUAAACAUUAACUGAACAGAAUUCAACACGUACAUCAACACGACAAAGCAGUUUAAACAUCAACUGAACUGAACUGAACACAUACAUCAACUGAUGAUAAUUAUCGACAUCAACAGAACACAUGAACAUCAACAUCAAUAGAACUUAAUAGAGCAUAUUAAACAACAACAUCGACAAAACAUAUAAACCCAGCUUAGUAGCUCAGGCAUCAACUAAAAUUGCUGAAUUAAAACAACACAACGUAGUGUAGUUCAUAAUGCUUCGGCGCUUACACCACUGGCGGGUCGCUUACGUCGGCAUCACCGCGCUGGCUGAACCUCCGACACCCCCACCACGGCAAACGGAGGUGAUGGCGGAAGGUGAGGCAACGACAGUAGCUGGUGAGCUCCCGCUCCAAUGUCUCGCGAGUAAAGGAGGAGGAGGUGGCAUGGGAAUCGAAGAGGACACUAGUAGAGAAACGACUUUCCAUCCACCCCCUUUUGUCCCGGUUUAAAGUUGGCCCGGGACAAAAGGUUCACCAACCGGGAUUAAAACUCGGUCACUGGUGGGGGGCUCACCAACCGGGACCUUUUAUCCCGGUUGCAAAGGCUAGUGGGAAAAAAUUACUCUGAGAGGCCUUUUAUCCCGGUUUGAAACACCAACCGGGAUAAAAGACCCCCCCUUUUAUCCCGGUUGGUAACACCAACCGAGAUAAAAGGGUCAAGAGCCUUUUAUCCCGGUUGGAAACACCAACCGGGAUAAAAGGGGGUCUUUUAUCCCGGUUGGUGUUUCCAACCGGGAUAAAAGGGUCCCCCACGAGUUAAUACAAAAGGAUAGUAUCCCCUACAUAGUCAGAUGUGGUGUGUAGGUGGGAUGGUAAGGAAGCUACGCGCGAGGCUGGAGGUUGUGGGUUCGAAUCCCACGAACCGCGCACGCGCAUAUUUCGCGUGAAAAAUCGCGUGACUUGCGACUUGCGCGUGUGGGGGGGCCUCCUGGGAGCUCGGGAAUUUUUUUUUUUUGCAGCGCCGGCCGUGGGUGAACCCUUUUAUCCCGGUUGGUAUUACCAACCGGGAUAAAAGGGGGUCUUUUGUCCCGGUUGAGUGACCCGGGAUAAAAGACCCCCCCUUUUGUCCCGGUUGGUUUAUCCCGGAUGCAUUUUCGAGAUCUUUGCACCCUACCAACCGGGAUAAUAGGUGAGUUCUCCACCAGUGGGAGGCCGCCGCUGGCGGGUUUAGACUACGUGGAUGUGUGGGUAGGGUUAAGGUGACGGUGUGGACUAGUAUAUAUAAGAUGUCUGGGCUUGUUAGAAUAAGAUAACAUUCUAACCGGCCAAAUUCGGACCCGGUUAGAUUAAAUUGAUAUUCUAACCGGUCCUAUUUCUAGGUGGUAAGAAUAAGUUAACAUUGUAAUUGGCUUUAUUUGGAACCCGAUUGAAUCUUCUUGUUAUUCAAAAAAACAUCAAGUUCAUCAAUUUUAAUCCAGGAAAACAUCAAGAUAAUUUAAGCACGAUAUAUAACAAGAUUAAUACAUUUAAAAAUUGUUUGAUUCACAAAUUAACGAUAUUUAACAAAUUCAAAAAAUCCAAAUUAACAGAACACAAUAACCAAUUGUUCGAAAAAAUCAAAAUAAUCCACACACAUUAAUAUAUUACAAAUUCAGAAAUAUAUCAAAAUAAUCCCCGAUCCACUCGAUACCGUCAUAGGACUUUUAAAUACUGAGCUUCUUGAUUCGUCUGAGGUCCACCUACUCGUCUCAGUAACACUAGUGAUGGCCAUGCAUCUUGUAGAUGUCUUCUAACGAAUCAAGCUUGACGUACAAGGUCAUGCCUUCCGCUCCUUGAGGAUAACCAUCUUUGGUGAUCUUGAAAUGGCAGACGGUGGAUGUGCCAAAGGUACGUGACGAUCCUUCUAAAUGUAUGCCACCACAACUUCCGUCUGAUCGCCAUGGGUGACACCAAGAAGAGCUACCAUGCGGCAAGGGACGAACAAUUUAUCAAUUAGUGCCGCUGUCCAUCGCCAUCAUCUAAUCCAGCCAUAUCUUGUUGUAUAUUUAAGUAUAGAAAUUAAGAUUUAAAAAUAAACAGAAUAAAUUGAGAUCGAUUAUGUAUGUAUAUCAGAACAUUAGCUUUUGGAAAAAGGGCUUCGAUGGAAGAGAGGCACGGGGCAUAGAGACAACAACGAGUGACAAUAUGUCAGAAGAAUACCCGAUCACAAUUAUUGGCACACACAGCCGAUAUUUACAGUAGUCAAUACCCCUGGUAAAUAACCACACCAUCAAGAGUAAAUAGUGACAAUAUGCAGUAUAUACACGACAUAGCCUUGGCUGCCGUGGAAGCACCAGAAGGGAGACAAAUAACAGGGACCACUACAUCAAGUAGAUAGUGACAAUAUGCAAAAGAAUACCCGCGCCUGUUAGCAUGUGUGAACUGACCACACCACGAAACGUGAUACACGGCAAGCGUACCAAGGCCUUGCUGUGCAGACUAUGCAUGGACAACACAUGGUACCUGACCGCUUUUGGCCUCAGACACAUCAAAAACUGCAUCGUUCCACGUUGUACAUCCAUUGCUAGUUUAUCUAUAUUACAUAAUAUAUUAUUAGCUAUUUGAAUAGAAUGAACCAAUUAAAAAAUUACGUUGUAUUUUAGUACCGGCUGCAGGAUGGUGUUACCAACCAGUACUAAUUGGCCUGUAGGAGUGAUGGUUAUUAGACUUGGUACUGUUGUUAGCAUCAUUAACCUAAUUGUGCGCCGUAUGAAUUUGGGGAUGCAAAGCUAGCUCUCUAUGAAUGUGAGGGAUGGAAAGCUAGUUCUCUAGUAGUAAUUAUAUAUAUGACAGUCAGGAAAUCGAACACUAUGCUGCUACGAGUCACCAUCAUUUCCUUCAUUGACAAUCUGACAUAGGUGAAGCUGCUUCAAUAAUUUCCUUCGCGCAGUCGUGGAGCUUAUUGGAUUAUCACCAGGACGGGACACGGAAAUGGCCAGCAAUGAAGCUGAUUGCCGUCUGAGGAAGACUACAUACUUACCUAUGAAAUGAAGCGAUUGCAUAGACUAAUGAAGCAUUGCAUAUUUGCAUGUGAGUGUGGCAGAUAAUUCUGCAGGACAUGAUUGCAAUCCACGCACCAUCGAGAAGACUGGGGCGAUGGGGUUGCCUCAUCAAUAAUCACGUGGAUGCAUGCAUGCAUGUUCCCUCAACCGGACAAGGGUCUGAUAUAUGGCUAUAGUAUUACUGAGCCCACAUCAAUAAUUUCCGCUGGUGUAUCGUGUGGGAAGAAUCAACAUACUACACCUCUGAGUUCUUGGAACUAACUGACGUUCACAUGCAACCUCCACAAGGUGCUGUAUGCUUUUGACAUUCACCUGCCAGUUCGUGUAGAGGACACCCUAACGUAUGGUUAAUAUUAUCCAUUUCAUGAGUAAAAUACUGUGAUUCAAAAAUACUUCAAAUCCCUUGAGACAAUACUUCUCACUUGACUAACCACUAACCAACCCCGAAACCCUAACUCAACUCCGAACCCUAACCCCUAACGGCAUAACCACUCCGUUUUGCCGGCGAGAUGGAGGAACUGGCUGGAAGGUAGAGAGGGCAGCGGUCCAGGGUUGAAAACGACGGGCGAGCGCAGUAACAUGUGGAGGAGGAAGUGCCACGUAUUCGUUCACCGCUAUUGGGCAGCGACACACGACACGCCCAAUAAGAUCUUCGCACGGUAGAAGGACGUCAUGUAUUCAAUAAUGUUAUUGGUCCCCCAUGUGCAGAAGGGCGCGCGCGUAUGGAAUAACAAGUAGGGACACUGCAACUAAUCUACUCUGCUCGUCCAGUCCCUAGCCUAUAAAUAGAUGCCAUGCUAGCUCUUGUUGUGCUCACAAUUAAUCCGAUUACACACGAGCUUCUCUCCCUGGCCAAGACACAACCAUAGUAUGAUGAAGAACAUGGCACUAGCCGGCAAUGGUAUGAAGAAGUUAAUCCUCGCUGUUCUCUUACUGUGUCUAGUUAUAGGGCAGAUACAAGUGGAAGCUAAGAGCUGCUGCCCAUCCACCACUGCAAGAAAUGUCUACAAUACCUGCCGUUUCACGGGUACAUCCCGUCCAACGUGUGCAAAACUGUCAGGCUGCAAAAUUAUCAGCGGGAACAAAUGCAAGCCCCCUAACGACCACCUCACCCUUGACCCGGACACUGGUAAAUAAUAAAUUUAUCUCACUUGAUUUCUUCGUGAUUUGAGUCGUUAAUGUAUUUUCCAUCUGAUGAAACGUAUUGGUUUUGCAUUGAAGAGGAAGUUAAUGUGCUUAACUUCUGCAAGUUGGGGUGUGCGUCGUCUGUGUGCAACAACAUCAACGCUGGUAAGCAACUUUUGCUCAGACAGAGAAAACAAUAAUCAUUAAUUAGCGGCAGCUAGAAUCCUAUAAUCUAAUAUAUAUAUAUAUAUAUAAUUUUAUCAGCUCUGGGAAAUGAAGAGGCGAACGAUGCCGUUGAGAGUUGCGACCAAGCCUGCUCUAGCUUCUGCAGCGUGCAUGUUGGCAGCGCCACCGUGGUUGCUUAAGCAAAUGCAUCCAACUAGAUCGUCCUUGUGCUGAAUAAUUGGAUAUCGUAUCCACUUAAAGCUGCCUUGUGUAGUACGUCUUUGUGUCUCUCUUUAUAUUCCAAUAAGGUCGGUGAUCUUGAUGCCACACACUCAGAUGUGUGUUCAUCUCCAGAUACUACUCCAUGCUACCUGCCCUUUGUGUUUUGUUCAAUAACUGGGUAUCAUAUCCCAGCCAGUAUGCCGUCUGUUUUGUGUUUGUUUCCUUCUAGUUCCAAAGGGGUCAUCAUGAUGUUACCUUCUUUCAAUAUGGUGCUUUGCAUGACUACUGUUGUAUGGUACCAUCUUGUGGCCAAUAAGUACAUCUUAUCCUAUGACCUUUGCUAUGACCCUUUGCAAAUAAGUAGAAGAUUGUUAUAAGCGUCAAUACUCCGUAUAAAUUGAUCGCUGCUGUGAGUUCCCUUUCAGCUUAUCGUAGGCAUACAUUAUUGCUAGCACGGUAAAGCCAACCAACACGAAUGAUGAAGUAAACGUAGCGGUACUUCUGUAUACCAACACCCUUACUUAAAUGUACCGGUGUCAUUCCCUACUGGCACAUAUAUUCUUAUAUGCUAGCCAGCUUGUAAAAUUAACCAAUUAAAAUAAUUAUUUCAAGAUAGAAAUAACUUAUCGGUUUCUGGAAGCAUGUGUAAUGUGAAUUCAAGGACUCGACGGAAGUUGAAUCACUUCAUCUAUAUUGCUUUCAGUAUUUUGGGUAACUAAAUUUAACAUUUGCACAUACAAAUGUUAAAGUACAAAUGUUAAAUCUAGUUACCCAAGCAGAAUAUGAAGAUAGUUUAUAGUAUAUAUAUACUAUAUAAAUCUAGUUAACAUUUAGUCUAAAUGUUAAAUCUAGUUACCUAAAAUCCUGAAAGCAAAAUGUAUAAAUAUAUAUCUUUUAAGGCAGUAUAAGCUUCGAUUCCUAUUGCUGCUCUGUUAAAUCUCAUCUUUCGUUGUGGCCCAACACUCUAGUAUGCAUGUUGCACCAAGCUUCUUUGAGCCGCUCUGCCCUCUGAUUUUGCUGCGUAGGGGAAUCUUUAUCAGGUUGGGCUACUUCCAGUUGUGCGAUGUAAAGAUUCGUAUUUUCUAGAAGGUAGACAAAAAACUCGCGUUCUCUUAAGGCAACAACCGGAAGAUUCUGCAGCGCACAGGGCAUACCAUUAUUGUAGAAACGACCUUUAGUACCGAUCUCCAACCCCCUUUAAAACUGGUUUUGCAACCGGUACCGUUAUGUCGGUCCUUUAGUACCAGAUCAAAUAAGUACCGGUUGGUAACCAGUAUCAACUUGUUUUGCGGCCAAAAAAAUAAAGAAAAAAACAGUCAGAAGGCUCGCGCACACGCGCAUCACAUGAAAUAUGCGUGUGCGGGGUCCAUGGGAUUCGAACCCAUGAAAUCAAGCUGCGCGCGACCCUUCGUUACCAUCUCACCUACAUAGCGCAUAUGCUUUCCUGAAGUAACCCGUGGAGGAGGCUUUAGUACCGGGUCAUAACACCACCCGGUACUAAAAAUGACUCUUCAGUACCGGGUCAUAACACCACCCGAUACUAGUAUCGGAUGGUGUAAUGACCCGAUACUAAAAGGCCUCUAGGGACCCUCAAAUUUGAACCCGGUACUAAUGCUAAUAUUAGUAGCGGGUCAAAGUGCAGCCAGAACUAAAGCAUGGGAUGAAAGGUCAUAUUUCUAGUAGUGUAUAGUUGUUGUGAAGGACUGACUUGGCUGUCCUCUCUCUUCUCCAUCCCCUUGGUCUUACGCCGCCGCUCGCACGCGAGCCGGUGCCCAACCAGAGGAGUGAGAGCUAGGGGCAGGUUGGGAGGUGGGGAUAGUGACUGGUGGCCAGGGUGAUGGUUGAUCCUGGUGGGGUUAGGGUUUUAGGGUUUUCGAGCUUCCUAUGGUCGGCGAACCUAGAGGAGGAGCUCAACAUCAGCUGCAACCCGCGAUGGUGGUGGUUUGGCCGGCGCCCGAGGCGAGGCAGCGCGGGAGUGCUGCCGGUGGGUUGGUGUUGGCACUCAUUAUUGACAACUAUUUUGUUCAUAAAAUAACACUCAAACUUGCUGCUGCUGCUGCUGCUGCCAUCGCCACCCUAGCCAUAAUAUAAAGGCAAAAUUUGCUAAAGGACAUGCAAAAUGAUGCUAGUUUGCUGGCGGGCAUCGUUGACCUUGUAAUAUGCUACAAGACACUCUAGUUGUGUAUCAAUUUGCUGAAAGACAUUGCUAUGACUAAAAUAAUGUUUCUGGACUGAGUUGGAGAGAGAGAUGGAGUGAAAUGUCUGUUUUGCCCAUGACCCCACUGGUCAGAUCCUUCUUCUUCCACCCUCCUUUGUUCUUUCUUCAACCAUUACCCAGCUCCAGCGUGUUGCAGAUCUACGAGGGUGGCGGCCUGGGGCGAGGGGCAUCGCUCGCCCUUGGAGGAGCGCUGCGAGCGACGGCGCGGGGGCGGCAACAGCGCGUCAGAACCUGACUGUUCGUUAGCUCCUCUCGCUGCUGGGGAAGGAGGGGGAUGGGCCAUGGACGGGGUUCCCUUGAAAACCUCAGCGUCGAGCUCGGGCGGCUACGCGCAGGCAGCACUAGGCUGCUUCACGGGGAGGGGGCGCGGCCAAUCAUUGGCACCCCACUGGUCCAAUGCUGAUGAAGAUGGUGCCAGCGUCGUGUGAGGACAUCUCAUCUCCUCGAGUUCCAUGGCCAGCACAGGUGAGCUGCCGCUACCACAAAACAGAGGUUUCGUGAGAGUCAAAAAACCUUAUGAAAAUAGCUAAAACCAUCAUGAAAAUAAUCCGUGACAUGACACUCUCACGAAAAUCCUCUCACAAAUAUGGUGCCAUGAAAAUACCAUUUUCAUGAGAGUGAACUGUCAUGAUUUUAUUUCGUGAGAGUAUUUCCUAUCAAUGACCUCCACGAAAUACUUUGUGCCACCAGGUCUUCAAGAUCAUUUUCAUGAGAGCUGAACAUCAGGAAAAGUCCGCCACAAAUGUUUUUCUUGGAGCCCCUAACUCUCAUGAAAAUCAUGCGGGCCGCCACGAAAAACAGCAUGACCAAAUGACAAAUUUCAUUUUCAUGUGUUCAUACCGCCAUGAAAAUGGUCAUUUUCAUGAGAGUUGAUGAAACAAAAAAUAGUGCCAUUUUCAUGAGAGUUCAAGCAACCAGGAAAAGACACUAAUAAACAUCCAGAUCCCAUCCAGCACACAUCCAUGCACAUAUAUAACCCACAUAUUGCUCCAGCACACAUCCAUGCAUAUACAAGAUCCAAAUGUUAAUAUAGUAGACAUCCAUGCCUGAACUAGUCUGCCACACAAGUCAUUGAUGCUACAAAUCCUACAAUCGCAGCAUGUGCAUACAAGUCACAGAAUGAGACAAUGUACCCAAAACUAAAAGGUUAGCAUCAACUGUGCUUCAACCAAAGUUGUCAUCCCAACUCUCCUCUUCAUCCAUGCCAUUCUUGUCGUGGCCGUCACUGUCAGUCCCCAUGGCAUUGCCAAUGCUGUGCAUGUCUUGGUAGGAACCUACAUGUGAUGAACUAGUAACCUGCAAAAAGAGCUCAAAGGAUCUUGUUCUCAUAUUGUAGCUGUGAAAUUCUUACAAGUAGUGUUGCAAUCAGUUCACUUUGAACCAAAAGAGCUCAAAGGAUCUUGUCCUAAAAGUUCCUCAUAAAGCUUAUGGGUUUGCUGGUGGAACUGGAAGGGCUUGAUGCAGCAGAUGCCAUUCUGCAAUAGAGAAAAAUUUAGAGAGCAGUACUAGUUAAAAUUGGAUGCAGAAGAUACACAUGAAACUAGUAUUUAUACAAGUCUAUACAAUUAAAAUCUAAGGAGACUUAUCAUCGUUUUCAUGUGUUGUGAAUUAAAAUAAUGAAGGAUACACUGUUAGGUGAAAAUUCAAGAAACAAAAUUUUGCAUAGAGAUAAAGGUCCAACAUUAUUACAAGUUAAGGUAGUUUUAAAUAUCCUUGUAAUCUUCCUUUGGUUUCCUCAACGAUUCGAAGACAAUAACCUUGCUUCUAUCAAUGAUAAUUAUAAGGAGAAUCCAGUGGAAACUGUGUAUUCGUAUUAGAACUACCUAAGGUUAAUUAGGUUAGGAAAGGAAAUUGAAAAUAGAUGGUACCCACACUUACUUAAAGUUGUCGGGCAAUAGUAUGUAAUGCUUGUAAUUCCGUUGCUCCAAGAAUUUGUAUAUGUGGUCCAAUGUAGACUUUGGUUGAUCCCGUAUCUGCUGUUGGUUAAAUAAGUGUUUCUAGCCAUUUCUAGCCAUUAGAACCGGGACUAAAGGGGGCUCUUUAGUACGGGUUGAUAUUACUAACCGGGAUUAAAGAGCCCCCAUUAGAGUUGGUUUUUGGAUGCGGAACUAACAACUCCUUUAGUCCUGAGUACGAAAACAACUGACAUAUUUGUUGCUGGAUGGAAGGUCCUUUCUCUACCGUGAAUAUUGCCAGAAAGAAUUGAAAGAGACUGCUUGCUAAAAAUAUGUCAUAGAUGUAGACCAAGCUACCAAGGAGGUAGACCAAACAUGAUACACACCAUGCGUACCUUGCUGUGCAGACUAUGCAUUGACAAGAUACCCGACCACAUGUUGGCCUCGGUCACAUCAAAAGAAUCAUGUAGGCCACCAAUAAACUACUUGAAGCGGCAUUCCGUAUCGUAUAUGCAUUGCCGGUUCAUCUGCAUUACAUUACAUAAAGCACUAUUAACUAUUUGAAUAAAAUGAACCAAUUUAAAAGUAAUGUGUUGUACUCUACUAUAGAAAGCCCUAUCACUGCCGGAUCCAAAAACAUCAUUGUUAAUGGUGGUUAAGUACCAAAUAUGACGGUCAAUAUUCUCAAGAAUAAUGGAGAAUUAGCAUUUCUUAGACACAUAUUUGGUUUUGAACAAUGUAGUUCCACAUGUCUUUGGAGAUUAUUUGGGUGUGGGUGAAAUAAUACAAAAAUAAGGAGAAAACACACUCCCAUGGCGAAGAAACACAACUCCAACCAAUGAGAGAUAGCCACAGGGGCAGCACACGGAUCCAUGGGCCCACUAACCGCAUCAAACCAUCUUACCAAGGCAGGUAGCACCCACAACCGUCAUUAGGACCCACCUGGAAGUCUACCAAGAAGAAGGUUGCGAGUGGGGCCAGGAGGGGUUCGGUUGAAUCAUCUCUAGCUAGCUCCCCUCAUCCCCAGCUGGUGGGUGGUGGUGGUUGAUGGUGUCCCUACAUCAGUUAGAGGAGAUUCCCCCAAAUAUUCCUCCUGUAAACCACCUCUAUGGACCUAUACAUAGAGGGGUGUGCUCUCCAUUCCAACACACACCACAAGUUGAAUCACUCUCUCCCUCUUUAGUUUCCAAGUUUAUGGAGUUAGGCUAGAGUAGCUCUGCUCAAGGUUCCAAGUCCACUUGGAGUUAAGCAUAUGUCUCUUGUAUCGUUAUUUCCUAAAUUGACUUUAUGCUUAGUUCUUAUAUGCAUGAGUUAGUCUAAUACCCUUGCUAUAUUGAUAUGCUCGGCUUAUAUGCUCGUAUGCUAGUCAUAUACCCUUGCUGUCGUAGUAUAGGCUUAUAUGCUCUCAUGUGUGCCUGUAGACCUUGCUAUAGUAUAUACUUGUUGUGCAUACAUACCAUGUAUAGGCUAGUCGAUCUAUACCAUGGCAUUGGUUCAAUAGCCAUGUUUUUGGUGGCUCCAACCCUAGUCACAAUAGCUCGGGACAGCUGGAGUGUUGUUAAAAAUGCAAGAGUGGUGCUUGGGUUGUUUAGCAUCGUUGGAUAUGGGUUUGCCCCACGGGUUUCUAACGGUAGGCGGCAGCUAGUGACAUCCCUGUCCGUCCUUCGUAAUCCCCCCACAUUCAGGUACGCCAUAAAUGUUCGUAAAUUAGCAGUAACUACGCCGGUACACCUGUAGGGUAUUGUCUCCCUGUAGUACCUUGGUGCAUAGAACUAAGUCCUAUACACUGUGUGUGUAUGUUUACGCUGAUAUGAUCUGUGCAGUAUAUAGGAUGUAUAUAUGAACCUAGAGCUAACUCCUAGUCCGUUCUCCAUAGCUUAGUUAUCUUGAGAUGAUUCUUCUGUAUGUGUAACACUACCCAUCUUAUCAUUAUCCUUGAUCCUGUCUUGUGUAAUAUAUCUACUCAUCCUAUGAUAUACUCAUAUGCAUAGUAAACUAUUUUGACCUACCCGCCUUCCUUUGGGAAAUAUGAUACCUUGGAAUAAUCCUAGGUGAAAUCCUACAACGGUAUAUCCAUGUAAAUGCGGAUUUAUUCAUGACCAUUAAAUAUACCAACAAUCAUCACUGUGAGUUUUGGGCGUCGUUAGUGAAGGGUUGGUAGUGAUGGGCAUCCCCUUCACCAAUGGACCUGGAACCGGCGGUGAUGGCUAUUAUAAAAAAGGGGACACCACCCAGCGUACCCCACGACCCGGCCGGCCGCACCUCCCAUCAUCCCCGCCAGCCGCCCUUCCUUUUCGCCGGCCGAGCAUGGUCCCGGCCUUUGUCCCUACCACCUCGCCUCCACCGCGACCCCCCGCCGAUGCCCUCGUGCCUGGCCCCCCUCAUCUUGCCGGCCACCCUCCCGAUGCGUCCACUGGGGCCCUCGCACCACCAACCGCCCUUGCUUAGAGAGGGAGAGAGAGGAGGGAGGUGAGGCCACGCACCUCGUCCUACACCGCCGCUGUUUCUCCUCGGCCCACCGCGCCUCACCCCACACCACAGCCGCGCCUUGCCAUCUUACCGGCUGUGACGCCUCAUCUCACCGGCCACCGUUCCUCACCCCCACUUCGGUCGUCGCCGCUCCUUGCCCUACCGCUGCUCUUUGCCGCUGCGAAUGAGCGCCGAGUGGAGGAGGAGGGAUGGGGCAGGAGGAGGGCAAGAUCCGGGAGGAAGGGAGAGAUCUCGGGAGGUGGAGAUGGAAGGAUAUGGCGGAAGGGAGAGAUCCAGAGGGAGAGAGCAGGGGAGAGAGGGGGGCGUGUGGGGAGAGAGCGCGUGUGGGGUGGGGCCGGGCUGGUGGGAUGGAAGGGAGAGGGGCUAGACGGGCGCAGUGCAUUCAACUGGAUGAAGUAAAUAUUUUGGAUUCGAGACCCCAGCUUUAUUAUCACCGCUGGUCCGUAGUACCAUCCGGUGCCUGCUCGUAAUUUAAUUUGAAUCUGCGGUGAUGUUUUAUUAUCACCAUCGGAUCAUAUAAAAAUCCGGCGGUUAAAAAUCCGCUGGUUUCGAUGAAAACCGACGGUGAUAGGAUGACUGUGAUAGUCUCUUCUCUAGUAGUGGUAUAUUAGUACCGGCUGCCGGAUGGUGUUGCCGACCAGUACUUCUCCGGGGGCGAUUCAGUACUGCUGUUAGCAAAGCUUGUUCUCUAUGAAUUUGGGGAUGGAAAGCUAGUUCUCUAGUUGUGAUUUGUUACAUAUAUAUCUAUGAUAGUCUAGAAAUUGCAUGUCCUUCGUUGACAUAGUUGAAGCUGCUUCAAGAAUUUACUUCGUGCAGUCGUGCAGCAUAUUGGAUUAUCACCUAGACAGGAUACAUAGGUGAAGCAUUGGAUGUGAUUGUGGCCGAUAAUUAUGCAGGACGCUGUUGCAAUCAACCACCAAGAAGUCUGGAGUGAUGGGGUUGCCUCAUCAAUAAUUUUUAUAUAUGGCUGCAGUAUUAUUAAGCCCACGUCAAUAAUUUUUUGUCCGCACCAUAUAUCGAUGGGGUUGCCUCAUCAAUAAUUCGCGCAACCAGACAAGCUGCAGACUCAAUAUGGUACGAAGCUAGUUGCUCAGCCCACAUGCUCUGAUAUAACAUUGACAUCUGCUGAUCUACAGUAUAUAUGACCAGAAAUAUUGUGCCCACCUCAAUAACUUUCUGAAGUAUCGUGGGGAAGAACCUACGCGUACUAUGCCUCGGAACUAACUGACAUAUCGGCCCAGGCGGUCUAGGCCGAUUGGACUGGCUCUUCCUUGUGGCUUCUCACAUCCCCUUCGUCCCCAAGUAAUUUCAGGUGUUCUGUAGUUUUCUUUUCACUUGCAUCUGAGCCUCCUAUAUCAAUAGCUUCGGGAUAAGAAUGCCUCUUGAUAACCUUCCAAAUCCUCGCUUGAUUCACAUUGAUUCCGAAAUCAUCUUGCCAUAUCUUCAGAGACUUAGGUCCUAAGGCAUCAUGGAGGAUUGCUCGCCAAGAAUGAGCACCAUUGGGCUCCUGAGGACCCUAGGCCGAUCAGCCCGGGCUCUAUAGGUCGAUUGGCCCAGGCCCUCUCUGGGCCUGUUGGCCUUCAUCUUUCUUUGAGUCGACGCUUAUUCAGGGCUUUGUCCAAUUAUAGUCCAUUAUAGUCUAAUUUCCUAAAAAACAGAAUGUCCUCCAAAAUACAAUGCAUAUGUGAAAACAACCCAAUUAUUAGGUAUGAUCAAUAGUUUAGGUAUUAAAUUAAUAUUAUUAUUUAAGAUAAACAGGGGUAAAGGGUGUCAUUAAUAACAAGCGCCAACAAGCGUCCUAGCUGUUCAAUAAAUUUUUUCUAGUACCGAUUGGUAACACUAACCGGUGCUAAUAUGUACCCUUUAUUACCGGUUAUUUUACCAGGUACUAAAGGAGACAAGAGCAUCCUAACAUAAGGUUAAUAUCAUCCAUUUCAUGAGUAAAAUACUAUGAUUCAAAAAUAAUUCAAAUCCCUUAAGACAAUACCUAUCAAAUGAGUAAAUUGUAAAUAGAGUAAUCUUGAUCAAACAAUGUCCUAAUGAAACGGAACACUUCUGGUUCGUGUAGAGCACAAUAUAGAAAACAGUAGGGUAGCUGUAUGAUUGACACGUGGUCCAUUAAUUAUUGAGCCAACACUAUGGACAUGUCUUCAUGAGUAGUGUACUAGUCAUAAUACAUGGUAUGCAGUAGGUGGAGGUAUUGACUUAGCCAUGCUAUGAGCACUUAGUUACAACAAACACUUUGCCAUUAUCGAGCAUCCCAAAUCACUACAAAAUCCAUAGUUUACCAUAUACUACAAAAUCUGAGUUAAAAUAAGAGCAUACACGGAAGAGUCCGAAUGCACGGCACAUUGAAUUACUAGACAAAAUUUAUGGGACAAGGUUUUGGGUAACCGCAUGAAAAAUAUUGGAUUUUACUGAACACUUAGUUACAAUUACCAUGCCCGUGAGCACUUAGUCACCACAAACAUUUAACCACUUUAGAUCAUCCUGAAUCCCUAUAAAUUCUAUACCUUACACCGUACCAUGAAAACGACAAGAACAGAGACAGAUGCGGUGAAAAUCUCCAGAGCAAGCCUGAAAUUAAAAUAAGAGGAGGCAGUCACUAUCGACAGGACACGGAGAUUGCUAGCCAUGACAGAGGAAGACAUGAUAUGAUAUUCACCUCUGAAAUGCAGCGUAGACUAAAUGAAGCACAAUUGCAAGUGAGUGUGGCAGAUAAUGGACCAUCGAGACCAUCGAAUGGUAUGAAGCAUGAUUAUCACCUAGACAUGAUAUCCUAGACAGGACGGUGAAUUGUAAAAAGAGUAAUCUUGAUCAAAGAAUGUCCUAAUGAAACGGAACAUUUUUGGUACGUGUAGAGCAAAAUAUAGAAAACAGUAGAGUAGUUGUACGAUUGAAACUGCAUCCAUCGACGUGGUGCAUGAAUUGUUGAGCCAACACUGUGGACAUGUCUUCAUGAACACCAUCUAGUGAGGACAGCAUGCAGAAAAAUAUAAAAACAUGUCAUAGGGAGGCAGACCAAUCUUGCGAGGUAGACGAAACGUGAUACACGAUCUGCCUACCUUGUCGUGUGGAUACCCCAAGUGAAGAUGUCAUAGAGGUGCAGACCAAGCUAGCAAGGAGGUAGAUGAAACGUGAUACACGGCCUGCCUACCUUGCCGUGGAUAUUAGUCCUGAUAUCAUUCUAUUGUUCAAGGAAUAACACUCAAUGCUGCUGCUGCUGCUGACCUGGCUCCAUAAAGUUAUAUUCCUCUAGCCGCUUGCACUAACUUUAUCUGAAGUAUUAUUCUCUCUGCACUGUAUAUAUGGUUACGGAGUUUGCUGGAGUAUCCGGGGGGAAGAACCUACAUAAUAUGUCUUGGAACUAACUGACAUUGAUUCACAGACAAGGUGCUGUUGUUGACAUGGUACAGUAAAUAAUAUAGUUUACCAUAUACCGUAUACCAUUAUAUGUUAGCUAAAAUAAGAGCAUAACAUGUCGCAGGAGUCCAAAAGCACCGGUUGAGGACCAGGUACAUUAAAUUACUAGAAAACAAAAGGGGACAAGGUUUAGGUAGCCACAUGAAAAACAUUUGAAUUUACUGUACCAUGAACACUUAGUUACCAUGCCGGGAGCACCUAGUUAACACUAACAUUUAGCCACUUUAGAUCAUCCCGAAACACCAAUGACCCUCAAUAGCGACAAAUUUUGGUUUAAAUGCCGUCACCAAUGAUCCUCAAUAGUGACGUGUUUAGGUUUAAAUCCCAUCACUAAUAACCCUUGGUAGUGACGUGUUUUGGUUUAAAUCUCAUCACCACUGAUCCUCACUAGUGACGUGUUUUUAGCAACACACGUUAUGAAUGACUUGUCAUUGGUGACAUGUUAAACGCGUUAUCUCAAUGGCAAAUCAAUGGUGACGUGUUUAAAAAAACAUGUCACUGUGAGAGUUAUUGGUGAAGGGUAAUUAAAAUGCAUCACUAAUUUUGUAGCAUUAGUUAUGAUAUAAUUUUGUAACGCAAAAAUCUACCAUAGUAAUGAGGUUUAGAGCCAUCACUAAUGUGGGUUUCUUAUCGUAGUGAUGCAAGCUCUACAAGGUGCUGUUGUUGCCAUUUUAAAGCAUCCCAAAUGACUACAAGAGUCCGGUUGAGGACUAAACAAAUUGAAUUACUAGAACCAAAUGUAUGUCCAGAACAAAGAAAGGGGUCAAGGUUUGGGUAACCGCAUUAAAAACAUUGAAUUUUACUGUACCAUGAACACUUAGUUACCAUUACCAUGCCUUGAGCACCUAGUUACCACAAACAUUAAUUUAGCCACUUUAGAGGUUCCACAAUCACUAUAAAUAAUAUACCAACACCGUACCAUGAAAACAUCAAGAAGAGAGACGGGUACAUGGACCACCAUCAAGUGAGUAGUGACAGCACGCACAAGAAUACCCGGAACCUUUUAGCUUGUCUGUAGUGAUCUGUUUUCUUCGCCACAAAUAAUGAAAGAGGCUGACCAAGCUAGCAACGAGGUAGAGCAAACGUGAUACACGUAGGUUUCAUUCAAGACAUCCAUGUAAGAUUCAUUCAAAACAUUCAUGGAAAUUUCUUGUAAGUUUUCAUGUAAAUUUCAUUCAAGACAUUUGUUAGAGGUGUUGUAUAUACACUUAACGUACAUAUAUCUAUGAUUUCAUGGUUGUUAGUGAUGGCAGAUGAGGAGCAUGCAAGGUGUUUAAUGGAGCAGAUUAUUGCUAGUGGUAGUGGCUCCAACCUGCCCGUAACGUACACCGACGAAGAGGGCAGCCAGGCGGACAUGUUCCUCAACAUGUCCGGUGAUGGCAAUGAAGAGCCCGAGCAAAACCUUGCCGUGACGGAAGGUUCCAUCGAGGUAUAUAUCAUUUCCAUUAUUUUACCCCAUCUAUAAUUUCAUAUUCAUUAUUACUAUGUGCUAAUUAAUGAAUCUUGAACCGUUAGUCCUCUAGAUCAACGAACCGAAAUAAGCCCCGAGGUCUUACAAAGAUAAUGCAGGGAAGGCUUCACAUCAUGGAAGUCACAGAAGAGGGCACAUCGGUUGCUCCCGAACAUGUGGCAAGAAAGUACGUGAGUCAAACCGGGGCAAUCGUAAGGGACAACAUGCCCAUCAGCAUCAGGGAAUGAAAGAGCAAUAGAAAUGAUCUAUACGCACCCCCGGAUACACAAAAGGAUAUGUUGUGGGCAAAUAUCAAGAAACACUUCACAUUUCCCAAAGGAUAUGUUGAAAAAUAUGUGAAAGCGUGGAUGUUGAAGAAGAUGGCCACCCAAUUCCAGACAUUCAAGAAGAUGUUGGAUGCCAACUUCAUCAAGAAGGGUCGAACUCCGGGUUUCAAUGAGUGGCCAAAGUUAAGGGACCACUGGGAGUCGUUUGUCGAAUACAAGACGAGCGAAGGUGGUGCGAGUAAGGUUCACAUCAAUGUUGCCAAUGCUAGCAAGGAGUACCAUCAUCAUCUAGGGCGACGUGGUUACAGCUCUGCAAUUCCCAGAUGGCGCAAGAUGGAACAAGACCUGAUCGAUCGGGGUAUCGUACCAGCAACUCUUGACUGGAUCGAUUGAAAAAUUGGUAUUAUGCUCAUGAAGGCAAUCUGAGCCAAGAGGAUCCGACAUUGGUCUUCAAUAAAACAAUACGUCAGAAGGUCGGAAGGCUUAUUAGGAACAUUGAAGAUGCUAAAGCUGGGAGGUUCAAGGUGGAUAGAGAGAAUGAUGAACUCACAUUGGCCCUCGGGACUGUCAUCUCUAGCACUUCCAGCUCCAGGACUAUCGUCACCACCGGGACCGUCGCUUCCUGCUCGAUCACAGUCUCCAUCUCCAGCACAUCCUGGUGGUGCGAGCGACGACGACAACAACACCCCUCCCUGCCCACCAUUGCCGGGACUAAGACCCGCAUUGAGUAAGGAACCUGCAACACCACUGAAGAAGUCGCGACCACCACCUUCAAGGCAAGUCAGCAAAAGAAGAAAGCAGAGAAGCCUAAACCCACUGAGAAGCCAGCGACUGAUAUGACCGAUGCGGAAAGAUGGAAGGCACUCAAAGAAGAAUGCAGGGAGUGGUUCAGCGAAGGCGAAGGUGAGAAAGUCGUAUGAAUCGAAUUCAAGGAUAUAUAUGAAGUGAACCAUCAGGAUGCCCUUGAUGUCUCUCUCAUCAGCGCCUAGGUUCUGUAAGUGUAUGUUUAUCUAUAAGUAAAUUUUGGCUCAUAUCAUUAUUUUUUUUGCGUGCGUCACCCUACUAACUUCGUCUUCCAUUUUAUGUAGGAUGCUAAUUCAGACGUGCCGCAUAGAAGCGUACUUCCAUGUUGGAUUCAUGGAUCCAUCCCUAGUUAACCAAAAGCCGAUACGGAAGUAGCUAGAGAAAACGUUGGAGGUGGUGUACAACCUCCUGGACAAACUAAACUACAGAAUAGGGGCAAUAUGUGAGGGUCUUGUAGGAUUCCUAGUGGACGAGGUGAUAAAUCCAUAAGGAGAAUAUCAUUCCAACGGACGAGCAUUAGACACACUGAGCAACACCUAGAUGGGAGGAUCCUAGGAAUGACCUCGACAGAUUUUGGUAUAAAUAGUAAUUGUGUAAAUACUAGUUUGAUUUGUAUAGGAAUAUACUAAGAAUUGUAUAUAUAGUAAUUGUACAAAUACUAGUUUGAUUUGUAUGAAUACUAGAUUGAUUUUAUUAUAAAAAAGUUUUAAGUCGUACGUGCAUGCGCCUACAAAGGCGCGGAUGCCUUUUAAUCCCAGUCGGAAAAACAAACUGGUACUAAAGGGGCUCGUGCCGCACCUGGCAUGACCACCCCUUUAGUCCCGGUUGAACGACCCAGGACUAAAGAUCUCCGCGUCUCAAAAAUUUUAUCUCGGAUGCUUUUUAGAGAGAUUUGAGGCCUAUCAACCAAGACUAAUAUCGAGUUUUCUACCAGUGAAACUAACUAACGUUCACAUGGUUUUGACAUUCACCUGCCAUUUGGUGUAGACAAGGGCACCCUAACAUAUGGUUAAUAUUAUUCUUGAAAGAAAAUCCUUUGAUUCAAAAUACUUCAAACCUAAUAAUACAAUACUUCUCACAUCUGAAAAAUAUGAGACGGCCCGACAGUAUUCUAAUCGACGCAAUAAUAUUUUGAGGGCAGCACUACUACAGCGACCCUCAUUCGUGCCGGUGCUGGGACUCCUAUCACGACCCUGAUACAAAUGAGGGUACAUUAUUGGUGCCAGUGCUAGAACAGCCACGAAUAACUUGCUAAACGUGCUGUUACACUCACUACAGGGACCAAGAAGGUAGAUAAAUUACACGACAUAGCCUUGGUUGCCGUGGAAGCGCCAAGAAGGGAGACAAAUUACAGGGACCACACCAUCAAGUAGAUAGUGACAAUAUGCAAAAGAAUACCCGCGCCUGUUAGCAUGUGAACUGACCACACCACGAAACGUGAUACACGGCAAGCGUACCAAGGCCUUGCUGUGCAGACUAUGCAUGGACAACACAUGGUACCUGACCGCUUUUGGCCUCAGACACAUCGAAAAACUGCAUCGUUCCACGUUGUACAUCCAUUGCUAGUUUAUCUAUAUUACAUAAUAUAUUAUUAGCUAUUUGAAUAGAAUGAACCAAUUAAAAAAUUGCGUUGUAUUUUUAGUACCGGCUGCAGGAUGGUGUUACCAACCAGUACUAAUUGGCCUGUAGGAGUGAUGGUUAUUAGACUUGGUACUGUUGUUAGCAUCAUUAACCUAAUUGUGCGCCGUAUGAAUUUGGGGAUGCAAAGCUAGCUCUCUAUGAAUGUGAGGGAUGGAAAGCUAGUUCUCUAGUAGUAAUUAUAUAUAUGACAGUCAAGAAAUCGAACACUAUGCUGCUACGAGUCACCAUCAUUUCCUUCAUUGACAAUCUGACAUAGGUGAAGCUGCUUCAAUAAUUUCCUUCGCGCAGUCGUGGAGCUUAUUGGAUUAUCACCAGGACGGGACACGGAAAUGGCCAGCAAUGAAGCUGAUUGCCGUCUGAGGAAGACUACAUACUUACCUAUGAAAUGAAGCGAUUGCAUAGACUAAUGAAGCAUUGCAUAUUUGCAUGUGAGUGUGGCAGAUAAUUCUGCAGGACAUGAUUGCAAUCCACGCACCAUCGAGAAGACUGGGGCGAUGGGGUUGCCUCAUCAAUAAUCACGUGGAUGCAUGCAUGCAUGUUCCCGCAACCGGACAAGGGUCUGAUAUAUGGCUAUAGUAUUACUGAGCCCACAUCAAUAAUUUCCACUGGUGUAUCGUGUGGGAAGAAUCAACAUACUACACCUCGAGUUCUUGGAACUAACUGACGUUCACAUGCAACCUCCACAAGGUGCUGUAUGCUUUUGACAUUCACCUGCCAGUUCGUGUAGAGAAGGACACCCUAACGUAUAGUUAAUAUUAUCCAUUUCAUGAGUAAAAUACUGUGAUUCAAAAAUACUUCAAAUCCCUUGAGACAAUACUUCUCACUUGACUAACCACUAACCAACCCCGAAACCCUAACUCAACUCCGAACCCUAACCCCUAACGGCAUAACCACUCCGUUUUGCCGGCGAGAUGGAGGAACUGGCUGGAAGGUAGAGAGGGCAGCGGUCCAGGGUUGAAAACGACGGGCGAGCGCAGUAACAUGUGGAGGAGGAAGUGCCACGUAUUCGUUCACCGCUAUUGGGCAGCGACACACGACACGCCCAAUAAGAUCUUCGCACGGUAGAAGGACGUCAUGUAUUCAAUAAUGUUAUUGGUCCCCCAUGUGCAGAAGGGCGCGCGCGUAUGGAAUAACAAGUAGGGACACUGCAACUAAUCUACUCUGCUCGUCCAGUCCCUAGCCUAUAAAUAGAUGCCAUGCUAGCUCUUGUUGUGCUCACAAUUAAUCCGAUUACACACGAGCUUCUCUCCCUGGCCAAGACACAACCAUAGUAUGAUGAAGAACAUGGCACUAGCCGGCAAUGGUAUGAAGAAGUUAAUCCUCGCUGUUCUCUUACUGUGUCUAGUUAUAGGGCAGAUACAAGUGGAAGCUAAGAGCUGCUGCCCAUCCACCACUGCAAGAAAUGUCUACAAUACCUGCCGUUUCACGGGUACAUCCCGUCCAACGUGUGCAAAACUGUCAGGCUGCAAAAUUAUCAGCGGGAACAAAUGCAAGCCCCCUAACGACCACCUCACCCUUGACCCGGACACUGGUAAAUAAUAAAUUUAUCUCACUUGAUUUCUUCGUGAUUUGAGUCGUUAAUGUAUUUUCCAUCUGAUGAAACGUAUUGGUUUUGCAUUGAAGAGGAAGUUAAUGUGCUUAACUUCUGCAAGUUGGGGUGUGCGUCGUCUGUGUGCAACAACAUCAACGCUGGUAAGCAACUUUUGCUCAGACAGAGAAAACAAUAAUCAUUAAUUAGCGGCAGCUAGAAUCCUAUAAUCUAAUAUAUAUAUAUAUAUAUAAUUUUAUCAGCUCUGGGAAAUGAAGAGGCGAACGAUGCCGUUGAGAGUUGCGACCAAGCCUGCUCUAGCUUCUGCAGCGUGCAUGUUGGCAGCGCCACCGUGGUUGCUUAAGCAAAUGCAUCCAACUAGAUCGUCCUUGUGCUGAAUAAUUGGAUAUCGUAUCCACUUAAAGCUGCCUUGUGUAGUACGUCUUUGUGUCUCUCUUUAUAUUCCAAUAAGGUCGGUGAUCUUGAUGCCACACACUCAGAUGUGUGUUCAUCUCCAGAUACUACUCCAUGCUACCUGCCCUUUGUGUUUUGUUCAAUAACUGGGUAUCAUAUCCCAGCCAGUAUGCCGUCUGUUUUGUGUUUGUUUCCUUCUAGUUCCAAAGGGGUCAUCAUGAUGUUACCUUCUUUCAAUAUGGUGCUUUGCAUGACUACUGUUGUAUGGUACCAUCUUGUGGCCAAUAAGUACAUCUUAUCCUAUGACCUUUGCUAUGACCCUUUGCAAAUAAGUAGAAGAUUGUUAUAAGCGUCAAUACUCCGUAUAAAUUGAUCGCUGCUGUGAGUUCCCUUUCAGCUUAUCGUAGGCAUACAUUAUUGCUAGCACGGUAAAGCCAACCAACACGAAUGAUGAAGUAAACGUAGCGGUACUUCUGUAUACCAACACCCUUACUUAAAUGUACCGGUGUCAUUCCCUACUGGCACAUAUAUUCUUAUAUGCUAGCCAGCUUGUAAAAUUAACCAAUUAAAAUAAUUAUUUCAAGAUAGAAAUAACUUAUCGGUUUCUGGAAGCAUGUGUAAUGUGAAUUCAAGGACUCGACGGAAGUUGAAUCACUUCAUCUAUAUUGCUUUCAGUAUUUUGGGUAACUAAAUUUAACAUUUGCACAUACAAAUGUUAAAGUACAAAUGUUAAAUCUAGUUACCCAAGCAGAAUAUGAAGAUAGUUUAUAGUAUAUAUAUACUAUAUAAAUCUAGUUAACAUUUAGUCUAAAUGUUAAAUCUAGUUACCUAAAAUCCUGAAAGCAAAAUGUAUAAAUAUAUAUCUUUUAAGGCAGUAUAAGCUUCGAUUCCUAUUGCUGCUCUGUUAAAUCUCAUCUUUCGUUGUGGCCCAACACUCUAGUAUGCAUGUUGCACCAAGCUUCUUUGAGCCGCUCUGCCCUCUGAUUUUGCUGCGUAGGGGAAUCUUUAUCAGGUUGGGCUACUUCCAGUUGUGCGAUGUAAAGAUUCGUAUUUUCUAGAAGGUAGACAAAAAACUCGCGUUCUCUUAAGGCAACAACCGGAAGAUUCUGCAGCGCACAGGGCAUACCAUUAUUGUAGAAACGACCUUUAGUACCGAUCUCCAACCCCCUUUAAAACUGGUUUUGCAACCGGUACCGUUAUGUCGGUCCUUUAGUACCAGAUCAAAUAAGUACCGGUUGGUAACCAGUAUCAACUUGUUUUGCGGCCAAAAAAAUAAAGAAAAAAACAGUCAGAAGGCUCGCACACACGCGCAUCACAUGAAAUAUGCGUGUGCGGGGUCCAUGGGAUUCGAACCCAUGAAAUCAAGCUGCACGCGACCCUUCGUUACCAUCUCACCUACAUAGCGCAUAUGCUUUCCUGAAGUAACCCGUGGAGGAGGCUUUAGUACCGGGUCAUAACACCACCCGGUACUAAAAAUGACUCUUCAGUACCGGGUCAUAACACCACCUGAUACUAGUAUCGGAUGGUGUAAUGACCCGAUACUAAAAGGCCUCUAGGGACCCUCAAAUUUGAACCCGGUACUAAUGCUAAUAUUAGUAGCGGGUCAAAGUGCAGCCAGAACUAAAGCAUGGGAUGAAAGGUCAUAUUUCUAGUAGUGUAUAGUUGUUGUGAAGGACUGACUUGGCUGUCCUCUCUCUUCUCCAUCCCCUUGGUCUUACGCCGCCGCUCGCACGCGAGCCGGUGCCCAACCAGAGGAGUGAGAGCUAGGGGCAGGUUGGGAGGUGGGGAUAGUGACUGGUGGCCAGGGUGAUGGUUGAUCCUGGUGGGGUUAGGGUUUCAGGGUUUUCGAGCUUCCUAUGGUCGGCGAACCUAGAGGAGAAGCUCAACAUCAGCUGCAACCCGCGAUGGUGGUGGUUUGGCCGGCGCCCGAGGCGAGGCAGCGCGGGAGUGCUGCCGGUGGGUUGGUGUUGGCACUCAUUAUUGACAACUAUUUUGUUCAUAAAAUAACACUCAAACUUGCUGCUGCUGCUGCUGCCAUCGCCACCCUAGCCAUAAUAUAAAGGCAAAAUUUGCUAAAGGACAUGCAAAAUGAUGCUAGUUUGCUGGCGGGCAUCGUUGACCUUGUAAUAUGCUACAAGACACUCUAGUUGUGUAUCAAUUUGCUGAAAGACAUUGCUAUGACUAAAAUAAUGUUUCUGGACUGAGUUGGAGAGAGAGAUGGAGUGAAAUGUCUGUUUUGCCCAUGACCCCACUGGUCAGAUCCUUCUUCUUCCACCCUCCUUUGUUCUUUCUUCAACCAUUACCCAGCUCCAGCGUGUUGCAGAUCUACGAGGGUGGCGGCCUGGGGCGAGGGGCAUCGCUCGCCCUUGGAGGAGCGCUGCGAGCGACGGCGCGGGGGCGGCAACAGCGCGUCAGAACCUGACUGUUCGUUAGCUCCUCUCGCUGCUGGGGAAGAAGGAGGGGGAUGGGCCAUGGACGGGGUUCCCUUGAAAACCUCAGCGUCGAGCUCGGGCGGCUACGCGCAGGCAGCACUAGGCUGCUUCACGGGGAGGGGGCGCGGCCAAUCAUUGGCACCCCACUGGUCCAAUGCUGAUGAAGAUGGUGCCAGCGUCGUGUGAGGACAUCUCAUCUCCUCGAGUUCCAUGGCCAGCACAGGUGAGCUGCCGCUACCACAAAACAGAGGUUUCGUGAGAGUCAAAAAACCUUAUGAAAAUAGCUAAAACCAUCAUGAAAAUAAUCCGUGACAUGACACUCUCACGAAAAUCCUCUCACAAAUAUGGUGCCAUGAAAAUACCAUUUUCAUGAGAGUGAACUGUCAUGAUUUUAUAAGCGUCAAUACUCGGUAUAAAUUGACUACUGCUGUGAGUUCCCUUUCAGCUUAUCGUAGGCAUACAUUAUUGCUAGCACGGUAAAGAGAACCAACACGAAUGAUGAAGUAAACGUAGCGGAACUUUUGUAUACCAACACCCUUACGUACCGGUGUCAUUCCCCACUGCCACAUAUAUUCUUAUAUGCUAACCAGCUUUGAAAAUUAAGCGAUUAAAAUAAUUAUUUCAAGAUAGAAAUAACUUAUCGGCUUCUCGAAGCUUGUGUAAUGUGAAUUCAAGGACUCGAUGGAAGUUGAAUCGCUUCAUCUAGAUUGCUUUCAGGAUUUUGGGUAACUAAAUUUAACAUUUGCACACACAAAUGUUAAUGUACAAAUGUUAAAUCUAGUUACCCAAGCAGAAUAUGAAGAUACUCUAUAGUAUAUAUGUACUAUAUAAAUCUAGUAAACAUUUAGUCUAAAUGUUAAAUCUAGUUACCUAAAAUCCUAAAAGCAAAAUGUAUAAAUAUAUAUCUUUUAAGGCAGUAUAAGCUUCAAUUCUCUGUUAAAUCUCAUCUUUCGUUGUGGCCCAACACUCUAGUAUGCAUGUUGCACCAAGCUUCUUUGAGCCGCUCUGCCCUCUGAUUUUGCUGCGUAGGGGAAUCUUUAUCAGGUUGGGCUACUUCCAGUUGUGCGAUGUAAAGCUUCGUAUCUUUUAGAAGGUAGACAAAAUACCCGCGUUCUGGAAGAUUCUGCAACGUGCACGUUGGCGCUGCCACCGUGGUUGCUUAAGCAAAUGCAUCCAACUGAAUCGUCCUUAAGCUGAAUAAUUGGAUAUGGUAUCCACUGCUUAAAGCUGCCAUGUUUAGUACGUCUUUGUUUUUCUCUCUUUAUAUUCCAAUAAGGUCGGUGAUCUUGAUGCCACACACUCAGAUGUGUGUUUAUCUCCAGAUACUACUCCAUGCUACCUACCCUUUGUGUUUUGUUCAAUAACUGGGUAUCAUAUCCUAGCCAGUGUGCCAUCUGUUUUGUGUUUGUUUCCUUCUAGUUCCAAAGGGGUCAUCAUGAUGUUACCUUCUUUUGAGGUGUCUAUGAUGACUUCGUUAAUAUCAAUAUUAACCAAUUCAAUCUGUCUUAACUAUUUGUAAGGGGUAUGAUGUAUGCAUGAUUAUAACAAUGAUUGCGCAUACAAUCGCCGCCAAAGAAACGGUCAAUACCAUUAAGACAUAUUACAGACAAUUCUCAUAAUCUAUAAUGAAUAUACAUAUUCACUACUGCAGAAGACUGUCAUUUGUAUCGGCUCAUACGUGCCAGGGCAAAGGUCACCCUUGCAUUAAGUACAUUUGCACGGUAAAGACAACCAACACGAAUAAUGAAGUAAACAUGCCGGUGCUUUUGUACACCAACACGCUUACUUAAAUGUACUGGUGUCAUUCCUCACCGGUAGCCGGCUUGAAAAUUAACCAAUUAGAACAAUUAUUUAUUGUAUCGGUGUGAUUUUUGACCUAUUGGAAUAUGAAUUUGACCGUUACUGCAUUCGUCAAGACUCAAGAGAGAAAUAACUGAUCGGCUUCUUAGAGCGUGUGCAAUGUGAAAUCAAGGACUGGAUGGAAGUUGAAGCGCUAGCACUAGUAGAGAAACGACUUUCCAUCCACCCCCUUUUGUCCCGGUUUAAAGUUGGCUCGGGAUAAAAGGUUCACCAACCGGGACUAAAACUCAGUCACUGGUGGGAGGCUCACCAACCGGAACCUUUUAUCCCGGUUGCAAAGGCUAAUGGGAAAAAAAGACUCUGAGAGGCCUUUUAUCCCGGUUUGAAACACCAACCGGGAUAAAAGACCCCCCUUUUAUCCCGGUUGGUAACACCAACCGAGAUAAAAGGGUCAAGAGCCUUUUAUCCCGGUUGGAAACACCAACCGGGAUAAAAGACCCCCUUUUAUCCCGGUUGGUGUUUCAAACCGGGAUAAAAGGGCCCCCACGAGGUGACUGGAAGGUGACUGGAAGGGGAUUAAAUCGUGGGGGACCCUUUUAUCCCGGUUGGAAACACCAACCGGGAUAAAAGGGGGUCUUUUAUCCCGGUUGGUGUUUCCAACCGGGAUAAAAGGGUCCCCCACGAGUUAAUACAAAAGGAUAGUAUCCCCUACAUAGUCAGAUGUGGUGUGUAGGUGGGAUGGUAAGGAAGCUACGCGCGAGCUCCGGAAUUUUUUUUUUUUUUUUUUGCAGCGUCGGCGCUCUCUACCCUUUUAUCCCGGUUGGUAUUACCAACCGGGAUAAAAGGGGGUCUUUUGUCCCGGUUGAGUGACCCGGGAUAAAAGACCCCCCCUUUUUUCCCCGGUUAGUUUAUCCCGGAUGCAUUUUCGGGAUAAAAGCACCCUACCAACCGGGAUUAAAGCUCACUUCUCUACCAGUGUAGCUUCAUCUUCCGCUGCAAGUUAAUUGCUUGGAUAAGAAGUUGUAGCCGCUGCAAGUUAUAAAUAGUCCCGCUGAUGCUGUGCUCCGAAGUCUAUACUAUAUAUGCGGAAACUAGAUUGCUUUCAGGAUUUUGGGUAACUAAAUUUAACAUUUGUACAUAAAAAUGUUAGUUUACGAAUGUUAAAUCUAGUUACCCAAGCAGAACAAGAAGAUAGUAUAUAGUAUAUACUAUAUAAAUCAAGUUAACAAUUAGUCUAAAUGUUAUAUCUACUUACCCAAAAUAUUGAAAGCAAAGAAAGAAUAAGUAUAUAUCUUUUGUUGGAAAAUUGGUCCACGGAGAGGCCCAUUUAGGCCUCGUUCGUUUCACCGGGAUGGGAUUCCAGUCAGGAUUACUUCCAAGUUCGGUUUGAGUGAUUCCACCCGUGUCACUCAAUCCGGCUAGGAUUCAUUCUAUGGGUGAGGAGGUAUGGUUUCAAUCCAGGCCAUCUAAUGUAGAAGGAUUCCAAUCCAGGCCGGUUUUCGUUCCAGGCCAGACUAAAACGAACAACACUUUCAAUGCAAGUCUGGUUUCAAACCGGGCCAUUUCAAACCACCCGGAAUGGACCUCGUUCCAGGCCAAUCCGGUGAAAACAAAUGAGGCCUUAAUGGAAUCCCAAAGCAAGAGUUCAGUGGCAUUCUAUAGUCCCAUGCUGCUAGUUUGAGUUGGUCGAAGCCAACUUAAAUAGGAGAGCUCUCUCACUUCUCUAAAUACGUAACUGAAGGAGAGAAGGGGGCUUGGGUUACACAACGCACGCACGCACGCAUAUUUGCGUUCUUUUCGCGUAACCAACCGCGUGACUUGAAACUUGCGACGUAGCGUGCUGCUAAGUCAAGUUGAUAUAACCUUUUUGCCGUUUGCAUGUAAUCUUUUGACAACGGUCAUUGGAGGUGAUAAGCACGCAGUCAAUACCUUAAUCUUGAGUUAAUAGGGUGGUUACUACUGCCAAUUAGUGGGGCAAUUUUGUAGGGGAAACGGUUAGCAGAGGGCUACCGUCUUCUCUAUAAGAAGUUCUGGAGACGUCCAGGAACACACAUGUACAUGUGAGAGACCCACAAAUUCCUUCCCUUCUCCCUUUUCCAUGUGGUGAAGUGUGCUGUGGUACUGAGCUGCUUGAUCUCGCCGCUCUUCUCCUUGGCAUGCACCGAGGAGGAGGGUGAGCGGUAUCUCCGAGCUAUUGCCGUCAGGAAGCCUGCACGAGGGACAACAAAAAGUUUUUGGGUAGCGCAACUGCCAGCACAACUCUCCCUCCGCCUCUUCUUCACGGUUGAUGGCCACCACAAGCAUAAACCUCGCCUUCGCAUCCACGCAAAAGGGUCGCUGGGGUGCCUUCUUGCAUCGCUUCUCAGCCUCCUUGACUUGCGGCCAGCCAAGAACUGCGCCACCACCUCGGGUGCACGCCACCACUCCAGGGCUGCUACCCCAUGCCUGCGGCCGCCGCCGGCCACCACGCGUGUGCAACCGCGUCGCACCGCUUCCUUGCUUUGUGCCACCACUGCUGCUGUACCACCAGCUCCACCACCUUGGGCUGGUCGCCAGAGUGACUGAUAACUUAUUAUCUGUAACUACUAUUAACUCAGGGAUACAUGCGUCUUUUGCUUCUCCUACUAAUAUGUCCUAAAAUAUCUAGGAUGCCUUAUAUUUCUGGACAGAGGAAGUAUUUGAAUAAAAUGAACCAAUUUAAAAAAAUGUGUUGUACACUACUACAGAAAGACCUAUCAGUGUCAAACCCAAAAAUGUUGUCACCGCCAGUUUUGGGCAUCAUUGGUGAAAGGUUGGCGGUGAUGGGCUUUCCCUUCAACAACGGCACUGGAGCCGACGGUGAUUGACAUUAGAAAACAAAAAAGGGGACCCUACCUAGCCACCCCUGCAACCCGGCCGGCCGUGCCUCCCCUCAUCCCCACCACCUCGCCUCCCCAUGACCCCCCGCCGGCGCCCUUGCGCCUAGCCCCCUCAACUGCCCAGCCGGCCACCCUCAUCACGAGAGAGAGGUGCAUGUUGUAUAAUUGCGUGAAUUUUUUAAUGUUUAAUUUCAUGUAAGUUCCGUGUAAUAAAUUGUACAAGUUUUAUUGUAUAUAUGAAUUCCAUAUAUAUAUAUAUAUAUUUAUAAUUUAAUGUAUGGUUUCAUGUGUAUAUUUCAAUCAUGUGUAUAUUUAGUAGAUUGCCGAUUUUCUUUUUCUACUAGACAAGGGUUGAUGUAUAAUUACGUGUAUAUGUUUAUUGUACGGGCAAUUAGGACAAGUUUUGUAUAAAUUUCUUUUAUUUGAUGGUUGUUGUAUGGUUUCAUGUAUAUACAUUUAUUGUACUACUUUAGACAAUUUUUAAUUUAAUGUUUCUAUGAUUAGAUGUGUGUAUAACUAAUUGUAUUAUUAGUUAAGAUGGGAGCUAAAGAGGAUGAAAGGUAUAUAAUGGAGCAGAUUAUUGCUAGCUCAAACGUUGCAAGAACCUACACCGAGGGUGAGGGUAGCUAGGUGGACAUGUACCUCAACAUGUCCAGUGAUGGCAAUGACGAUGAGGAGCACGAGCAUGACAUCUAUGAUAAUGCGGAACAAGACAUUGCAGAAUUGGAAGGUUCUAAUGAGGUGUGCUUCAUGUUGACAAUCUAGUUGGCUUUUUUUCGUUGGUCACACCUUAGUUACCAUAGAACUUCGUCUCGGGAGAAGAUUGGUGGUGGUAUGGUGAUUGGAAUUUUAUUUCCACGAAAUCUGAUUUCCAUCGAAUCAUAUCCCUUGUAUUUAUCUUCUUUUUAUUUGUGAGAGCAUCUUCUUUAUGCUUGCAAAACAAUUCAAGUGCACAUACUACCCCUAGGGUGACGAUUGGGAGUAGAAAUAAUUGCCAACAAAACAACACCACAUCCUAAGAUUCUUAACUUGUGGCAUAAUUAGUCUAGUAAAAAGAAAGAUAAAAACCUAAUGGGUGUAUGUGAGUGCAAUGUGUAUAUGCAUAUGAGUGGAAGGCAUAUAAGCAAAGACAAUAUUUACACAUAGUUCUAAACACCAUGUUUACAGCUAGGUUGCUGAAUUUCUCCAUAGCCAUAGAGAUUAAUUAACCAAGGUCAAAACACGAUGUCUAUCCCAAGAUCAGUAAUUAUUUAUAGCACAAGAAAAAGAAAGCGCAUUGCAAAGUUUAUAAACCAACCAAUACAGCAUGAAAACAAGAUGAAUAGCUAGCAAGGUUUAUUAAACUGAAUGAUGACGGUCUGUAAGCAAGUUUAAACACCAUCUUUACACAAGAUUGCAAAUGGAAAAUGCCCAUAUGAAGCACUAACAUGGAUAUGAAAUCAUUCAUCAUAAAGCGUAAAGAACAACCAAGCCAACCAUAUGCAAAGCAUGAAUGGAAUGCAAUGAAGGUGCAAGAGAACAUUUUUGGAUGAACACAUUAUGAUGAUGGCAAAAUGCAAUGCAUGCAGAAAAAAUAAAUAUGAACAUGAAUAUGAUGAUCAGGGGCGGACCCACUAUUGUGGCCUGGGUAUUCCUCGGCAUACCCAAUAUUUUUGGGAAAAUGUUUAGUAGUUUUUAAUGGCAUAUACAUGUAUAAUAUAGUUUAGGUGUUAAAAUUGAUAUUCACAGCUAUUUUGGGCUCCAAUUCGCGUCCAAACCAACCUGGCCCACAGACCGCACCCGGCCGCCCGGCCCAUCGGCCCAUCUUGUCACUGAUCCUCCCACCACCACACUCAGCCCGUCAGUUAGUCAGGUCCCGAGCUCCUGCCUGACCUAGUCCGCUACCACCGCCAGGCGCCAGGCACAGCUGUACACGCCGCCCCCGUCCACCCACGUCCGCCGCACGGCCGCGUCGCGCCCCCCCCCGGCGCCCGCUGCUGCCAGAACCCAUUAGGCCUCCACCGGCAAGUCCACCCACAGUCCCGCGCGACGCGGCAGCCUCUUGGCUCUCGGCGCUCGCGGCGCGCCAAUGCCUGCGCAGCCCCAGCAGGCGACUGCCCCCCCCCCCCCCGCAUCGGGCCUCGGCCCCUCCCCAGCUCCCCCUCCCCCCUCCACCAGGACUGCCUGCUGGCCCCCACCGCGAGGUAAUCGAAAUGGACUGCUCAAUCUCUCAAUCUGUUGACAUGAUGCACACGGUUGCAAAAAUAGAUGUGUCAAAAUAGAUGUAUUGCCAAUUGCUAUAGAUGCAUAUGGUUGACAUGAAGAAGUCAAAAAUGACAUUUGGUUCCUUGUAGGCAGUCAAAAAUGAAGAAGUCAAACAAUAUUGAUCUGAAAUCAAUGCGGGAAAGGGCUACGAAGACACACGGGUAGAUUCCCUUGUGAACUUUUUAUGUCGUUCGUCUAAAUAUAUUUUUGCAAUGGGCAUACCCUACUCUGAAAUCCUGGGUCCGCCACUGAUGAUGAUGGUCUAAACAUAAAACAAGCCUAGAUUAAUUAGCUACAACUGAAAUUAAGCAAAGGUUAAUGUCAUUGACCCUAGCUCUAUCCUAGCUUUUACUAAAGUCCCGGCACAUAUAGUGGUUGGGCCCACUCUCUCUACUUCCCUCUCUGCUGCAUGCACACACACGAGCAACUGGAGGCCCAACAAAGCCCAGAAGGGUUCGGCCGAACCCGUCCGAUCCAGUCUGAGCGCCGCUCCCUCCCAGCCUUCGCGCAGAUGCUCCUCCAACGUUCCUUGACCCCUCCCUCAGUGUCCCAUUGGGUUUAACAUUGUAGGAGAGGAGUCCCUUUUUUAAAAUCUCAACCACCUCCUCUCCUCAUUCACUCCACUCUCAUCUCCAUCAAACUCACCAAGAUCCACAUCGGAAAUACCUGCUUACCACCAUGGCUGGCAAAGCCCUCGUCCCUUUCACCAACUUGGGCUUGACCAUUGAUCUCGAUGGGAAAAUCACUCCAGCAAAUGUCAUUGUCCCUGUCGGCGAUCUGGCGAUGGAGGAGGUCCAGGCACUAGAGGUCGAGCCCCUAGCCAUCAUACCGCCCAAGGGGUAAAGCAGGAGCAUGACAGGCGCUGCUAGGGGUUCAGCCGAACUCCCAGUUCAGCCAAACGAGGACGGCGUCGCCUCGGCCUCCCGCUCGACUGCAUGCUUCCCCUUGCCAAGGAGGACUCCAGAACAGCGGGCGCGUGCGUCAAGUCCCUACAAAAGGCUGAAAUACAAUGAAUAUCCAGGGUCACCCUUGAAGAUGGGUGAACGCUACGCCGGGUCCUUGUUUGACUAGUACGGCGAUGCAUUCUGCCACCGCUAUGUCGUUGUCGAGAUUAGCGGAUCAAGACUUAGACUAGUAAAUUUCUUUUAUGCGCGUAAGGCUUCAGAUGGUGGCGUGGGAGACAUGGGUUUUAUACUAGUUCGGGCAAUGGAAUACCCUACGUCCAGUGUCUGGAGCUGCUUGUGUUGCCCACGCGGGGUUCUGUAGUAGGGGUUACAGGUGUGCGAGAGAGGGAGCUAAUCCCAGGUCUCUUAGGCGUGUUCCGGUCCUCUAGAUGGGAGAAGUGUGUUCUGUUUGCUUGGGAGUAUCGGUUGUGUCUGAGUUGUCUCCGGAGCCUCCUCCCGUCUCAGGUCCCCGAUUCUCCUUUCAUAGCACAAGGAGACCAUCGGGGUUACAGACGAGACCGAGCGUGGGGAGGAGUAAAGAGAUAAACAUAGCUAGGUAAAAAUACAACAAGAAAGGGGGGAACCAAGUUUCUAGGUCACCGGCGUCCUCGCCGGCCUUCGACUUCCGCCGGCGCAUUUGUCGGAGGAGGGUGGCCGCCAUCGCGUUCUGUCGAUGGCUUCCUCGGUGACUGUAGCCACCGGGCGUGAUGAUGGCAUUUCGUCGUGACCCUUUGUCUGUUGGGGGAGGCGGCGGAUCCUGCCAUUCUGCUGACGGCUCGCGGAGUGCGAACGUCGCAUCCCUGCCGCUGGGCACGCGGGGCGCGAGAACGUGCGAGGCUUCCCCCUACCCCAGGCGGCGCAGGCCAUGAGUGCCCUGUGGCAAAUCGGAGGAGGCCGCAGCUACUGUAGCUUGUACUGUGCAGCCACGUAUGGGUACUUGUGGCAGGUUGCGUGGUGGAUGCGGAUAUCCUUCUCCCUGACAGAUCUGCGGCGCAUUUAUGGCGAGAUCGACAUGGGGACCCACAAGACCCGCGCCCAAGGCGGAUACUUGUCUGGAGGGCCCGGGUUAGCCUGACCCCCUACGCUUGGGGUCGGGCGAGGCGGAGACUUGCGGCGGGGCGUCGGACGCUCCCGACACUAGACCUGCGGUCGCGCAAGGCGGAGCUUGGUCUUCCGGGGGUCGGGGGUGCCGGACCCCAGGAUGCGGGGUCGGGCGAGGUGGAGCGUAAUUCUUGCCUCCCAUGUUGGGCCGAUGGCAGUCUUUGUUACCUCUAGUGGGCUUGGGCCUUUAUGUUUUGUUGUUUCCAUGGGCUUCGAGAGGUCGUUAAUAUUUCCCCCCAACAGUAGCCCCCGAGCCUGUGGUGGAGUGGGGGCGCUCCUCCGGAGGCUACUAUCAUCGCCCCUAGGGAAUCCUCGCAGUUGAUCCGGGAUAGGAGGUGUUGUUUGCACGGCUUGACCGAGGGGGUCGAUUAGGCGACGCAUCCUGUGAGCGACUCGGUGCGGGAGGGUUUCUUGUUGUUCCCUUCUGUCUGAGAGCCUUAAGUCGAGACCACCUGCGUGGCCUUUGGUUGCAAGGCCAGCCCCCGAGCCCCCGCACGUUGCAGGGGACCGGUCGGAGGCUAGGUCGACUUUUGUUCAUUACCCUCAAGCGUCUGUUCGCUAGGACGGAGGGGGCGAGCCGUGCCAUGCUAUCCUCAUCGGACGAACCAUGGUGCUCAUUGAGUUACUAACGGGUUGAUUCGAGUGGGAUCCCGGUCCCCGUUCGGGGGGGGUCCGGCUUGGGCCAAGCUGGUGGCGUACCCCAGGCUCCGGUCGGCCAGUUCAUAUAGUUCCUGAGUCCGUUCGGUCGGACCGGGGGCUCAUUGCCUUUCUUCGGGGAAAAACCAUGAACUUUGAUGCCGGUCCAGACUCGAAUGUGAGAUUGAGACGCCCGGGGCUGUCGCGUGCCCGGGUGAUGGCCGCUAGCGGACCCGUCUCCUCUCACCCCUCACUCGGGGGUAUCCUGAGGCGGCUGUCGAACCCGUGGCGGGCCAGCCUUCGAACCUCUGGAUCGUAAUGGGCCGUAGGGGCGUUUUCAGCCCCGUAUCCCUUUUUACCUUUUGGUGGGCCUUGGGCCGAAUCAUGGAGGAGGUCGGGCCUUGGGCCGGAUGCGGAGGAUGUCGUGCCUUGGGCCGGAUGUGGGGGACGUCGUGCGUGUCUUCCGGGAGACGAAGUGGUGGAGGGUGCCAACCCGCGAAUCGAGGGAGGAGGGGAUGUUUCUACUGCAGGUCAUGCGCACGGUUUCCGAAAAGGCAGCGGGCGUGACGGGACGUACCUCGCGCCGCAUUUAUUGCGAUGGGGGCGUCUGUUCUGCUUCCCUCGUGCCUUCCCUAUAAAACGAGGACUUCGCCUCGCCGGUUCCGCCCGCCAUCUACCUUCAAGCCUUUUCGCCUCCUCGCGCGCCCUUAGCUUUCCUGUGCCCGCUUCGUCUUCCUCCGCCCAGUGCCGCGCCCUUUCUCCCCAUCCGCCGUCGAGUUCUUCUCCCUCCGGCGAUGGGAUCCUGGGCGCGUUCCCACUUCGGCCCCUCACGCGCCGAAGGCCUAGUGAGGAAAGGCCUCCUUUGCGAGAGGACGGAGACGGAUGAGUGGGGGUUCCCUGAGAUGGAAGAGGUGCCGACUCCGCCCACCGGCUACGUCGUUUCCUUUGCCCACUUCCACGAGAGGGGGUUUGCGACUCCGCCGAGCCUCUUCUUCCGCGGGCUUUUGUAUUACUACGGGCUUGAGCUGCAGCACCUCAACCCCAACGGGAUUCAGCACGUCGCGGCGUUCGUUGCGGUGUGCGAGGGGUUCCUGGGCAUUGAGCCCAACUUCUCGCUGUGGAAGUACUUCUUCACGGUCAGCCUAUACCAGAAGGCCGAGAAGAGGGGAAGCCAGCAGCGGUCGACCCCGGUGCCGAUAGGGUGCGUCGGAAUCCACCUCUGCCAUACUCGCGCCAAGGAGUAUAUCGCGAUGAAGACCGCGGCAUCCCACAAGGGGUGGCACCAGCAAUGGUUCUACGUGAAGAACUACUCCAACCCCCCCUGCCGGAGUUCACCGGCCGCAUUAUUGAAGCGGCGCCGGAGGUGUGGGUGUACGGCCCGGUGGAGAAGGAGAAGAAGCGGAUCACCGGCCUGCUGCAGGCCAUCGAGCACCUGAAGGAGAGGGGACUGACCGGAGCCGGAGUCAUCGGGGCGUACCACGCCCGGCGGGUGGCGCCGCUGAUGCUCCGGGUCCGCUCGCUCGCCGACAUGACCCCCGGUGCUCUCACCGAUGGCACUGUCCUCGCGACGGGUGCUCUCGCUGCCUCCGAGAUCCGGCAGCGGAUCCGGGAGGCGCUGGAGGACAAGGACGCCGAUUACCCGGUGCCCGGCCACCCUCCGAUGCGCCCGGACGAGAAUUUCAUUGAUCUGGUAAGGAUUUUGCGCGCCAGUUUCCCUCUCUUGCGUUUCUUGGUAUGCCGUUCUGACGCGAGGCCCUCUGUGUUUGCAGGGUAGCAUGACCCGGGUCGUCGACUUGCGUCCGCCAGUGUCGGAGGACGCCGAGUGGCGGUAGCAGAACCGUCUCCUUGCCGAGAAGCAAAAGUGACGCAAGGACAAGAGACAGCGAAGAAGAAGAAGAGGGCCGCCAAGGAGUUCCAGCGGCGGCGGUGGGGAUAGGUCGUGUCGGAUGACGAUGACGAUGAGAAGGAGGAGGAGGAUGACGAGGAGGAGGAGGAGUUUAUCCUGUCCCCCCGGUCAGGGGCGCUUGUUAUCCGGGAGCCGCGCUCCCAAGCGGCCAUGGGGGACAAGGCGGGCGAGCUGCCUGCCCGGACCCGAUCCUGCGAAGCUUUGGGGGCGCGCCCCAGGGGUCGGCGCAGAGCGCCCCCCGGGGGUCGACGGAGCCGACCCCCAUCCCUACACCUGCAGCCCAGGAGCAGAGGAGCAGCGACAAGCGGCCGUUGCCAGAUGCCCCGGGGUCGGCGUCCAGCUCAGAGGCGAAGCGCGCGCGCCGCCCUUGCGCUGGGGGAACGUGAGUUGAAUUUCCUUGCGAAUCUCGUUCCUUUCCAUGCAUUGUGUUUGUUUCCGCUGAUGCUGUUUGUUGUCUCACAGCACCGCCCCUCAAGGCCUUGUCCCGCCGUUGGCGCCAAAGAAGGCGUUGCGGUGUUGUCGCCUCUGCGGGGCGGACCGCGGCUCCGCCGGCGGCGAGUGGCGGGGUCACUGGUGAGACCGCGGGUCCUACCGCGGAGGUGGCCCCUGCGGCGGCAACCGGUGGAGUGGUGCCACCGCCGGGCAUGGGACAGGGUCUGGACCCCGCUCCGUCCUCCGCCUCUUCGGCCGACCCCGCGGUGCAGAGUAUCGCUCCUGGGGGCCCUCAGGCCGGGGAGGUGAUUGACCUCGACGCCGACGAGGUGGAGGAGACGGCGGCGGUGGAGACGGGGGCGGUUGCCCCAGCGGCCAUGACGGGGACGACGACGGCGACGGGGGAAGGAGAGUCUACCCCCGCGGCCACGGCGGGGACAGUGGCGACAGAGGAGGCGGGGACGCCCGCCCCGGCGGCUGCGACGGAGGAGGCGGCGGUGACGGAGACGGGGGCUUCCGCCCGGGAAGCCACAGCCGAGGUGGCAGCGGCGACGGAGGUGAAAGUGCCUGUUCUGGAGGCCACGGUGGGGGUGGGGACGCCUGCCUCGUGGCCACGACGGAGGGCGAGGCGGCCCCAGGGACACUUGCUCCGGCACCCGCGUUGGAGGCGGUGGCGCCGACGGGUUGGCCCGUGGCGGCCUCGACGGGGGCGGGGGUGCGUGCGCCGGGACCGUCGGUGAGGCCGGCGACUUCCGGGAUGGUGGUGCCCGUCUUGACGGCGGCGGCGGCGCGGUCGGCCCCCGCCCUUGCCUCUACCACUCCCAUUCCCAAGGCGUGGAGCGGAUCCGUCCUGCGUUGGUCGUCUCGUGACGACCCGCAGAGGCCCCUCUUCACGUUGGAUGAUGCCACAGAAUGGGGCAAGUGGCAGGCGCUGCAGGGCGGACUCGCUAACGUCCGCGCCGCUCUAUCUUCGGCGUUGGGGGAGCUGGACGGCGUCAUCUUCCCCGGUGGCCGGGUAUGGUGCUUUCUCCGUUGGUUAUUUUCUUCCCGUUACUUCGUCCCUGAUGGCACAUUGUUCUGCAGGCCCUCCAAGAAUGUAGCCGGGGAAAAUCUGAUUUCCUUUGGCUCGAGCAGGGGCUCUGGGAGCGCUUCAACUUGGAGUUGCAGCGGACCGGGGAGCUGACCAUGCAAGUCGCCACCGUCUAGCAUGUCAUCGACGAUCUGCGAAGGCACGAGCAGGCGGCACAGGAGGACGCGCGGCGGGCGGAGGCCAAGUUCCAGGUCGUUGCCGAAAGGGCUCGCUGCGACCGCGAGGAGUUCCAGGCCGUUGCCGAAAAGGCCCGCCACGACGCUGAGGAGCUCGCACGGCUGAAGGUGCAGCAUGAAGCUCUUCAGAAGAGCGGCAGAGGGCCUGGCAGGACCGGGACGCCGAGAAGGUCCGGAAGGAGGAGGCUGAGAAGGUGGCGGCCAACCUUGGGGCUGAGGUCAGCCAGCUCCAAGUGCAAGCGCGAGAGCUUCAGGCCUCCGUGGCCCAGGGGCUCGACCAGGAGCGCCAGCUGAAGGCCUAAUCCGAGGGUAUGACUCUGUUUAUUUCUUUGUCUUUGUGAUGUUGCGGUGAUAUUUUAUUUGGCGGGUUCUUCUGGAUGAUCCUUGCAGAUGAGCUCAACUGGCUGAGGGAGGUGCUUGACGCGGAGCGCGCUGAGCACGGCGACCUGCGGGACGCGGUCCGCGUCAUCUGUGACUUCCUUAGUGUGGUCCAGGGGGAGGGGACGAGCUCGCUGGCGGCUCGUGUCCUCGGGACGUACCGCCGGACCAGCGAGAUCGCCCUGGAAGCGCUUCGCACCGGCUUGAGGCAAGCCUUUGGGGUCUUCGGCUCCCACUAUUCCGGCAUCAACUUCGCCGGGAUGAGCGGGGGAUACGCCACCGGCUACUACGAGGCCGAGCUGGAUGAGAUCGACGUGUCGGUGCUCAGCCCGGCGGAGGCCUUGGUGAAGCUCCUCGAGGAUGAGGCCGUCCCGCCCGAAGAUCCCCGGACGAGUUAACUAUAUCGGGCUGGCGCCCCAGAUGUAAAUACGUUAGGGAAAGACUUGUUUUUUGUGAGGGCCGUAGAGGCCUUUUCUAUGAAUUGUCGUAAAAAAGUUUUUGAUUCCCUUUCUUGCUUUUUGGACUUGGAAAGUUUAGAGCACGUUGUCGGGCGUGUCAGUAAGCUUUGAUGAGCGAAGGCACCGUAGCCGCUGGGGCGUCGUUUUUUUUGCAGUCCGAUCAAUCUUGCCUGAACACCGUUCGUGCACUUUCUCCUUUUUAUGCCCAAAAGUUCAGAAAGAGGGUCGGCUCGGAAAGAGAAAGCGUUUUGAGAGGGUGUCAAGUGGCUUAGGUACUUGCGGCAGGUUGCGUGGUGGACGCGGAUAUCCUUCUCCCUGACAGAUCUGCGGCGCAUUUAUGGUGAGAUCAACAUGGGGACCCACAAGACCCGCGCCCAAGGCGGAUACUUGUCUGGAGGGCCCGGGUUAGCCCGACCCCCUACGCUUGGGGUCAGGCGAGGCGGAGACUUGCGGCGGGGGGUUGGACGCUCCUGACCCUAGACCUGCGGUCGGGCGAGGCGGAGCUUGGUCUUCCAGGGGUCGGGGGCGCCUUACCCCGGGAUGCGGGGUCGGGCGAGGCGGAGCGUAAUUCUUGCCUCCCAUGUUGGGCCGACGGCAAUCUUUGUUACCUUGGGUGGGCCUGGGCCUUUAUGUUUUGUUGUUUCCAUGGGCUUCGAGAGGUCGUUAAUAUUUCCCCCCAACACUAUGAGGAGGACUUGUGGGCAGAAAGUCAGCUACCACAAACUUGCCUCUGAAUAUUUGGAGUGCAAACAUUGGAUGGUGGUUGUGGAGAGCCCCAGCCAUACCUCGCACCCGUGGAGAGGUAAUUGUCGGAUUGCUUGGUUCGUCUCUAGAAUGCGACAAGGUCAGGCGCCACCUCUCACUGCUGCCAGUCAGAAGGCCGAGGGGCCAGUUUCAACAUAGUAAUGAGAAUCUCCGAAGGCCAAUAUGGUUAAGCAGCUAACCUCCAUGAUCAUAGACUUACGUUUAGAAAAUAGGAGGCUUAGCGAUGCGUUAACAGAGCAGAAGUUAGAAACAGAAGAACUUAAGGACGACUUCCGUGUCCUCCGCCUUGGUCUUUGUGCUAAGAUAAAGCGCUUGUACAAUGCCACGGGGAAUGACGGUCUCUACGAUGCAGCUCAAUAGACGUGCCCCUUGUAUCCUUUCCUUUAGGCACUUUAGAAUAUGUUUAUUUGUUUUCCUUCAUUUUAAUUUCCAAUAGAUUGUUAGCGCCUCCAAUUUAAUUUCAAUAAAGUGUAGACUCACCGGUCAUCCAACUUGAUGGAGUCCUUUUGUCACCUAGUUGUCUUUGGAAGAAGUAGCUGGGUACAAAAUAAGUGUGGGGGAGAGCCACAGACUCUCUAGAGCUGAAACAAUGCACAACACCCACAAAUAGAGAAAACCACGCUGCACCAGCACGUACGUGAAAGUGGAGCCAGAGCUGGACCCAUAGGGGUUUGGCCAACCCAAGGGGUGGCCCACUCGGGCCAUCUUCAUCCACCGCGUCGGUUUGUGUCUCUUUACCCCUGAUCUCCCUGAUUCAUGAGUUUGAAUGAAUUUUAAAUCUGAUCAACUAAUUCAAACUCAACUAAAAUGAAUCAACUGCUCCACCUGCUCUACAUGUUUUCUAUGGUUGGCUUGCAUAUGUUUUAUUUCAUGCUUAUCAUCUUGAUGCUUGUGAACAAAUAUCUUUAGGACAGCAUGCUCAUCUAAGUAGUUGAUGUGUAUGAUAUGGUUCGAUGAUAUGAUCUUCACUCUUAAUGCUUAAGUGCUUGGGAAAAUCUAUUUGAAAAUUUAAAAGCCUUUUUGAAAUCUCCUCUUUGAUGUGCCAAAGUCCUACCAAAGCCAUAUGAUAAGUUAUCUUGAAAAACCAUUUGCAUAUGUUGCUUGUCUUUGCAUUGAGCUUUGUCAAAUUGGUGUGACCCUUGUCACAAUUCUUUUCAUACUUUCAUGAUCAAGACUCAUGUGCACGCCAUAUACCCCUUGCUAUGCUUCUAUGAGAUGUUAGCAUUGUACCAUCCAUUCAUUCCACAAAAUAAAUGCUCCACCAUAUGUGUUGGUCUCCUUCUAAGAUUAUUGUUACAAAAGAGAUAUGGGCUAUCAAAAAAAAAUAUGAAUGUCCAAGAAAGUUGGACACAUGAAUGUCCAAUAAAAAGAAAAAGAAAGAUAGCCAUGUCCUCAGAAAUAUUUACAAAGGGAGAGAGAUCAUACAAAAAGGAGUUUCCAUUCCAUCCACCACAUCCAUACAUGUGCACAUCUUGAUCUGAUUGUAUGACUUAUUUUUCUCUUUGGAUCUGGUCUUUGACUUUGCAAUAUAUGUGAUGCAAGCAUGCCUUAUCCUUCAUAGCCUACCUUGAGCUCCACAUAUAGCCAUCAUUAGAAGUAGGAUGAAGAAAGGCAAGUCUAAUGCCUUGGUGAGGACAUAUACACAUUGAGUGAUCUGAGAGAAUCAAAUGAGGAGCUAAGCAAGGUUUUGUUUUGAAAACUAAUUGAAAAAUCCCAAGCUACUUGGCAUAAGGAGUUGAGGUGACUUGAUUCAAGACCAUUACAUUCCUCAACUACCCAAGAUGGCAUGAUAGACACUCCAAAGUUCACAAGUGCAGGUAUGGUUUGGAAUAUCUUUUAGGCUCGCUUCAUACCUUUGAAAGUUAUGUUUCACCUUAGUCCUUUCUCGUUCACUCAAGGAUAAGCAAAGGCUAAGUGUGGGGGUGUUGUUGAUGGCUCUUAAGUACAAAAUCUGCGCCAUCAACUCUUGCAUAAACACAUAAAAUAUGAGCAUCAACAAUAGUGGUAGGAGUUAUUACAAACGAAUUCCACAAGUCUUGGUGAAUAUUUGUAUGCAAGCCCAAUAGGAGAGAAAAGACACCUCAAAAGCAAGGAAACACACUCUCAACCAAUCAAGAGCAAGCACAUGGAACCAUGGGCCCACAACCAAAAGGAAAUCGACUACAUUCCAAACACCCUAUACCCACAUGAGAACCCAUAGGGCAGUGACCCAGAGCAAAGGUGAUGCCAGAGUGUAGAUGGUAGUUAGCAUGCCAAAUUUUGAACCGCAAGCGCUCGGAUUAGUUGUUUCUUUUCCCUUAGAGAUUCCCCCAAGGUUUAUCAAUCCAUGGAACAAGGGAUUUGCACGUUUCACUAAGCACUAAUCAAUGUAAUUGAAAGCUUUUCGAAUAAGAUAUGAUUAUGCUAACAAAGGAACUAAGCAAUCUAGAUUAAGAUGGAUAGAGAGUACAGGUUGUGAACAAGAUAGAUUAAACGCUUGUAGAUGCAAUCACCAUGCAUGAAUGAAUUAGAUCUAGGUGUUAUUGUGAGUGGUUGUGAACCAUGCCCAACACUUUCCCACCCGCAACAUUGUCACUACAUGUGGGUACUCAACUAUCGGAACAUAAGAACACAUCAAGAUGAUCAUUCUAGGUAAGCAAAUAAGCAACCCAAAGUAGCGCUGGCCAGCCUUUUCAUGAAAGAGCAUCAUCAAGAUAAGAUUGAUAACAAAAUAGAUCUCAACCAAAGGUUCAGCGAUUACAAAUCAAGAUCUUCGUAUAACCCCGAUGACAAAUAGAGGUAUUACCCCCAUGAUCUUACACAUGUUGAUGAAUUUUAGGGUAAAGGACACCCUGUAGAUCAACUGGACCAAAGAUGAUGAUGAACGGGGGCAGGGAAGGCCCAGGUUGAUCAGCCUGCGCACUUUUGAGCCGAUCAGCUCAGGGGGUUUCCUCCUCCCCUGGUGCUCCUCUUCGCGUGGCCUCCUCUGGAUCCAAUCUUCUCUUCAUUUCUCCUACUUGUGGCGGCAAUGGAUGGUGUUUGCAUGGUGAUUUCCUCUUCUCCCCAACUCUCCCUCCUUGAAGUCCAUGAGGGGGUAUUAAUAGUCUCCAAUAGGCGGCAGCUCUGGGUCAAUGUCAGUGAAAAAAUCCUAGAGAUCAUCGUACACUUCAUGCUGAGGAAACAAGAGGUUGACCGAGCCCUGGGAUAGACCAAGAGGAUCAUCCUAGAGGGUCCCAGGCUAAUCGGUCUAGGCCCUUCCUAGCCCUUCUAGUCCUCUCCUUCCUCGUGCUGGCUUUUCUCGAUGACCCUUGUCCAAAUAUCCAUGAAGCUCUAUAUACAUACCCCCUUGAUUAUGUUGUAUUUCCUGUCAAAAUACAAUGCUCCAAAAUACAACACAUAUGCAAUAAUAGGGUUAUUUCAGGUGCCAAUUGGUGGGUUAGUAUACGAAUAAGCAUGAAAAUACUGUUUAAAUGACACUAAAAGUGUGUCAAUAACGAGCACCAACAAUCCCCCCACGCUUAGAUCUUGCUCGUCCUCGAGCAAGUCUAGCGACUAAAAGAUCUUGAAUUAAACCUGAGCAAGCGAGUCAAGUACCUAGCCUUGAAACAAAAGAUUAGAGGAGCAGCAAAGAUAAUCAAAGUCUGGGUGUUCAAAGAUUUAUCUAAGCAAAGAUUCCCCUACAACUAUUAUUCAGAACCAAGUAACUUCAAAAAUCAACUACACUUAUUUUCUGGCUUUUUUCAGAGGGUUUUUCUUUCAUCAUAAAACAAUCUCCCUGCAACAAAAUUGAAAAAAGAAUUAUUUUCAAGGUGCUUACAUGUCGCUUAAAUGAAUGUUGGCUAUCCUACUUAUUUGCAAGCUCUCAUCUCUCAAAAUUCAUUCAAUUAUAUGGUGGAGUUUGGGUAAGGUUAGCUAGAAUCAACACGUAUAUUAUUGAAUUAAGAAAACCCUCUAACGGUGGCCUACCUUCCGAGCCAUUGAUCAUAAGAAUAUCCACAUAAUGUGAAGUUUUCAAGGAUGAGAAGAUAUAGAAUGGUGGACAUGUGCAAAGGCAAAGAAAUAUAGUGACUCUGAGGCACAAGCAAUGUCCUCGUCGUUGGAUUGCAUAUGGUUGUAAUGAAAAUAUGUUCCUUAAACAAGUCUAUCUUUUCUUUGCACCACUCUUGAUCUUCAUGACAGUAAAAACUCCUCCUUUAUUUCUUUCUCUCUUUUCCUAUUAUUUCUUUUUAUUUGUCUCAAUACUUUUAUUUCUUUAUUUCUUUAUUUUAAUCUCUUCUCUGAACCUCUUCUGAACACCACAUAAUAAAAAUAAGUUUUAGAUCCUUCCAGAGACCUUCCAGGAAUUUGCUACAUGAAAACCGAGGCAAGGAGACCCCAGGCCGAUUGGCCUAGCCACUCCUUUGCUCUCCUCUAGCUCUUCUUUCUGGUGAAGCUUCCUUAUCUUGUAUCUUUCCAAAAAUUUCAUAAAGCUCGACUAGAAACGGAACAGAUCUUCAUAUAAUGAGUUGUGUUCAAGGAAUUGGUAAUAAAAUUGAGAAAUUUGUGGUUCGGGUUUACGAAUUCAGUACAAAAAUAUGAUUGUUCCAAUGAAGAACUCUCAUUACUGAAUAUUGACGAGGCAAGCAUUCAAAGAUGGUAAAAAGGAUAUGAUCAAUUCUCAAAAUUAAAGCAAACCAAGAGAGAGCGAUCCUAAUUCAAUUCAAAGUGUCAAAUGUUGCUUAUGGUGGUAUGAAUAAAUAUUUUUAGGCAUUGGGUAGGAUAAAUAAAAACUCUCAACCUGGUUAAAAGAUAUUGAUCAAUCUUGUUUUUGCAGAGGUUUUAAAUAAAAAAUAAAAUUUUAAAUCACCUCCAAUUCAAAGCCUUACUCAUAAAUCAUAAUCAAAACUGAAGCACUUGAUCAUCAUAAAGCAUGGGUAUUGCAUAAACAAAUCGAUUACUAAAACUCCACAACUACGAUUUAGAAUUCAAGACAAUGCUCAUAAUCUAAAGUUGCAAAGAUAAAAUAAAAGACAACCAAGCCAAGGUAGACACUAAAAACACUUGCACGAUCCUUGAAUUUUAUUCAUGCUUCUUCUCACAAAGACGCUAAAGUAGCCAUGUAGGCCUAAGUCUUCCCAAAAGCUUAAGAAAACUACUACUUUAUCUACUUUUGGUUGAAAUAAAAAGACUAAUCUAGACUCUCACAUGAUUCGACUCGACCAAAUUAGAUCCAAAAACUCAUACGAGCGACGAUCUCCCCCCCCUCACGCUUAAAAUCUACGACCUCCUCGUCGUAGCCAUAUGGAGUACAAGGAAAAGAAGCUUGUAAACGCUCUAAUGACGCUACCCGCACUACUUGCACACGGGAUGGUUGCUGCUUCCUUCGCUUUGUUCUUCCUCAUGUUGCUGCACAUCCCGAAGAGCUUCCUCACGUUCCUCUGCAAGAACUUGAACUCGUCCUCCUGACGGCGAUCAUUAUCUUCUGCCUUUUGAUCCAGAGCUUGUAAGGCUUGCAUGAUGUCAUCGAACGCAUCGAAGAGGUAGUGGAUGUUCUUCCUGCAAGCUGUGGAACAUGUACGAUCAUGCUCCUCCGAUUCUGGCCCGUCGUCUUCUAGAUCCUUCUCUUUGCCCUUGUCUUGACGGUGGCUAUCUUGCUCCUUGCUCGCCUUCUUGCCUUCAGCCCAAUCCCAGUACGUGUUGUCAUCUUCUUCAUCGUCACGGCCUGCAGCACCCUAUGAUCCAUUGUCUAUCUUGUAUGAAAGAAUCAGAAGCUUGUUCUCCUCAGGGUGUCUUGCGCGGUGCAGCGUUUGCAAGUGCAAGACUUGCUAGUUCCUUUUACACAUUGUAAUGUUCAUUGCAUGCUCUAAUUGUUCUACAUUUGUAAUUUCUUGGUGAAGUUUGGUUACUGAUCCACUGUUUGAUUAACUCUUGGGCCCAAACACUGUACUACUUCUGAUUAGAUAUCUGUAUCUUGACUUUGACCAAAAAAAAUAUCCGGCAGUUUUUGCCAUUAAAGUUUCAUAAAUCAUCUUGCAAAAAUCGUACUAUACAACAAGGGACGGUUUAUUAUAAAAUAUACGUUCCCCUUAUCACAUGCCACUUCCACUCAAAAGGCAACGAAUCAGUUUUCAAUCCUGAGUGAGCAAUUUGCUUUUAUUACCGAUGCCUCCUAUUCCCUUGUGCACCAAGUUUAUUUUGGAUAGGGCUGCAAAAAACGACUAACCAGCUCGGAUUCUCCACCUGCAAAACCGCAUCUGCAGCAACCAACCCCACGCGGUGGAAAAAAAAACAAAACCUAGAAACCGGACGGGGGUGGAUGUGGGGCUCGGAGCCCAAGCAAAAAACGGAUCGGGAGCGCCGGAGCAGGCCAUCACCGGAUGUUAGAGAUAGAAAAUGGUUGAAGUUUGGAGUGGAAAUCAAACAAGCCUUGGAGCAAAGGAAAAAAAAAGAUCAAACCACUCAAGCAUUCAUUUGAUUUAGAAAAGAGAACAUUUGUUAAGGUGGGGAGUUGAAAUCAUCUUUUAAUUAGUUCCACGUAUCUGGUAUCAUUACAGUUGGUUUACUUGUGUAAGUAUAAGUAGCUCUGCCGAAGCCUUUGCUCCUAUAAUUUAGUAACUAGUACAAAUGGAUCAAUAGGAAAAUCAAGUUGCAAUCAUUUCUCAGCCAACCAAACCUAUGUAAAUCAAAUUAUUGUCCAUGCCCGGCAUGCACAGGUGCCUGCCAUGCAUGCAUUGUUGCUCCAUUGUAAUAACCAUUAUUGUCCAUCGAUGUUGCAGCGCAUGUGUGCACUGUGCAGACACCAAGCAUCGAGAUUAUGUACUAGUAAGGUGUUGAAAUAAUGGGCCUAGCCCAUAAGUAAUUUCAGAAUUUCAAAUAAAUCUCAAAGGCCCAUGUGGGCAAGAGGUGGAGUGGUGCAAGUCUUUAGUCCCACAUUGCUAGUCGAGGGGAGGGAUGACCAACUUAAAUAUGGAAGUUGUCUCCACUCCUCCAAGCUAUGUGUGAAGGGCGCGGGCGCGAGGCACUUGCGUGAAUGGUCCGCCGAAAUCUGGCCCCCCUUGCGGGGGCGCGGCUUCCUUUUGCCGUUUUAUUUUUUGGUUACUUGGUCGUUAAGUCAUGGAAUCCUAACCGGUUUAGAUCACGAUCGUGAAGGUUUUUGGGAAGCGCUCUGCGCGACUGCUCGAUCGCUUCUUCCGCUUCGUCAAGUUCUUCGUCGACUCCUUCACCACGGCUCGUCUACCUCUUCGUCGCUCGGGCCUCACUCGUCGUCGCGAACAACGUCAGGCUGCUGAUCGUCGUCGCCUGCUGUAUCCGGUAGUCGUCCAGGAGCCGGUUUUCAUCAAGAAAGAAACGUACGGUCUCUUAACUCACAUUAUGUCUUCCAUACUAGCUAUUAUGAUUGUUGCAGUCUGAUAGCUCUGGAUAGUAUGGUAGAAUGUCUGAUUCUAUUUGCAAUGAUAGACUUGUCUAGAUCUUGCGUAGACAUGUCUAGUUUAAUCUGCUGCUUGUUCAUCAUAUUCAUGAUUUAUUUCUGGAUUAAGUUAAAACUAAAAGUGCUUAUAUAUCCAACAUAAGGUACCAAGAACACGUGAAGCACCCGGGGGAGGCUGCUCCACUCCGCAUGCACAGGUGGGCACGGCACCACUACUCGUCUCCUUCAGGCUGAGGAUAAGUGAUGUACGCUGAUCAACAGACCACGACGGAACCAGCAAUAAUAGUUUCAGCCUGCCUCACAGUAAUUAAUAUAUCCUGUAUCCUCCGAGGACCCCUCCCCUUAAUCUUGGCCUAUUGCAUCCAAUAAUGAUAUGUGUGUUUAUCCAAAUUUACGGCACCUUUGGCGGGGGUUCCACCCAGCUCCGCCCUCUCCACCUUCGGUACUCCAUGGGAAACCAUUCCUUUGGAAUCAAGGAAGCUUGAACAGUAUAACGAAUAAAGUUUCAUAUAUCCAUUUGAUUUCACAUGAAAUAAAAUAUUCUGUCAGAACCAAUGGUUUCACUGAAGCUCCAGGCAGCGAGCGAAGGGGUGAGAGAGGAUAACGCUUACUGUGUGUUACCAUCGCGUGCACCAUGGAUGACCAACGCGCAGCCGAGAUGAAACGGCGGACCUAAACAGGUCCUCGCUAUUUUUGCAGGUUCUCGACCAGGCCAGUUCUUUAGGCCAACCUAUCAUUCACGAGUUAAACAUACGGUGGCUGGAGAAAUGUUCUAUUCUUUUAAACAAUACCAGCUGGUUCCUCCGUUUUUAUUCCACCAAUACAAGCACCACCUUGUAACAUUUCCUAUGUUUUUUUUCCUUUCGUCUGUUUUCUCACUACAUGCGUUGCUCUUUCAUGCAUUUUUUUCCAUUCCUGUAUUCCAAAUAGGUCUACAUGAACACAAAAUGAACUAGGGGACAGAAAAAGCCAGUGAAGUUAGUUUUGAGCUUCACCAGCUACUUGCUACAUAAAGUGUGCUAUAGUCGCAGAAAAGCUAAGCUGGAUCAGACGUGGCCGAAACAAUGCCAAAGAGCUAGGUCCCUAGCUGAUGGCAACACAUCAGAUGACUAGCCUGCUUUUCUGUAAUAAUGAUAUUGAGCAAUACACUGCAUGGCUAACCUGCUUUACAAUAAUUGUCAUUUUAUAAUAUUGGUCAUCACGAGAGAUGCACAUUGCAUACACCGGCCCAUCCCUAUAAAUAGCCAAGCCUUUCAGCCAUCUUGGGCACCUCCUCUCAGGGCCUCGUCUCACCAUCAGACAUCUCGUUCCCAGUUAUAAUUUGCGAGGUUAGAUCAGGCUGCGCCAUGGCGUCCGCAACUGCUGUCAAGAUCGUCGCCACCUUCAUGCUGGUGCUGACCAUGGGCCACCUGAUGGCCGAAGCAUCACCGCAGCCUCGGCGUGUGCUUGCAGAAACGGAGCAUGCUGCGGUGUCCGGGAAUCCUGGCCUCCCAGGUGAUGCUAGCGUCAUGCAGGUCCUCGAACCCGCCCUAGUUUCUCGGCUUGCCUGCAAACCAGAGUGCACAGUCCCUUGGCCUCCUUUUGUAUGUAUCUGCUAGAUCCUCUUCCUGGCUCAACGGAACUUCAGGGAAAUGGCUGUGACGUCGGCCAAAGAAUAAAUUGGAUGAACAUAAUAUACCCCGGGUAGUGUAGCUUGGGCUUUUGUUGAGCGUCUGGUGCUAGUUGUAUUUUGUUUGCUCAUGUGGCUUUGCUUCUGGUUGCAUAUUGGCUUUCCUAUCGCUCUCUGUUGCAGCUAUGGUUUCUGCCAGGUGUGUGUUAAUGCGGUUUGUAAGCGGUGCUUGUUCCUACCUUCUGUUUUCAAUAAAAGAAGUCGGAGUCUCCCUCCGACUCUUGUUAUCAGUCAACAAAAAUGAGUUGUAUCAUAUAUAUCUGCGUCUUUUUUCUACGUAUCUUUGGGCUGCUUCAGCUGGAAGUUUAUCGUAAGUACGUGUAUCAGGAUGAUCGUUUGAAUUAAAACGAAAUGAUAAUGUGUGGCUGCUAGAAAUGGAAUGAGCAUCUUACUAUAUUACUAAUUGGAAGCCUCCACGUGAAGCCACCUAGAAAUUCUAGGUGGACGUUUUAAAAAAAACAAAACUCAUAGAAGCCUCCACCACCUAGGAAUCCUAGGUGGACACUCUAAAAAGAGACAAAUCCUAGAAAUUCUAAAAAAAGAAAAAAAUAAUAACAAUAAGAUUUUUUUGCAGUCAAUUACAUAUAUUUUUUUGAGACACCGUGCUGCUAGCUCUUGCCAUUGCGACCAGUAAAGCAAGCAGAUAGUAAGAUGACAUGCGUGUGGAUUGAUUAAAACAAAUUCAGUUAGUUGAUUCUAAAUCGUAUGUAUCCUAAAAGGAAGAUAUGUGCGUGCAUGGUCCCUAGCGAUGACAUGUAGACAUGUAUUGCAAUUUCUUUUUUAAAAAACAUGUCUAUCUCUAAACCAACAAACAGAAAAAAUAUCAAUCUAAAUCUAAAUCUCUUCCGUUCUCACACGCCUAUUAAAGAGAAGACAACCAAUCCCAUCCAUGUUCCAUAGAAUCCAUCUAAAAGCUUGCUCACUGCGGACGGCAUUUGACGGCAAAUCAAUGAAAGAUCAUCCUCUCCAAAUAGCUGGACGGCAUCACCAUCUUUAUCUCACCAACCUACAGAGCUACAACGAUGUUGUAGAGAUCAACUAGGUAACCUACCAAUCACCCUCCCCUUUUCUAUAUGCUCUAAAGAACACGUGGAGUAAUUAUAGGCCUAUAGGAGCCGACUAACCUAGAUUAAUAUGAAAAAUAUUCCAAUAUUAAAAGCAAGCAGAUAGUAAUACUUGCCUUUGACCAUUUUUCUAGAACUGUUAUUCCUAUUGAAUGUUCAAGUGCUACGGCCAGGCAUCGAAUGCCUGCACGGAACCUUCCUAUUGAAUGGUUACUCUAGAGAUCAACGCACCGCGAGACAUUUUUAUGGAAUUUGUUUGAUUCCCCUUCUACAAUUAGAUUAAUUUUUCAUGGCAUAUAUUACUACUAUUAAAUUAUUUGUUUAUUGUCGGGCCUGCUGCAUGUGUGGUAUAUAUGACUUGCUUCUCACCAUUGUUCUCAAACUAUUAUUCCUAUCGAAUCUUUCUAUCGAAAUAUAUUUUAAUUACUUGAUUGUUGUUUGUGUACCAUAACUUCUGUAUAGAAAAAUUCCAUGUUUGUAGAUAAUGUCUUUUGUAUAGAAAAAUAGCCCAAUUAGAUCCAUCACCAUCUUUUGCUUAUGUAGUUGAACAAGUUGCAAUGUUGAACAAAACUUUAAGUGAAAUUAGACCAGGAAAAGGAAUUGUGGAACAUUAAGGCAAGGGUAACCAGAUUGUGGAAUGCAACCUUACUCAGUAGUGGCGAACAAUUAAGUCUUGACAUGAUCCUUAUUGAUCAAAAGGUAUGAUAGAUGUUCACUUUGAUUGCAUUAUUGGUAUAAUUUUUGGUUUACAAAUUAUUAAUGAUGAUGCAAAAUUAGGGAACCAUGAUCCACGGUGUUAUCAAUAAGCCCUAUAUGAAAAAGUUCAAACCAUUGAUUGAAGAAGGCAAUGUGUACAUAAUUGCAAAUGUCAGAAUCACACCAGAACCACAGAAGUAUCGGCCAGUGGAAAAUGACAGGAUAGUCAACUUCUUACCCACAACUGCACUAAAAACGAUCAAAGAUACUGAAGACAUUCCAAAGUAUAGUUUUAACUUCAUGAGCACGGAUAUGCUUUCAGCAAGAAUAAAUGUGGACAUGUACCUAUUAGGUAAAACAUUACUGGCUUUUCAAUUUUUACACUUCCACUCAUUAAAUGACCAUCUAAUAAUAAUACAUAUUUAUGUUUCAUAGAUGUUAUAGGUAUCUCAGCUCACAUUGGACCGAUAGAAGAAACAAGGACAAACUUCGGAUUUACUAAAAUCCGUGAUAUUGUGCUCCUGAUCGAGUAAUUCUCUUUUCUUUUGUAGAAAACAACUACAAAACUUUCAACAUUUACAUGUAUGUUAUAGAACUUCUGUUGAACUAAAAAAUAUCUUCUACAGUGCCCCUACAAAUAAUUAAUUUCGUAGUUGGAUAUUUAAAAUAUUUAUUAUUCACUUUUAAAUUUGUGGCCAUGAAGUUAAAGUUAGAUUUUGGGGAGACAAAGUUGAGGAAGUUGAUGAUAAGACAAAAUCCCAUGUCAUUGCAAUAACAUCUACAACUGUGAGUAAAUUUGGCAGUAAGUCUUCAUUCAAUAUGAGUUAUUCAAUAUUAGUCAUUCAACAAACUAACCUCGUAAGAAAAAUAAAUAAUUGAUGUUUUAUCAGGGUAUUCUCUAUCGUCAACCAAUGCAACAAAACUUUAUGUAGAUCUACCUAUUCCUGAAACUAAGGAUGCACAUGAUAGGUGAGAAAAAUUAGAUAUUGUUUUUCUAUUUUAAUCUAUGUAGCAUGCACUCUAACAUGAUACAUUCUUUCAUAUGAUAAAAAAAUGUUAGUUCAAUUGAAAAUAUUGUCAAAGAGAUUCAUAUUGAGGACCAUCUAAAAGGGACAUUGGAAGACCAAAUGCAGUACAAUAGAAGAACUUUAGAAGAAUUAAAUUUCAUAUUAUUUGAAACAUCAAAUCAGGUAUGGAUUAGUAUGUUCAUUGUACACUAUACUAUUUAAAGACUUACAUACAUAAUGAUGGUAUUGUUCCUACUUUCAGGAUGAGGUAUUUACUAUUGAAGCAACAAUAAAUGAAAUUAAUGCAACAUAUGGUUGGUUGUCACACCCGAUUUUAAGGACAAAAUUGAGUGCAUUAAAUACAUGUGCACCAGGAUCAAGUUACACACAUCCUAUGAGUACCGUCCUUCUUUGGCACAAAGAUAACCGGUGCUCCCCAUGGUGAUGAACUAGGCCGAAUAAACUAUUUUGCUGAUAAUUCCUCUAGUUGUUGUUUCAAUUCUUUUAAUUGUUCAACCAACAUUCUAUAAGGACGUUUGGAGAUAGGUGCAGUACCAGGUAAAAGAUCAAUAGCAAAUUCAAUGUCGCGGUCAGGUGGCAUACCUGGUAAAUCGUCGGGGAACACAUCCGGAUAGUCACACACCACUUUGAUAUCUUCCAAGGAUUUUCCAGCCAACUGAUUAACUGCACAAUCUGCUGCUGAGGGUAGAGUAGCUACAAACUCCACUUUCUCUCCAUCAGGACCUGUUAGCAGAACUGUCCUCUUGGCACACUGAAUCGUUGCAUCAAAAGCGGCUAACCACCUCAUCCCCAGAAUUACAUCGAUUCCACUGGACUCAAGGACGAUAAGAUCAGCCGGAAACUCUAUACCCAUUAUUCUCAGUUUAACUUGUGGACAGAUGUAUUGAGCCUUCAUUGACCCCCCAGGUGAACUCACUAGCAUAUGACGCCUCAUGGUAUGCAUGGGUAAAUUAUGCUUUGCUACAUAAUGACUAGUGACAAAAGAAUGCGAUGCUCCAGAGUCAAAUAAAACUGAUGCGGGGGCAGAGUUGACAAAGAACAUACCAAGCACUACAUCUGGAGCCUCCUUAGCAGUCUCGGCUUCCAUGUGGUUCACCUUGCCACAAACAAAGCUUUGCUGCCCCUGAUUGCCUUGUGGGGUCUGGUUCCCAUUCCUCGGUUGCUGCAUCUGAUUCUGCCGAGGAGCACUGCUGUUCUGCACGGGGGUAGCUGGCCCACCUCUCUUAGGACAAGAGCUGGCAUAGUGACCAACCUCGCCACACUUGAAGCAGGUAGGACCCACUGGAGCAUUGGGCCUUGUUGGAGUGCCAGUAGGGGUCAUCUGGCGGUUCUGCGUAAAGCUUGGGCGCGGAGUCUGCAUAGUCUGCAUCCCUGGAUGCUGGAACUGAGGGCUAGGGCGCUGGAAUGACUGCUGAGCAGGGCGCGGAAAUGAGUGCUGCCAAAAAUUCCCACUCGGGCCCCCUGCGCGGAACGGCGUCCCUUGCUGUGGAGCAAAGCGAGGGCGGGUGUUGCUUCCUGAAGACUACUGGGAAUUGAAUUUCCUCUUCAUCUCCCCGAGCUCGUUCCUCUUGUGUUCCAGGCCAAUUGCCUUGUCUAGCAUCUUCUGGAAACUGGGGAAGGUGUGCGACAUAAGCUGAUAUUGGAGUGGUCCAAUCAACCCAUCCAAGAAUAGCUCCUGCUUCUGCUCAUCAUCAGCAACAUCUUCGGGAGCAUAUCGGGACAACUGGACAAACUUGUCCCUGUACUCUGCCACUGUCAUGUUCCCCUGCUUGAGAGCAAGGAACUCCUUCUUCUUAAGCUUCAUCAAUCCGGAAGGAAUAUGAUGACUUCUGAAGCUAGUCCUGAAUUCAUCCCAGGUGAUGCCAUUAGCAUUGGCAUGGGUGGUGGUGUAAGCAUCCCACCAAUCAGCAGCUGGCCCUUCCAGGCGUCCUGAAGCAUACAGGACCUUCUCCCUGUCAGUACAUUGGGCGAUAUCCAGCAUCUUCUCCACUGUUUUCAGCCAAUCAUCAGCAUCUAAUGGAUCCGGAGAAUGUGAAAACGUCGGGGGCUUGUGGCUCAUGAACUCCCUAUGCCUGUCCCUUGGCGGCGGCUGCUGCUGGUUGUUGUUGUUGUUAUUGUUCAGCUGAGCUUGUAAAGCUGCCACGGUGUUGGUCAGUCCGGCGAGAAGCUGAGUCUGAGCUGCUAGAAACUGCUCCAUCCCUGCAGGUGCUUGUUGGUUCUGUUGCGGAGCGGUGUUGGGAUUGCUGCUGUUGUCCCUGUGGCGUGGCACUGUGGGACGGUCAACUCCUGAUCCGGACCUGGUGUUUACCAUCUGAGCGUUAGAGACAAUGGAUUUAGAUAGAUGUGUGAAAGAAUAACUGAGAAAGAUAAAGCGACCAGAUGUAAAAGUAACACAGAUUCUGUUAGCUCCAUUUAAUUAGGUGUGGUCGUCAGAAGAAGUGUCCAUAAAUUCUGAACAAUUACCAAGUCGUAACUUAUUAAAUUUGUAAACCAACCCAACUGGAAUCAUCUCAAUCGGACUUCUGGAUCUCGAGUUACAAAAUUAACAAGCUGACAGUGUCGGUCGAUAGGUUCAGAUUCUGAGUGCUUUACUAAUUCGCAUACACCUCCCAGACAGAUACACCAAAAAUUCUGAAAAAUUUACAGAUAGUACUCCACGAAAUUCUGAAACUAACCCCACUGGUUUCAUGUCAUUUGGACUUCUGUAGCUAGAGAUAUAAAUAAAAAAGUACUGGCGUGUCAGUUAAUGUCGAGAACAGAAUUGAAUGUCGCUUAGCUUGCGUGAUGGAUAGAUUUAGACAGAUGGUAGAUCAUGAUUAAGGAAGAUUAAAUACUGAUUUAGAACAGAAAUAAAACCCAACUAAGCACUUUAUUUAUUAAGACCAGUAUCGUGUGGCAAUUGCCCCACAUACCGCACUCAUUACAAAAUCCAACUCAAACAUGUAGCACAAAACCAAUCAUCUAAGCACACUUUAACUAACACACUCGAACGACGUCUAACGAUUACAAGAAUUUAAACUAAAACACUCCUAAUUUCCUAGAGGUCUUCUGCGGCGGUGCCGGGCGAGUCGUAGCGGGGACGCUUAGGCGACGGCGACGAAGCGGGAUGAACAGCAAACUCCUGCGGCGGCGGUGCUCCCGUCGCGGCAGCCAUAUUCGCAUCCCUCUCCCACCGGAGUUCCUGAACCUCCUGUUGAAGCUCCUGGAUGUGGUUGUUUGCUUCAUUCAAUGCGGUGAGAGCUGCCGACGUGUACUUGCGGAGGAAGUCUGUAGCCAUGUCAACCCCAUCGUUAGUAGCGAUGAAGGUUCUUGCUUCCCCACUAGCUCGGUAAGGAAGGAACCGAUGGUAAGUGUGCUGCAAUCGCGGCCGUUCCUUGUGGGAGACGACCUCAAGUGCCCUCCUGGCGGCCUCGGCAAUGCCGGAUUCCAUGGUCCUCCUUAUGGUCACAUCAUGGUGAAAAGCCUUCACCUCCCAUCCUCCCUCGUGCUCCUCACGAAGGACAACCUUCACCUCCCAAAAAGUGGGAUAGCGAGGGUGGGUGAACCGGGAGCACUUGUAGAGUGGCCUCAUGCCGUACCCCAAGCGGUGACAAGUCCACCUGAGUAUGUCGGCCAUGUGCACUCCUUGGCCAUAAUCUUCCUUCACCCAUUUGAUCCAUGUCUCGGGCUCGGGAUCUGCUUCGGGCUCAUCAUCCGUCAAGUCGACGACCGGUACGGGCGUCGGGGCUGGUGCAGGAGCGGGCGCCGGUGCUGGCGACGGUGCUGGUGACGGCGUGGUCUCCUGCUCCACGGUCACGGCGUCCCCGUCAGAGUCAUCCCCCGGAUGCUGGAAGAUCUCUUCCUCUUCUUCCUCGUCCCAAGGCUCCAUGGGGGCGUACGACGGCGCGAUGCCAUGACGCGGCGGACGGGUGCUCUUGCGUGCGGUCAACCGGGUGCGAGCCAUCUAACAGAAAGAAAGAAGAAAAUUUUAGAAUAAAAUUUUGAACAAAGCUAGAUAAUAAAAUAGCAAUAAGGAUGAGACAAAUCAAGUUUAAGAAUAAUUAAGUAGAUUUAAAUUAAGAAAGGUAGGAAUGGCUACUAGAUUAUUAUAAUCCUUAAAUACGACCAUUUUCUAACUAGGCUAACGUCCUACAGUCAACACGGCUCUGGUACCACUUUUGUCACACCCGAUUUUAAGGACAAAAUCGAGUGCAUUAAAUACAUGUGCGCCAGGAUCAAGUUACACACAUGUACGACAAUAGUGAAUAGUAAAGCCAGUGCUAAAUCGAAUAAAGAGAGUAUUAACCAUUAUUACAUGACCGAAUGUCUCAAAUAAACCACAAAGUCUAAUUAUUACGCAGCGGAACUCCAAAGAUGACGACGACUCCAUAGGCAGCUGACUGAAGAAACGUACGCCUAGAACUCCUCGAAGUCGUGGAAGUACUCCUCUUCCCAAUUAACUUGGUCUGAACAGCGGUUUUGCAAGGGUGAGUACACUUAUGGUUGGUACUCAACAAGUCGUGGGAAGUAGUGUAGUGUAAGGCUAAUUCAAGGUAUGGCUAAGGCGUAAAUAGCAUUCGCUUUUAAUUAAGUUGGUCAAAUUUUAUUAGCAUUUACUAAGUAUAAGUUCAUACCACCCGAAAUUAAACAUGAACAUAAAGUAAACCACAUGUGCAUGAAAUGAUAACAAAUUAAAUCCAUCUUCCGAUAAUAUUAUCAUGUGAGGGUCCAGGCCGCUCUUAACCGUGAGCACGGCUGAUUGAUCAGUUUAACACUCUGCAGAGGUGGCACAUCUUUACCCACAAGUCGCGUAAAAGUUCAAAAGAACUUUGGACCCAACCAUGCGGUGUUUGCAAGGCACCAUACCACACUUCCGAGGUGUGAUUGCAUAGGGACGCUACGAGGCCUUUACAAAGAUUCAUUAAUCAGUGGUAACCCGCUAAGGUUUCGGUGUCUGGCGUGCACCACCCAUCCCAGGUAAAAUGCAACGACUCAGUCCCCCCCCUUGAAUCAUCACGAGUAAGGUCACCCCAGACUAAGGUUUCUAAUUAAUCAGCCAAGACCAGAGCUAUUUAGUCUUGUGGUAGCACUGUUUUCCUGGGUGGUCGCUCCAUGUUCUGAUUAACAAAUAAUGAUCUUGUCUUAAUGAAAGGUAUAACAGAAAUAAGGCAAGAUUAAGCAUUGUUUUUAGUUAAACCACCAUGUACCAAGUAAGCACUAAGCAUGAGCUACCCAACAUAAAGUAAACCGGUUGGUCAAGGCAAAGGUAAAACAAUCUAGGCCAACCUUAAUUGGGACCCAUCAAUUUAAUCUUAAUAUGUGCACAGCAUAAAUGUUGAGUACGAGAAAGUAAAGGUGUAUAGGACAAAAAGGUAGUGAUCAAGGACACGACUUGCCUUCUUGGCCUUGCUCCUGCUGUUCGUACUCCUCGAAGGCUUGAUCGGCAACUCCCUCGAACUGCGGGGCGUCUACACGCAUCACACGAGCACAUACAAGCAAACAUGGGCAAAAGUAAGAAAACAGUAUACCAAACAUAGUCAAACAGAGAAAACAAGCUUGAAAAGAUGAUCUACGCUUUAAAACGAACACGCGGAUAUAAAGAACGCGAAAAACGGAGUUAAGAUGCAAAAGAUAUGAUUAAAACAAAAUCCAGGGACUUUUCUGUAAGAAAAACAAAACUUUUAGGGCCUAUCCGCGAAAACCGAGGGCUUAUACGUAAUUAUGCGUAUAAACCGAGGGUCUGAUGCGUAAAAACAUCAAACCCGGACGGCGGGUUGAUUUCUGGAAAGGUCAAGGGUUAAACCGAAAAAUGCGAGGGCAGAUCUGUAAAUACUUUCAACGCGAUCUGGACCGCGGGUUGAUUUGCGAAAAAGGCGGGGGCUAAAGUGCAAAAACUGCACGGCGCGGCUCGGUUGACCGGUACGCGAUCUUGAUUGACUCGCGUCCGGCCGUCGGAUUAAGAUCCGACGGUCGCGGUGAUCCGCGACAUCGCGGCGGCGGCGGCGAGCGGCGGCGAGCGGCGGCAAGCGGCGGCGGGUCGCCGGAGUUAGGCAAAAUAGCGCCACGAGGCACGGUUUAACGCGCGGGUUGCACCAAAAAAGAGAGGGGAACACGUCGAUCCCGUUUUGGGGGUUCUUGUCGACGGGGGCUCACCGGCGACGGCGAACGGCGGCGAGGAAGAGGCGGCGGCGCUAGGAGCUCGGGCGGCUAGGGUUUCGGGGAGCUGCGGCGCUGGUUUUGGGCGGAGGAGACUGGGAGGAGGCGGCGGCUUUUAUAGGGCUUGGAGAUAGAGCCGGCGCGGGUUCAAAUCCCCCGGAGGAGUCGGAGCGGAUGGAGUCCGGGGCGGAGACGGCGCGCGGCGGUUGCGGAGUUCUGACCGGAUUCGGCCGGAGGUGGGAGACGAUGGGUGGGGUCCACCCGUCAGUGGCGGAGGGGAGCGGUAGACGGGCCGGCGCGACCGUGGGCUGGCGCGCGCUCGUGGGCUGCGGGGAGCGGGAGAGAAGCGGCGAGCGGGCGCUGGCGGAGCAGGCCGAGCGGAGGUAGAGCUGGGCCGCGGAGAAAAAGGAGGAGGCCGGCGGGCUGCUUCGCAGGCCGGUAAGGAUGAGGCGGCCGGGCCGAAGAAGAAAAAGAAAAGGAGGGACAAGGAGCUUUCGGCCGAGGGAAAAGAAGAAGAAAAAGAAAAGGAAGAAGAAAAGGGAAAAGGUUUUGGAAUUUGAAUUUAAAUCUGAAAUUCAAAAUUUGAUUCAAACUCAAGCAACCAAAAAUUAUGCUCCAGCAUGAAUGCACAAAUAAUUCCUAUGAUGAAUUAAUUGAAUUAAAGAAAAUGAAUUUAAAUGCCUAGAAAUUAAAUAACACCCUAAUUUGAGCAAAUUUUAAUGAAUUUGAAUUAUUGAAAUUUUGGGUGUUACAUUGGUACUACAUCUCAUGUAGUAGAGGCGAUUGUAAGAAGCAACUUGAAAAGAAGUUUGAUCACUACUAUUGCAAUAAAUGUGACAAGAGAGCCGAACCUAAAGCCCAGUAAAUUAUUUAGUAGUUUACAAUCUUAUUAUAAUACUUCUAUUUCUAAUAGGAGAAUAAUAUUUUCAGAUUCAAAUUAAGCUUCAAAUAAGUGAUCCAACAACAAGUGCAACUUGUGUACUUUUGACAAGGAAGCAGAAAUGAUAAUUAAUGAAUGAGCAGAUUCGAUGAUCACCUCAGUUGAUCAUGAUAAUAAGUAGCUACCAAAAUCAAUUCAGGAAAUAUGUGAAGAAACAUUGAUUUCUCAAUUCAGAUUGACCGAGUACAACUUGACAAGUUUUAGACCUGAUUAUACUGUUUCAAAGAUAUUUUUUCCAAAAGAAAAGGGCAGUUCAAGAAUUGGUAUGGAAAGUGUAAAAAAGGUAACACUUUAUUAUUAAUUUUUUAUUGCACUUUUUUCUUUUGAAUCCGUAAUACUUAAUAAUUUUACUAUAUCAAUGAAACAAAUUCUAACCUAAAUUUAUUUUCUUUUUUAUUAUUUGUAGGAAGUAGAAGACAACUCAGACAAAUGCUACACGAUAACUACCGAGAAUGAAGAGGUAGACACUGAUGACUCUUUUACCGAGAAAGUAACAUUCGUAGAAGAAGCCAUAAGGACUGGGGAAAGAUUGGCUAGAAAAGUAUACUCACUUCCAUGUCAGUGUUCAUUCUAUUUACAAUACAUGCAAAAAAAAUAUUAUUCAUGCAAAAUUGCAGGUCUACUAAGCAUUAAAGGAAUAGCGGAUAGUGCAAUAUGUAAUCUGAGCAGCAUGCAUUACAAAGUGCUCUACUGCAAUUAAAUUAAAAAACAUGAUAUAUGUUGAAUUCUUAGACUUUAUUAUUAUACUUUUCUACGUGACAAUUCACAAUUUUUUAGAAAAAAGAAGAUCCCAGAAGAAGUGACCAUGAAAAAAGGUCUAUGACCAGCAAUAAGAAAAAAUGCAAGCAUAGAAACAAAUCCGUAGAAAACAUAGAAAAUAAGGUACUCCAUAAACAAAAGUAUUCUCUUAUAUUUUUAUUAAAUAUUUUUUUAACACUUGACAAGUUCUUUUUUAGGAUCAAUAUAUCAGCAAUUCAGAUGUCAUUGGAGAUGAAACCUUAGUUCAUCCAAAAGGUCAAAAAAAAACAUCUGAAGAAAGGUGUUUGGCUGAAAAGGAAAAGCAAAAAAGUGGUAAUGCAGACAAACACAUGCAGAAAAAUAUAAAAACAUGUCAUAGGGAGGCAGACCAAUCUUGCAAGGAGGUAUAGACGAAACGUGAUACACGACCUGCCUACCUUGUCGUGGAUACCCCAAGAAGAUGUCAUAGAGGUGCAGACCAAGCUAGCAAGGAGGUCGAAACGUGAUACACGGCCUGCCUACCUUGCCGUGGAUAUUAGCCCUGAGAUCAUUCUACUGUUCAAGGAAUAACACUCAAUGCUGCUGCUGCUGCUGACCUGGCUCCAUAAAGUUAUACUCCUCUAGGUGCUUGCACUAACUUUAUCUGAAGUAUUAUUCUCUCUGCACUGUAUAUAUGGUUAUGGAGUUUGCUGGAGUAUCCGGGGCGAAGAACCUACAUAAUACGUCUUGGAACUAAUUGACAUUGAUUCACAGACAAACUCUACAAGGUGCUGUUCUUGCCAUUUUAGAGCAUCCAAAGGACUAUAAAUAACAUAGUUUACCAUAUACCAUAUACCAUAUACCAUAAUAUGUUAGCUAAAAUAAGAGCAUACACAUGUUGCAGGAGUCCAAAAGCACCGGUUGAGGACCAGGUACAUUGAAUUACUAGAAAAAGACAGGGGACAAGGUUUAGGUAACCACAUGAAACAUUUGAAUUUAUUGUACUAUGAACACUUAGUUACCAUGCCAGGAGCACAUAGUUAACACUAACAUUUAGCCACUUUAGAUCAUCCCGAAUCACCAAUGACCCUCAAUAGUGACAAAUUUUGGUUUAAAUGCCAUCACCAAUGAUCCUCAAUAGUGACGUAUUUAGGUUUAAAUCCCGUCACUAAUAACCCUCAAUAGUGACCUGUUUUGGUUUAAAUCUCAUUACCACUGAUCCUCAAUAGUGAUGUGUUUUAGCAAAACAUGUUAUCAAUGACUUGUCAUUGGUGACGUGUUAAAACGCGUUAUCUCAAUGGCAAAUCAUUGGUGACGUGUUAUCUCAAUGUUAUCAAUGUUCUAUUCUUUUCAACAAUACCAGCUCGUUCCUCCGUUUUUAUUCCACCAAUACAAGCACCACCUUGUAACAUUUCCUAUGUUUUUUUUCCUUUUGUCUGUUUUCUCACUACAUGCGUUGCUCUUUCAUGCAUUUUUUUCCAUUCCUGUAUUCCAAAUAGGUCUACAUGAACACAAAAUGAACUAGGGGACAGAAAAAGCCAGUGAAGCCAAUUUUGAGCUUCACCAGCUACUUGCUACAUAAAGUGUGCUAUAGUGACGUGUUUUAGCAAAACAUGUUAUCAAUGACUUGUCAUUGGUGACGUGUUAAAACGCGUUAUCUCACUGGCAAAUCAUUGGUGACGUGUUUUAAAAAAACAUGUCACCGUGAGAGUCAUUGGUGAAGGGUAAUUAAAAUGCGUCACUAAUGUUGUAGCAUUAGUUAUGAUAAUUUAGUAACGCAAAAAUCUACCAUCAGUAUUGAGCUUUAGAGCCAUCGCUAAUGUGGGUUUCUUACAUAGUGAUGCAAGCUCUACAAGGUGCUGUUGCUGCCAUUUUAAAGCAUCCCAUGACUACAUGUUAAUAACAUAGUUUACCAUAUAUCAUAAAAAUAUUAGUUACAAUAAGCACAUACGCAUGUGGAAGAGUCCGAAUGCACCGGUUGAGGACUAAACACAUUGAAUUACUAGAACCAAAUGUAUGUUUAGAACAAAGACAGGGGUCAAGGUUUGGGUAACCGCAUUAAAAACAUUGGAUUUUACUGUACAUGAACACUUAGUUACCAUUACCAUGCCUUGAGCACCUAGUUACAACAAACAUUAAUUUAGCCACUUUAGAGCUUCCAGAAUCGCUAUAAAUAAUAUACCUACGCCGUACCAUGAAAACAUCAAGAAGAGAGACGGAUACAUGGACCACCAUCAAGCGAGUAGUGACAGCACGCACAAGAAUACCCGGAACCUGUUAGCUUGUCUGUAGUGAUCUGUUUUCUUCCCCAUAAAAUCCAUGAGUAUUGCCACAAAUAAUGAAAGAGGCUGACCAAGCUAGCAAGGAGGUAGAGCAAACGUGAUACACGGCCUGCCAAGAUUGCCCUGGAUACGCCAAUAAGAGCGACAGAUACAUGGAUCACACCAAUAUGGUGAAACGUAUAUUCAUCACACAAGCAAAGCUGGUCAGUUUAUCCAUGGUCAAAUUGUGGUCUUUGUUUUCACUUGAGAGCUAAUUGAGGCACUAUAAUAUGGGCAGGCCUAUCUUCAACAGACAUGACAGCUACAGGGAACUUGACAUAAUUUGCUGGGCCGCCUGUGCACAAUUAUUUGUUUUAUUGUCCUUGCAUAGAAUGCUAAAAUACUCUUUACAAAAUGUUGGAUCUAAUAUUUGAAAUAUAGAGUAGUAAUCAUAUAUUGAUCAACAACUUGAAAUUAUCUGUACAUUCUCGGUGAAGCUGUUGAACUAAUUUUUGCAAAUUAUUAAUUCAUCUCAUUACGUAAAGAAAAAAGUAAGUGGAUAAGAUAUUUCGUGGACCACAUCACUGCAAACAUGUCAUGGAGAGACAGACCAAGGAGGCAGGACGUGAUACACGACUUACCCUAGGUUGCCGUGGAACCGCCAAGAAGAGAUACAGAUACAUGGACCACACCAUCUUGGGAGUAGUGACAGCAUAUAUGCAGAAGAAUACCCCGUGCCUAUUUGCAUGCAUGUCUCAAGUGAUCUGUUUUCUUCAGAAAAUACAUGAGCAUUGCCAGAAAGAAUGGCAAGAGACAAACAUGUCAUAGAGACUUGCAUGUCUUGCCUUGGAUACGCCAAGAAGAGGGACACAUACAUGGAUAACACAAAUCUAGUGACACGUAUAUUCAUCACAAAGGCAAAUCUGAUAAUUUUAUCCAUGGAGCAGACCAAGGAGAAAUUGAUGACGGACAUGUGAUCUCUGUAUUCAGUUGAAAGCUAAUUGAGCUACACUAAUAUGAGCAGGACUAUAUUCAAGAGACUUGUUGAGAGCUACAGGGAACUUGUAAUAAUUUGCUGGGCGGCCUGCGCACAAUGAUUUGUUAUACAUAGUUGAAAUAUUUCAAGAAUUUAUCAACCUCAUACUCUGAAACCCUUGGUGCAAUGUACUCUGCUUUCCGAGGUAGACUGUUCACGUAAAAUGAGGUCAUGCGUAAGACGGAAUCGGAUUGGAUUCACAGGGAAUCAGAUUUGGAUAGCACCUUUUAGCAGGUUUUUAGUCAAAUGCAAAUUCGGAUCCACAUGUGGUUGAAUGCGAGUUCAAAAUUCUACUUGGAUAUCCAUUUAAUUUAGGUGAUAGCAAUUAGCACAAAAUGUUGGAUGAACAAAAUCAUAGUUAGACAUACAAUUACAUGUAUGGUUAAAGUAUAAUACAAUACACCAAGAUUAUUCCUUGAAAAUAUUUCUUAAAAAUAUUAUAAUAAAUGAAUAAAUAUAAUUGUGGCCACCAACAAAUAGUCGGUGGUCGCUAAGUUGGAGCCAUUUCUGGUUACUAAUGCGGCCUUCUCCUCGACCAGCGACGACAGCUGAGCUUGUUCCUUCUGACACUAAAUCAUCAGAGUCUUCCCUCCACUACUAUAGAAUGCACCUUUAGCACCAAUUGGGAAAUCCCCUUCAGUAUUGGAUGCUGCAACCAGUGCUAUAUAUCAAAAUGGAGACUAAAAGCCUCGGUCUUGGGUACCGGUUGCAUAACGCAUUACUAAAGGAGGCAAAAGAGAAAUGUAACAAAAAAAAUAUUUUGAAUUCCAAGAAUGUUUCACUAUUCAAGAUGACUAGCUGAGAGUCAACAGACAAGAUACUAGGAAUGUGGGUGCUUGAAUGCAUUUGUACAGAGGUCAUACUAUUUACAAACUCUUCUAUGUUUCCAUAUGACUACCUACUUCAAUGUCACGCGAGCCAUUCAGCUGGACACAUGGCACACUAGCUUGCAUGUCGAAUCCAUGAUUAAUUAUUUGCACUUGUGAUCUCUUACCAGUAUUUGUCCAGACUAGAAACGUGCAACACAUUUUUAGGAUAUGGACACGCAUAUAUUUGGACUAGUAUACAGGUCACCUUUGGAUGCGUACAAGGAUGACCGGGAGGGACUAAUGGAUACAAGGAAGGGACCAUCAGGAUUAAUAUUGACAUAUGCCACAUGACAAUCUUCAUUGUCAUGCAAUCCCUAUCAACAAUCAUGGAAUCCCUAGUGUACUAAUCCCUGGAGGGUUGUGUGGAAAUUUAUUUUACCUUGCGGUGAAAAUCUCAUGAGCAGUCAUUAGUUAAGCUGACUAGCUGAGAUAUAAUAGACAAGCUAGUAAGAUUGGGAGCAUCAAUGCAUCCAUACAGGGUCACAAUAUCCUUUCCAUUCACUUUUAUAUAUAACCCUACGAAUACAAGUCCAACGAAAUGCGGGCCUUUCGAUCAAGAUAAAUUAAAUGGCCCACUUGUAUUUCUAAUCCAGGAUUAACUAUGCCCUCUGUUCAUCUCUUGCAAGCACGUGCAACACAUUUUCACGAUAUGGACAUGCAUGGAGGUUAUUAUACUGUUUGGACAAACUCUGAUGUGCCAUGACCUAAAUGCUUAGGGCCUGUUUGGUUUGAGUUGCUUAUUAUAAGCAACUUAAAGUUGCUUAAAGUUGCUUAUUUGAAGUUGCUUAUUUUUAGUCUAAACUGUUUGGAUACCCUUGCUUAUGAGCAUUGAAUGAGUUGGACAUUGUCAAAUUUGCCCCAUGUGUUGCUACCCCUCCAAUUUGCCUCCCCACCCUUCUUCUUCCUGCACACGUCCGAUCCCGGGGGCCGACGGCGGGCAGGGAGCAGCAGCAGCUGGCCAGGGCGGCGGUGGGGCGGGAGCGGCGGCGCACACCAGCACGCGCUCGCACGCCAGGUGCUAGGGCGCGGCGAGGCAGUCGUCGUAGCCCACCGGGAGCGGGUGCUCGGGCGCGAGGCGGUACUCGACGGAGAUGCCGAGCGUCGGGCGCGCGGCGGCGAGCGCGUUGAGGAAGCGAUGGUAGUGCGGCGACGUCGCGGACUCCGCCACGAAGCCGCCGCCGUGGACGUACACCACCACGGGCAGCUUCGUCUUGCCGUCGGCGGCCGCGGCCGCGGCCUGGGGUGGCAGGUAGAGGCGGACGGAGCAGGAGCCGAGGUCGACGUCCCUGGAGUCGACGCCCGUGGCGGCGUCCAGGCUGGGCCCGACCGGCGGCGGCACGAGCGGGCGCUCGAUGCGGCCGCUCUUGUAAAUCCGACGGGUCUGUGCGGAGGCGGGCGGCGGGCGGGAGCGGCGGGUGGGAGCGGCGGCAGGUGGUGCGGAGGCCGGCGGCGGCGGGUGGCGCGGAGGAAGGGGAGCUGGUGAGUGGUGACAGGGGAGGGGGGGAGAGAGAGGGGGGGUAGGGUGCAUUGAAUGAGGGCAGGAGGUGUAAAGUGCACCUUUUAGUCCCCAUGAGCAACCAUAAGCAGCCCAAGAGUUGCUUAUUUGCUUAUAAUAAGCAACCUCAUAAGCAAGAGUGAUUGGUUUCAUAAGCAACUUAUUUGCUUAUUUUAAGUUGCUUAUGCAUAAGCAUGUGAAACCAAGCAGGUCCUUAACCUAUGGUUGUGGCACCACACAGUACAUAGUAUUUAAUAAUGCUAUUCGUUUGGUAUGUGCACAAGGGCACGCAUGAAAUGUCUGGCCCACGGUAAACAAGUACGGACGCUGCAAAUAAUCUACUCUGCUCGUCCAGUCCCUAGCCUAUAAAUAGAUGCCAUGCUAGCUCUUGUUGUGCUCACAAUUAAUCCUGACUACACACGAGCUUCUCUCCCUGGCCAAGACACAAUCAUAGUAUGAUGAAGAACAUGGCACUAGCCGGCAAUGGUAUGAAGAACUUAAUCCUCGCUGUUCUCUUACUGUGUCUAGUUAUAGGGCAGAUACAAGUGGAAGCUAAGAGCUGCUGCCCAUCCAUUACUGCAAGAAAUAUCUACAAUGCCUGCCGUAUCACGGGUACAUCCCGUCCAACGUGUGCAAAACUGUCAGGCUGCAAAAUUAUCAGCGGGGACAAAUGCAAGCCCCCUAACGACCACCUCACCCUUGACCCGGACACUGGUAAAUAAUAAAUUUAUCUCACUUGAUUUCUUCGUGUUUUGAGUCGUUAAUGUAUUUUCCAUCUGAUGAAACGUAUUGGUUUUGCAUUGAAGAGGAAGUUAAUGUGCUUAACUUCUGCAAGUUGGGGUGUGCGUCGUCUGUGUGCAACAACAUCAACGCUGGUAAGCACCUUUUGCUCAGACGGAGAAAACAAUAAUCAUUAAUUAGCGGCAGCUAGAAUCCUAUAAUCUAAUAUAUUUAUAUAUAUAUAUAAUUUUAUCAGCUCUGGGAAAUGAAGAGGCGAACGAUGCCGUUGAGAGUUGCGACCAAGCCUGCUCUAGCUUCUGCAACGUGCACGUUGGCGCUGCCACCGUGGUUGCUUAAGCAAAUGCAUCCAACUGGAUCGUCCUUGUGCUAAAUAAUUGGAUAUCGUAUCCACUUAAAGCUGCCUUGUGUAGUACGUUUUUGUUUGUGUCUCUCUUUAUAUUCCAAUAAGGUCGGUGAUCUUGAUGCCACACACUCAGACGUGUGUUCAUCUCCAGAUACUACUCCAUGCUACCUGCCCUUUGUGUUUUGUUCAAUAACUGGGUAUCAUAUCCCAGCCAGUGUGCCAUCUGUUUUGUGUUUAUUUCCUUCUAGUUUCAAAGGGGUUAUCAUGAUGUUACCUUCUUUCGAUAUGGUGCUUUGCAUGACUACUGUUGUAUGGUACCAUCUUGUUGGCCAAUAAAUACAUCUUAUCCUAUGACCCUUUGCUAUGACCCUUUGCAAAUAAGUACAAGAUUGUUAAAUACUCGGUAUAAAUUGACUACUGCUGUGAGUUCCCUUUCAGCUUAUCGUAGGCAUACAUUAUUGCUAGCACGGUGAAGACAACCAACACGAAUGGUCAAGUAAACGUACCGGUACUUUUGUAUACCAACACCCUUGCUUAAAUGUACCGGUGUUACUCCCCACUAGCACAUAUAUUCUUAUAUGCUAGCCGGCUUGAAAAUUAACCGAUUAAAAUAAUUAUUUCAAGACAGAAAUAACUUAUCGGCUUCUCGAAGCAUGUGUAAUGUGAAUUCAAGGACUUGAUGGAAGUUGAAUCGCUUAAUCUAGAUUGCUUUCAGGAUUUUGGGUAACUAAAUUUAACAUUUGCACAUACAAAUGUUAAUGUACAAAUAUUAAAUAUAGUUACCCAAGCAGAAUAUGAAGAUACUCUAUAGUAUAUAUAUACUAUAUAAAUCUAGUUAACAUUUAGUCUAAAUGUUAAAUCUAGUUACCUAAAAUCCUGAAAGCAAAAUGUAUAAAUAUAUAUCUUUUAAGGAAUCCCAAAGCAAGAGUUCAGUGGCAUUCUAUAGUCCCAUGCUGCUAGUUUGAGUUGGUCGAAGCCAACUUAAAUAGGAGAGCUCUCUCACUUCUCUAAAUACGUAACUGAAGGAGAGAAGGGGGCUUGGUUACACAACGCACGCACGCACGCAUAUUUGCGUUCUUUUCGCGUAACCAACCGCGUGACUUGAAACUUGCGACGUAGCGUGCUGCCAAGUCAAGUUGAUAUAACCUUUUUGCCGUAGGCGUGUAAUCUUUUGACAACGGUCAUUGGAGGUGAUAAGCACGCAGUCAAUACCUUAAUCCUGAG
rnacentral:lncRNA from 1 species